rnacentral:lncRNA from 1 species
CCUGCCCUACAACCUUGUGUAUGAAAAAGUUAACAAUAGAUGAAUGGACAUCUCCAAGACUAACUCAUGUUAUACAACAGAAAUGCUAAAUGAAUCAGGCAAAAAGAAUCCACGGAAACAAUAACAAAGAAACAACGGUUAUCUGUUGUUGGAUUACUUUCUCGAUUUCUUCCUGGAAGAUUUGGAUGAAGCCUUUGAUUGCACUGCAUUCUGAGAGGCUCCUUUUGGAUUAGCUGGCUGGUUUGACUUCGUAUCACUACUGCUCGCUGCCUCUUUAGCCACUGCACCUUGAGAACCUCUAAUUUGAGCUGCUCUCUUAUCCUUUCUCUUUGGUCUGUAACUAGACCUCUCCCUCUUGGGAAGCCACCUCUCUGGAUCAGGUGGAGGUCCUGGAUUAGCUGGGUCAAAGCCCUUUGGAUAUUUUGGCUUUCUCUUCCUCUUUUUCUUCACCUUAUCCUUACACUUCCCUUCGUAUGUUUCAGUGGCACCAGCAUUUGGACCUUUCUCGGCUUGCUUGGCACCAGAAGUUUUCUCCAAAUUGUCGACGUCUAUUGCUUUCAAACCAAGUAGUGGUGUUAACUGCUUCUCAUAAGCUUCUGCUUUCUCAAUGUCAGCAUGGGCUGCAGUCUGGAUUAAUCCAACUAAAGCCUCAAUACUUCCAUGGCUUUUCACUAGCUGUUCAUAAAGGCGUGCUGCCUCCUCUUUCCUUCCAUGCCUGAGCUUGAAAGCAGCAGCCUCCUGCAUGAUGGUAUUGAGCUUAUUGUCUUCAGUCAUGGCAUUUGACCACCACUUGAUUGCGGAAUCAAACACAUCAUCGGCACCAUCAGUAUCUCCAGCCCGUUCCUUGAGAGAGACAAUAGUGGAAACAGUUGCAGGCUUGUGUUGAAUGUCAGGAUUUCGCCAAGGAAUCAGCUGCAAUCUGUGGAUGGCCAGCAGCUGCAGCAACCUGAGCCCUUGCAAGCAGGAUAACCUUGGACCUGUCAGGAAACUUAUCUGCAUACUGUCCAAGUAUUUCUUCAGCUUUAGCAGCCUUGUUCUCUCUCACAUGUACAGCAGCUUGAAGAAGUACAGGCAUCAAGCUACCAGGGAACAUCCCAGGUAGAGCGCCAACAAGUUCUCUAGCCUGUAACAAUCCAAUGACAAAAAUAAACAUUGGAAAAAGACUCGGGGAAUAAACAGUAGCAAUUGGAUGUCUAUUAAUGGGUCCCCUUGUUUCUAAUGCAUCAAAUGUUCAAAGGAGAACCAUUACAAACACAUGUAAUCUUACAGAUAAUAUACCUGAUCCAUCUUACUAGAAUGAAGUAGCAGCAGCACCCUAUUGGUAUAUAUUGCUUCCCUUUGCUUCUGUGAGAGCUUCAAGUCCAGUCCACGAGCAAGUUGGAACUUCUCUGGUCCAUCACUUUUCUCUAUUAGCUUAUCAAGUUUCCUUAGGCCAUCAGAGACAUCUUUAGGACCCUUUAAAGCAAUGAGAUUAUUUACUGCCACCGCAAGUGAAGACUCGUCGGCCAAAUUUCUUUUGACAAGAUCAGUAUAAGAUGCAACGGCCUCUUGGGUGUUCCCUAGAAUCUGGAGUGAGAAAAAAACAAUUUGCAUCAUUGCAACUUAUCAAAGCAAAAGAAGACUACUCAAACUCGUGUCAUAAGAUAAUUUACCUGUUGUACAUAUGCAAUUUGAACAACUAUAGGUGCCAAUUCAAUUUCAACAUCAUCAUCAGCUAAAUUCUCUUCCAUUUAGUGUUUCCUGACCAAUUCUGUAAUUCCAUUGUCCACAAUAAGAUAUUCAUCUUUCUUUUAUAUUUUCAUUUCAUUCAUGCAAAAAACUGGGAGUUUCACAGAGAAUUGCAAAGAAGUGGAAGAUUUUACCACAUUUGAUUUGACACUUCUAAAAAUGCAUGAAGUUUAAAAAGACAAAGGAGAGAAAAUAUCAAUCUACGAUUGUUCCAAAUGAAUAGACCAGAAUGCAGUUUGUCCCUUGUAACAUCUCAUAAAUAGAUGUUCCAGUUUACCCUAUGAUCUCUGGCAUCAAAUAACAAACAACAUUCAAUUGUCUACAAGAUAUAAAGAGGAAAUCAUCCUACAAAACACAACUUAUAAUUUACAGUUUCAUAUAAACAUGCCCCCUAUUUAAUAACCCCCCGCCCCCCCAAACCAAACCAAACCAUAUCAAAGAGAAGACAUUAAGACUUAAAACAAAAAGGCAAGUGACAAUUAUAACCAAUCAAAGACACAGAAGCAUUAUUUGCAUGAUCCUCAUCUUGGGUGCCCGAGGCCGAUAGGAUAUCUCGAUAUCCUCAUAUCUUCCCCCCGUCUAGCUUGAGGUAUUUAGUCCCUCAUGGUUUACUCCUUUGGUGUCAUGUGUCUUAGAUAUUCCCAUGAUUUUCUCAUUUGUGCAUGUUCAUGAAAAAGAUUAAAUAUUUUGGGAAAAAGAAAAAUAAUAAGUUAGCUGAUUGACUUCUUCAUGUUUAUGUGCAUUUGAGUAUGAGUUGCAUAUAGACCUUAUGAGAUGAUGUUUUGAAUAUGUUUUGGCUUGGAGUUGAUUUUCCUCCUCGGAUAAGUGCAUUUACGUGAUUGCAUUCAUGUUGGGCUGUCUCAAUGGUGCAAAGAAUAAAACAUAAUACAAUUAAGCUAAACUCCCAAUGCAUAAUGCAUUGCACCACAUAAAAGUGAAAUUAUUAAUGAAAUAUAAUUACAUAAAUACUCUACAUUUAAGAUUAUUAUAUUGCUCCCAUAAAUGUUCUAUUAAUGCAUUACGAAGUUCAAAAUGAACAUUUUUACCCUUAAUUAUUUUAUGUCUAGCUAAAGAUUGUUCUAAUCCGAGAUUUUCAUGCAACAAGAACAACUACAAAUAAUUGAAAAAAGAAAUCAACAAGCACAUCCANNNNNNNNNNNNNNNNNNNNNNNNNNNNNNNNNNNNNNNNNNNNNNNNNNNNNNNNNNNNNNNNNNNNNNNNNNNNNNNNNNNNNNNNNNNNNNNNNNNNNNNNNNNNNNNNNNAGAUAAGUGUUUAGACUUCCGCUUUACUUUUAUAAAACUCUUGAACUUGAAAUGUUGUUCUUUACCUCUCUUCAUUCUAUGUCUUAUGUUAUGAAUGCUAAGUGGCUUGUAUGGGGCCUUUCGGGAUCCUAUACGCCAUGUUAUGCCUAGGGGGUACCUUGGGUCGUGACAAAAGAUAUCUCAACUAGUGCUAUUCAUGGAUAUAAUAUAAUUAUAAUGUCUUAGUUCCUUGACCAAUUCCUCACAUUUGUGACAUAGUGCUAUUCGUGGAUAUAAUAAUUGAAUAUCCUUAAAAGUAACCAGGAUGGGAUAAAUCAUUGGGUUUUAACAGAUUGUUAGAAUGAGAACUUACUAAUACAAAUAGGCUGCACCUCCAAGAAUUAUGCACAACAAAAUGAUGUCAACACAGAAGUUUCAGCUAGAUCUCAGUUGAAAAAGGAAAAGACUUGUUAAAUCUGGUAACAUCAAAAGAUAGAAGUACUAUCCUGCAAACUGCCUAAACUUACAGAGAAUGACAUAAUAUAGUGGAAGCUCAAUUUACCUGGUUAAUCGUGUCCUUAAGCCUAACAUUCGUAUUCUUAAGGUCAGAUGUAGCCUUGUCGAUCUGUCCACAAAUUAAACGUAACCAGGAUUGUUAGAAUGAGAACUUACUAAUACAAACUAAGGGCUGCACCGUCCAAGAAUUAUGCACAACAAAAUGAUGUCAAUACAGAAGUUUCAGCUAGAUCUCAGUUGAAAAAGGAAAGACUUGUUAAAUCUGGUAACAUCAAAAGAUAGAAGUACUAUCCUGCAAACUGCCUGAACUUACAGAGAAUGACAUAAUAUAGUGGUAGCUCAAUUUACCUGGUUAAUUGUGUCCUUAAGCCUAACAUUCGUAUUCUUAAGGUCACAUGUAGCCUUGUGGAUCUGUCCACAAAUUAAAGCAAAUUAGCACAAGUUUUGAACUCUUUCCUUUAAACUGACUAAGUAAUUACAAUAAGAUUUUAUGACCUUAGACUCAAUCUCAUCCAUCAGAGGACUUGCCUAUCCAACUCCUUCAUAGAUUGGAUAAUCAUUAAUAUCCACAAUAUAGAAGGAGCAAAACAGACCACACAAAAAAAAUCCCAGACCUCAUUCAUAUCACUGACCAUGUUUUUCAAAGUAUCAAAACUUUCUGAUAUGACCUCCAAACCUUGAUCCUAUGAGAAGUCGAAACAAAACCAUACAUCGGUAUUUAGGAACCAACAAGCCAGCAAUAAGAUGCAAUAAAAGGCAAAAAACUUCUGAUGAUUCAUGAACAAGACCUUAAAUAUUCCAAAAAAAUACAUGCAUGUUACAUUUUGAAAAAUUCAUAUUCUUGUUGGAAUUGACUUGAUUCUUCAGUUUACUUUAUAACCUAAAUCAAAUUUAAUUUCUGCACGAGAACCUGAACCUCCCCAUCCACCAGAUUGUUUGGGUGUAGUGCACCGUCUGAAAUUGCAGUUAUCCUAUUGGGCAGUGCAAGUAUCAAAUCAUUACAUACAACAAAUUCUUUGCUUGAAAGCCCUUUAACCUGCGAGAGGAAGUAUUGUUAGUUGACAAAACAAACCCACUGAAAAUAGGUUAUUUCUUGUGAUGCAUGGGCAAACACUGGAGGAAAACAGUCCUAAAGAAAUCCAAAUAAUAUAAUAACAGAGAAAGGAGUGUAUGAGAGCCAGUGACAAGAACCAACUGCACAGACUAAUGUCACGUCCCGCCACUUCACAAUCAAAUUUUGCAGUCGGAUAGGGGCGGAAGAGUCUAGAGUUAUGGAGAGGUUUAUAGAGAACUCUAGAAGCCCUUAGAGUUUUCAAGAAGGCUUAGAAAUCCCUAGGUCCUCCCUUAGAAUUCUCUAGAAUGCCUUAGAUAUUUUCUUGGAAACCUUAGAAAUUCCUAGAAAGUGUAGAGAUUUCUAGAGAGGGACCAAAGUGUAAUUAUUAGAGGGACGUGUAAAGUAAUUUUUAUUUGCACUUAGGCCCUUAGAAAGUAGUAUAAAUAGAAGGGCCUCUCAUUUGUAAAUCAUCCAACAAAGUGUAAGCAAUAUAAAGCCUUCUUCCAAAUCUUUCUAAGUCUUUCUUUACACUCUUAGCGAUCUUAGUUUCAAAGAGCUUACUUGAGCUUACAAGAUCUUGAAAGACUAGUGAGUAAGUUGUCAAGUGCCGCACGGAGUUUUAGUAAGACUCUAAGUUCGUGGCACUAAGCUCUUAAGUAACAUUAUACUUCUAUAGCUAUUUGUCAUACUAAAUAGAGAAGGCUUGCUGCCAUCACUACAUUAGGUUCUAACAAAUUGUUAGAAUGAGAACUUAUUAAUACAAAUAGGCUGCACGUCCAAGAUUUAUGCACAACAAAAUGAUGUCAAUACAGAAAUUUCAGCUAGAUCUCAGUUGAAAAAGGAAAAGACUUGCUAAAUUCUUGAUAGUUGACAGAGUUACUAAGUCUUCUCGCUUUUUGGUUGUCAAGACUACAGAUUUGGCGGACUAGUGUUUCCUGACCAAUUCUGUAAUUCCAUUGUCCACAAUAAGAUAUUCAUCUUUCUUUUAUAAUUUCAUUUCAUUCAUGCAAAAACUGGAAGUUUCACAGAGAAUUGAAAAGAAGUGGAAGAUUAUCCACAUUUGAUUUGACACUUGUAAAAAUGCAUAAAGUUUAAAAAGACAAAGGAGAGAAAAUAUCAAUAUACGAUUGUUUCAAAUGAAUAGACCAGAAUGCAGUUUGUCCCUUGUAACAUCUCAUAAAUAGAUAUUCUAGUUUACCCUAUGAUCUCUGGCAUCAGAUAACAAACUGCAUUCAAUUGUCUACAAGAUAUAAAGAGGAAAUCAUCCUACAAAACGCAACUUAUAAUUUACAGCCUCGUAUAAACAUGCCCCCUAUUUAAUAACCCCCCGUCCCCCCAAACCAAACCAAAUCAUAUCAAAGAGAAGACAUUAAGACUUAAAACAAAAAGGCAAGUGACAAUUAUAACCAAUCAAAGACACAAAAGCAUUAUUUACAUGAUCCUCAAAAUUAGAAUGGCUAAAAAAAACUUUCUUUCUUGUAUAAAGAACCGUAAACUCCAAUUUACAUACAACAAAUAAGAAGAUAUAGCAACUUUGCAGAUAUUUUAACCCCCAACAUACAUGCACUUUUGACUGUAAUGGCACAUCUUUUCAAUUAGACUAGUUCUAAAUUGUUAGUCUAUCAUUACUAAGGGUUAACAAACCAACAAAAAGUUAAACCCAAAUAAGAAAAUAAAAGAUGCUUAAGAUUCUCCUUAAGUUCAUAGAGACAAGAAUAUAUCAAUUGCUAAAGUAAGUACAUCUUGAUGACAACUUAACCCUCCAAAAUAACUUCCAAGCGAGGAAAUAUCUGAUGCUUUUUUACUAGUCAUAGAUUGUGCAUCAUCAAGUGUUAAGAAAAUGGAUAAAAGUCGUACAAAUAAAGCAAGUCAGGACUAACUGAAUCUAAUUUUUUCAUGAUGUUAUGAAGAGCUUGGUAGAGUCAAACUUGCCUUCGAGCUGACAAUAACAGUUGUUCUGCAUCUUUGUAUUUCUCCCUUUCAAUUAAAGAGCAGGCAGUAUUGUAACCCAAUUCAAAACUGCUAGUUGCUUUAACUCUCAGUGAAUCCAAGGUUCCUUGCACUUCAGAAGACCUUCCAGUUGAAACCAGACCAGCAACAAGAUUUAUCUCCAAGAUUUAUUGGUUGAAUAUGGGUAUCAACCCAUAUUUUACCUAUGUAAAAAGUCAAUCACCCAACCCAUUAAAAUAUGGGUGGGUUACCAAAAUAUGGACUCAUUUUGCCGGCACUAUGUGUACUUAUAGAUGUGCUGGUCCGUAGGUGUGAAACUAUGGUAAGUGAAGAUGUUAAAAAGGGACCGGGUAGACCUAAAAUCACAUAGAAGAAAGUAAUCCCAAAAGACCUGGUAUAAAUAUAGACUUAGCUAAAGAUAGGGCACAAUGGAAGAAAAGAUCUUAAGGUGAUAGCCAUUAGUUGAGGAUAUAUUUUACACUCGUAUGAACCUUAUUUGUUAUGAUGAUGAUAUGAUAUGAGCUUAAAUGAAGAAAUCAGGAUUCAUAUAGCCAAUCCCAACUUGUUUGGGACUGAGGCGUAGUUUUUGUUGAUUCAAAGUAUUUAAUGUGUUUGGUUGUUAAGAUUAAAAAGUAAAAGCUAGUGCGUUUUAAUCACCGAAAGAUUUGAAAUUUGUGAUUUUAGAUAUAAUUUUAAAGCUAAUGCUUGCAAGUAUUUAGUAUGUUUGGUUGUUUUAUUUGAUGUAGGAUGGAUAGGGUUUGCAUAUAUAUUGCUUACAAUGGCAAAUGGACUACAAAUAACAAAUUUGGAUCAUGAGAUCAAGCUACUUCUUGUGAAUGAUGGGAUAACAUUUGAAGGUCUCGCCAAGAAGAUUUUUCAGGUUCUAAAACUGAAAGUGGGUGAGAUUAAAGCAAAUAUUUGGUUUGACUCGAAUUUAGAAACAAGGAAAGGAAUGCAAGUAACAAAUGAUGAGGAAGUUACUACUUGCAUCUACUUGUUGAAAAAUGAUCCAAAUUUCAAGACUUCCUGUUUCAUUGUUGAUAUUGCGGAAAAUAAUUCUUUGUCCGCAGUCAAUAUUGUACAACAUGAGGAAAUGCAGAUUGAAAGAGAUGAGACAUCGAUACCAAUUGAGCCAAUAUCAGAGUUUGAACCUCUGGAAACAAAAUCAUCUCAUGGUAUGAAAGAGAGAAAAAGGGCCCAGAACAGAAAAGUAUCAAAAAAAAAGAAAAAGAUGGAGUAAAAGAGACGAUUUGUCAGGUGUGAUUUUGAGAGAAGAUGCUUCAUUGGAUGAAAUAUUUGUGGGAUCUUUGUUUGCGAACAAAGAAUGUUUAAAUAUUUUGGGAGCUUUUGAUAAAUAUCAACAGAUGCACCCAUCUUUCCUAAAUGAUACAAAAUCUGAGAAAUCAACAGCAUUGACUCAAUACUUCCUUCUUUCCCUUUCAAGGACUCUAAAGCCUCCUCCAAUUUAUUUUGCCGAUAUAAGCAAUAUCCCUUUUCAAAGAAAGCAUGACAAUGAAAAAGGGGAAAUGUUAGUGAGAAACAAAAUCUAGAAUUGAAGAGAAAGGAACUUAUUUUUCUUUUCAUUAAGUAGAUGAGAUACACUGUAAACACAAGGCAAGUAUAUGUAAAUAAUUUGCAUAAAGAUGGGUCUGGAAGGAUCCAAAGCUAACUUGGCACUGAAAAGAAGCAUAUGAAAUUGUUAACUAUCCCCUGUAGGAAUAAUAAGGGACUGAUGACUGCUCGUAUAUUUCCUAUUAUACUUCCUACUUCUUAGUUGGAAUUGCCCAUGGGAGGAAGCCAUAAGGAUGUUUCAGUUCUAAUCAUAUCACUCAGGUUAUACAAUACGAGACUAUCAUAUGAAAAAAUUGUUGUCUCGAACAUCCUGGAGAUUCGACCUUUGGUAUGAGUAUCCUAACUAAGUUAACAACAUACGUUGUAGUUUCUUCUCUUUUUCCUCUUCCCAACCGUAGAUCACUGACAGUUAUUUCUUAAGGGUAUUUGAGUCUUUUUCUAUGCAUUUAGUACAUAUACUAUGUCGUUUUGACCCUAAAUCUAAGUCCUAUAACAACCUUUCUAUCCCUAGUUCUACCCGAACCCUCUUAUUCUCUCAAAUUCCCAAAUCCCAUCCAAGUUCAUCUUCCCCAAUUCUCUCUCAAAUUCAAGGAAGAAACUAGGGUUCAAGCUUCAAGUCUCCUUUUUCCUCCAUUGCUUUUGGGCUUUGAUCAUCAAGGUAUGUGAGAAUUCACCAAUGGUGUAACACCUCGAAAACCAGACCCAGAAAAUUUUUGCAGAAAUAUACCUGAAGCAGUGAACCACGACAGGGUUCACAGACCAUGAAAGGGCCCACGAUUCGUAGACCUGCCCGUGGUCUUGACAUGGAAGUCACUAGGCCCAGACAUCAGACCACGAGCAACCUCACUAUCCGUGGUCUUGAUGACGGGCCAUGGUGGCGCCCGUAUAGUCGAGGCAGUGAACCUUCCUAGCCAGCCUCUUAGACCCCUACGCCUAAGUGAGGACCACGAGGACCUUCACACGGCCCGUGGGAGCGUCCGUGGAGCCUUACCAGUAAGCCCCCUAGCUAGUCCCUCCAGACCACAGCCCAGGUGGAGACCACAAACACUUUCACGGUCCGUGGUCCUUCACACGGGCCGUGGUAGGGCUCGUGGACUCAGACCCUCAGCUAGUAGUCACCAAGUCUAGACCUUGACUGACUUCACGGUCCGUGGUCUCUUUCACGGUUUGUGAAGGUGGCCGUGGUCAGCCUAUCUGCAGUUUAAGUCAGGGUUAUUUCGGUCUUUUCCUUAUUCGUUGGACACCUAAACUACGUCGUUUUAACCCUAAAUUAUGAGGUUUUUAGUCAGUUUAAGCCUAGGAACAUAACUAGAACUUACCUAAGUUAGAUCAUUAAUCAAAACCUAGAAAAAUUAGAGUGUAAGAGGAGAAGAGAAGUCAAGAACCCUAGUUCAAGAACGCAACAAGUUUCCUCCAGUUCCAACCCUGAAAUCGAAGGAUUUCUCCGUGGAAUUCGUCACCAGGUAUGUGGGAUUUCACUAGUGGGUUCCUUUCACCCAUUAGGUCCCUAACUUUCAGUCAGUUUCUUGAUUCCCUUAUUAUAACUAGACAUAGGGUUUCUUGAAUGAUAGAAUUAUUGGGUUCUUAGCUGUUAGAAUGAUACAAAUCAGAUUAGUAUGUCAAUAUUCAGUUUAUUCCAUGAAUUCCAGAACCAUAUCUAUGUAUUUUUCUAGUUCUUGAAUUACACAUGCUAGGUAAGAUAUUUCAGUUAUACAUGCCCUAGUUAUUAAUGCAUCAAUAUCAGUUUAAUUGUUGCAUACUCAGUUUGCAUGUUCAGUUUGAGCUAUCCAGCAGUUUACAGAAAUUCAGUCAUAAUGUGUUAAUUACUUAAUCCAUUGGGAGUAGCAUAAUACCGAGUUGGACUAGGGUUCAGCGUACCCAAAUAGUCCCAGAACUACUAGCCACGUAGGUUGUAAAUCCCCUCUGUGGGCAUCAUUUCAGUAAUCACGCCAGCACGCCUCUAUACCUCUAGCAGAGUAUAUUGGGGUCCUCUCGAUGGGGCGUAUACAUCGAACUUCACAUUUAGCUUAUGUGGUUUUAUUAUCGGUUAUUAGCAGCUCCCACAGUUCAGUCAGAUUCUAUUGCAUUGACCAUGUAUCAGUAUAUUCAGUAUUCAGUCUCAUCAUGUUAUAAAUUGGUCAUUGUCAUUUAGUUAGCUCAGUAUUCAGUAUCUAUAUCAUGUUUAGAUUAUUAUUAUUGUCUUAUUUUCUUUGUUCAGUUAUAUGUUAUUUCAGCUUAUUCUAUCCUGCAUGCUCAGUACCUUUCAAGUACUGACGCAUACUCUGCACUUACAUCUUCUCGUGAUGUAGGUUCAGGUUCUCAACAUCCAAAUCACGCUUAGAUCACUUCCCGAUCGUUAGUUCAGCAAAAUCAGUGGUGAGUCCUCAUUCUUCGAGGACCAGUGUCAUGUUUAUCUUUUCAGUACUUUUAGUCCUUUUGUUUCAGUUUUGCUAGAUCUAGUUGGGGCAUGUCCCAACAUUUCUAGUCAGUUUAGAGGCUUAUUUUAGACAUAGUUAGAUUCAAUUUAGAAUUGAGUUAAUAUCUUCUUUGUAUUAAACAGAUCAAUUUUCAUAUAUCUCAGUUAUAGUAUAUGGUAUUCCCCAUUUUUUUUCAUAUUUAUUUAUGAUUAUAGCUUCCGCUUCAGUUUAUUAUUCAACUUAUCUUAGUAUGCUCAUGAUCAUGCCAGCAAGAUUAGCUUGGGAUCACUUGUGGUCCUAGGUCCCGUGUCCGCGUCUCGGGGGUAGUCUCGGGGCGUGACAAACUUGGUAUAGAGCCUUAGGUUUAAGAGUCCUAGAAUGUCUGAAAAGCCGCACUAAGUAGAGUCCUUUUCAUGGGUGUGAAGUGCACCACAUCUAAUGAGAGGGAGGCUACGAAGUGAUUUAGGAAAACUUCAUUUUCUUGUUACUCUUAUCGUGCUUAAGGUAUGAUCUAAUUAUAUUUUAACUCGACGUUCUACGUUUCAGUGAUCAUGCUUCCUCGUAGAGCUAACUCCAGGAAUGUGAAUGCCAGGAAUGCAAACACAGCUCCUCCAGUCCCAGAUCAGGAAGUUUCUAAUGCAGAAUUCAAGAACGCCAUUUAGAUGUUGGCUCAGAGUGUGGCCAACCAGAACAAUCAGCGGGUUCCAGUUCAGGCAAAUGCCAAUGUUGGGUCAGCUGCAGACUUUGUUAGGAGGAAUCCACCAGAGUUCUUAGGAUCACAAGUUGGAGAAGAUCCUCAAAACUUCAUUGAUGAGGUCAAGAAGAUCUUUGAAGUGAUGUAGGUAACUGGGAAUGAUCGGGUUGAGUUAGCAUCGUAUCAACUGAAAGAUGUAGCUCAUAUCUAGUAUACUUAGUGGAAGGAGAAAAAGGGUACAAAUGCAGCUCAUAUUACUUGGGAUUAUUUCAGCGAAACCUUUCUGGACAGGUUUUUCCCCAUAGAGUUGAGAGAAGCAAGGGCCCAGGAAUUUAUGAACUUAAGGCAGGGUAACAUAACGGUCCAAGAGUAUGGGCUCAAGUUUAACCAACUCUCCAGGGAUGCUCCUCACAUGGUUGCUGAUUCCAAGGCUCAGAUGAAUAAGUUUCUGUAUGUCAGACUUAGUGAAGACAGAGUGCAGGAAUGCUAUGUUGUUGGGAGACAUGAACAUCUCUAGGCUCAUGACUCACGCUCAGCAGGUUGAGGGUGAUAAGCUUAGGAAACAGGCUAAGGAGAGUAAGAAAGCAAGAACAGGCAACUAUGACUACUCUCAACAGAAGUCGGGUGGUGGAAAUCGCUCGCUAUUUCAGCAGAAGUCUUCGACUCCAGCACCCUCAUCAGCUAGUGUGCCGUCUUACAAGAACAAGUAUGAUAAAAAAGGUGGAGUAUCAGGCUCUAAGUCUCAAGGUAGUAUUUCAGGCACCAAAACCUACCCAACUUGCCCCAAGUGUGGUAAGAAUCAUCCGGGCGAGUGUCUUGCAGGAAAAGAAGGAUGAUUUGGGUGUGGUUAGUCUGGUCACAGGUUGAGGGAUUGUCCUUCUAGACAGGGUCAAGCAGGUAAUAAUGGUAGAUCCCAGUUUACAACUUCAGCAGCACCAGCAGGUCGCCAGACUCAGCAGGGUAACUCAUCUGGUACAGGUGGCGGACAGUGCCAGAACAUGUUGUAUGCACUUCAGGUUCGCCAAGAUCAAGAAGAUUCUCCUGAUGUAGUCACUGGUACGUUGCGAGUCUUUGAUCUUGACGGUUAUGCAUUGUUAGAUCCAGGGGCUACUUUGUCAUUUGUAACUUCUUUUAUAGCGGUCAAAUUCAGUAUUAGUCCAGAAACUCUCCCAAAACCUUUCUCAGUCUCUGGUUCUCAGUCUCUACUCCAGUCGGUGACCCAAUUAUAGCUAGACGGGUAUGCAGAAAUUGCCUUGUCACAGUCUCCCAGAAAGUCACCUCAUCAGAUCUUGUAGAGUUAGAAAUGGUAGACUUCGAUAUCAUUCUAGGCAUGGAUUGGUUACAUUCCUGUUAUGCCUCAGUCAAUUGUAGAACUAGGGUUGUUCGUUUUCAGUUUCCAGAUGAACCAAUCUUAGAAUGGAAGGGUAGUAGCUUAGCGCCUAUGGGUCGAUUCAUUUCUUACCUUGAGGCCAGAAAGAUGAUCUCUAAGGGUUAUCUCUAUUAUCUAGUUCGGGUUAAGGAUUCAAGCUCCGAAACUCCAACUCUUGAGUCAGUUCCUGUGGUUAAUGGGUUUGGAGAAGAUCUUCCCGGAGUUCCUCCCGAUAGGGAAAUCGACUUUGGAAUUGAUCUCCUUCCAGAUACCCAGCCUAUCUCUAUUCCUCCUUACAGAAUGACUCCCGCUGAACUUAAGGAAUUGAAGGAGCAGUUGAAAGACCUUCUAGACAAAGGCUUCAUCAGACAUAGUAUUUCGCCAUGGGGUGCACCAGUGUUGUUCGUAAAGAAGAAAGAUGGUUCUCUCAGAAUGUGCAUUGACUAUAGGCAGUUGAACAAGGUUACAAUCAAGAAUAAGUAUCCCAUUCCCAGGAUAGAUGACUUGUUUGACCAACUUCAGGGUGCUAGUCAUUUCUCAAAGAUAGACCUCAGAUCGGGUUAUCAUCAGCUUAAAGUCAGAGAUAGUGACAUUCCAAAGAUAGCCUUCAGGACUCGGUAUGGUCAUUAUGAAUUAGUAGUUAUGUCAUUUGGACUAACCAAUGCUCCUGCAGCUUUCAUGGACUUGAUGAACAGAGUGUUCAAGCAGUACUUGGACUUGUUCGUUAUCGUUUUUAUUGAUGAUAUCCUCAUUUACUCUAGAAAUGAGGAAGAACUUGCGAGUCAUUUGAGAGUUUUUCUGGAGACUCUCAAAGAUCGCCAGUUAUUCACCAAAUUUAACAAGUGCGAGUUUUGGUUGCAGUCGGUUGCUUUUCUUGGGCAUAUAGUGUCUAGUGAAGGGAUUCAAGUAGAUUCCCAGAAAAUAGAGGCAGUGAAACAAUGGCCCAAACCUACCUCUCCUACCGAUAUCAGAAGUUUCAUGGGUCUAGCGGGUUAUUACAGAAGGUUCGUGGAAGGAUUUUCAUCCAUAGCCUCACCAUUGACUAGGUUGACUCAGAAGAUGGUCAAGUUUCAGUGGUCAGAUGAUUGUGAGAAAAGCUUCGCAGAAUUGAAAACUAGGUUGACUAACACUUCUGUUUUGACUCUACCAGAGGGUUUAGACGGUUAAGUGAUUUAUUGUGAUGCAUUCGGAGUCGGCCUAGGUUGUGUGUUGAUGCAGCGAGGUAAGGUUAUAGCUUAUGCUUCUAGACAACUUAAGGUACAUGAGAAGAAUUAUCUGACUCAUGACCUCGAGCUUGCAGCAGUGGUUUUUGCCCUAAAGAUUUAGAGACAUUACUUGUAUGGUGUUCAUGUAGAUGUGUUCACAGACCAUAAGAGCCUCCAGUAUGUAUUCACCCAGAAAGAGUUGAAUCUUCGCCAGAGAAGGUGGCUUGAGUUCCUCAAAGAUUAUGAUAUNNNNNNNNNNNNNNNNNNNNNNNNNNNNNNNNNNNNNNNNNNNNNNNNNNNNNNNNNNNNNNNNNNNNNNNNNNNNNNNNNNNNNNNNNNNNNNNNNNNNNNNNNNNNNNNNNNNNNNNNNNNNNNNNNNNNNNNNNNNNNNNNNNNNNNNNNNNNNNNNNNNNNNNNNNNNNNNNNNNNNNNNNNNNNNNNNNNNNNNNNNNNNNNNNNNNNNNNNNNNNNNNNNNNNNNNNNNNNNNNNNNNNNNNNAUGACUCAAGAGAUUGACAUUCCUACUUGGAAGUGGGAAGUGAUCAACAUGGACCUAAUCACAGGUUUAUCUCGUACUGGCAGACAACAUGACUCCAUUUGGGUGAUAGUUGACAGAGUUACUAAGUCUUCUCGCUUUUUGGUUGUCAAGACUACAGAUUUGGCGGACGACUACGCCAAGCUUUAUAUUAAUGAGAUUGUGAGGUUGCAUGAGGUUCCUUUGUCUAUCAUCUCAGAUAUAGGUCCUUAGUUUACCUCUCAUUUCUGGAAGUCAUUCCAGAAGGGUCUUGGUACUCAGGUUAACCUUAGCACAACAUUUCAUCCACAGACGGAUGGUCAGGCAGAGCGUACCAUUCAGACCUUAGAGGACAUGUUGAGAGCUUGUGUGAUCGAUUUCAAGGGUUGUUGGGAUGAUCACCUUCCUCUUAUUGAGUUCGCCUACAACAAUAGUUACUAGUCUAGCAUUCAGAUGGCCCCUUAUGAGGCAUUGUAUGGGCGUAGAUGCAGAUCUCUUGUUGGUUGGUUUGAAGUAGGUGAAGCAGCCUUGAUAGGGCCAAAUUCAGUCUUUUAUGCUAUGGAGAAAGUGCAACUCAUUAGAAAUAGACUUAAGACAACCCAGAGUCGCCAGAAGUCUUAUGCAGAUGUAAGGAAAAGGGAACUAGAGUUCCAAGUUGAUGAUUGGGUUUGCCUGAAGGUGUCACCUAUGAAGGGGGUGAUGAGGUUUGGCAAGAAAGGGGAGCUUAGUCCCGGAUAUGUAGGCCCAUACCAGAUGUUUGUACCGGCCGAGCUUAUGGGGGCUUGGUUAGGUUGUUGUUUUAUUAUUUUUGAUAAGUUAAGAUUUAGGAGUAGGUCGGUACACUUAUCGUAUCCUUGAUCUAUUUAUCAGAUUAUUCCAAUAUAUUAGGAUACCUACUCAUAGUCUAUGACCUUUCAUACUCUGUACAUUAUUUCGUAUUGACGCCCCAUUGCCUGGGGGCACUGCAUUCAUGCCUGCAGGUCCCGAUAGAUGACCCAGUGGACCUCCUCAGCAGCAGGAUUGACUUUUAUCCGGUUGGCUAUCCCCUUUCCUUCGGAUCUGCCAGAGUUUGGAGGUUUGUUAGCUUUUGUUGUAUAUAUUUUUAUUGGUAGGUUGGGGCCAUGUCCCGCCAAUUUGUACUACUCUUAGAGGCUUGUAGACUAGUGUGUGGGGUGUAUAGCUANNNNNNNNNNNNNNNNNNNNNNNNNNNNNNNNNNNNNNNNNNNNNNNNNNNNNNNNNNNNNNNNNNNNNNNNNNNNNNNNNNNNNNNNNNNNNNNNNNNNNNNNNNNNNNNNNNNNNNNNNNNNNNNNNNNNNNNNNNNNNNNNNNNNNNNNNNNNNNNNNNNNNNNNNNNNNNNNNNNNNNNNNNNNNNNNNNNNNNNNNNNNNNNNNNNNNNNNNNNNNNNNNNNNNNNNNNNNNNNNNNNNNNNNNNNNNNNNNNNNNNNNNNNNNNNNNNNNNNNNNNNNNNNNNNNNNNNNNNNNNNNNNNNNNNNNNNNNNNNNNNNNNNNNNNNNNNNNNNNNNNNNNNNNNNNNNNNNNNNNNNNNNNNNNNNNNNNNNNNNNNNNNNNNNNNNNNNNNNNNNNNNNNNNNNNNNNNNNNNNNNNNNNNNNNNNNNNNNNNNNNNNNNNNNNNNNNNNNNNNNNNNNNNNNNNNNNNNNNNNNNNNNNNNNNNNNNNNNNNNNNNNNNNNNNNNNNNNNNNNNNNNNNNNNNNNNNNNNNNNNNNNNNNNNNNNNNNNNNNNNNNNNNNNNNNNNNNNNNNNNNNNNNNNNNNNNNNNNNNNNNNNNNNNNNNNNNNNNNNNNNNNNNNNNNNNNNNNNNNNNNNNNNNNNNNNNNNNNNNNNNNNNNNNNNNNNNNNNNNNNNNNNNNNNNNNNNNNNNNNNNNNNNNNNNNNNNNNNNNNNNNNNNNNNNNNNNNNNNNNNNNNNNNNNNNNNNNNNNNNNNNNNNNNNNNNNNNNNNNNNNNNNNNNNNNNNNNNNNNNNNNNNNNNNNNNNNNNNNNNNNNNNNNNNNNNNNNNNNNNNNNNNNNNNNNNNNNNNNNNNNNNNNNNNNNNNNNNNNNNNNNNNNNNNNNNNNNNNNNNNNNNNNNNNNNNNNNNNNNNNNNNNNNNNNNNNNNNNNNNNNNNNNNNNNNNNNNNNNNNNNNNNNNNNNNNNNNNNNNNNNNNNNNNNNNNNNNNNNNNNNNNNNNNNNNNNNNNNNNNNNNNNNNNNNNNNNNNNNNNNNNNNNNNNNNNNNNNNNNNNNNNNNNNNNNNNNNNNNNNNNNNNNNNNNNNNNNNNNNNNNNNNNNNNNNNNNNNNNNNNNNNNNNNNNNNNNNNNNNNNNNNNNNNNNNNNNNNNNNNNNNNNNNNNNNNNNNNNNNNNNNNNNNNNNNNNNNNNNNNNNNNNNNNNNNNNNNNNNNNNNNNNNNNNNNNNNNNNNNNNNNNNNNNNNNNNNNNNNNNNNNNNNNNNNNNNNNNNNNNNNNNNNNNNNNNNNNNNNNNNNNNNNNNNNNNNNNNNNNNNNNNNNNNNNNNNNNNNNNNNNNNNNNNNNNNNNNNNNNNNNNNNNNNNNNNNNNNNNNNNNNNNNNNNNNNNNNNNNNNNNNNNNNNNNNNNNNNNNNNNNNNNNNNNNNNNNNNNNNNNNNNNNNNNNNNNNNNNNNNNNNNNNNNNNNNNNNNNNNNNNNNNNNNNNNNNNNNNNNNNNNNNNNNNNNNNNNNNNNNNNNNNNNNNNNNNNNNNNNNNNNNNNNNNNNNNNNNNNNNNNNNNNNNNNNNNNNNNNNNNNNNNNNNNNNNNNNNNNNNNNNNNNNNNNNNNNNNNNNNNNNNNNNNNNNNNNNNNNNNNNNNNNNNNNNNNNNNNNNNNNNNNNNNNNNNNNNNNNNNNNNNNNNNNNNNNNNNNNNNNNNNNNNNNNNNNNNNNNNNNNNNNNNNNNNNNNNNNNNNNNNNNNNNNNNNNNNNNNNNNNNNNNNNNNNNNNNNNNNNNNNNNNNNNNNNNNNNNNNNNNNNNNNNNNNNNNNNNNNNNNNNNNNNNNNNNNNNNNNNNNNNNNNNNNNNNNNNNNNNNNNNNNNNNNNNNNNNNNNNNNNUAGCUACGUUAUGGCCAUGCUGGCCUAGUUUGUUGGUUUGCUGAAGCUUGUGAGCUGUUUGAUGUAUUGUAUUGAUAUAUACCUGCUUUUAGUUUUGGUAUAGAUAUCAUGGUGGCCUCGACGGCCCAAUCAGGACUUCUAUGCUAGUUGGCUAUUUCUUUAUAUGAAUUCUUGGGAGUAGUUGUUUCGUUUAUAGAUCUAUUGAUAGAGGCCUUGCCGGCCGAAGGCUUAGUUUUAAGCCGAGAUAUACUUGUUUGUUUUCUUGAUUGUGUGUGGCUGCCAUGCGCUAGUAGCAGAUGGUUCAGCAAGGUCGGCUCGAGCCUGAGUUUUGGCAUUAGGAGCCCAUUCCGCCCUUGAGUUUGGGGCGUGACAAACUUGGUAUCAAAGCAAUGUCGUAUCCUAGGGAGUCUUCAAGCCGUGUCUAGUAGAGUCUUGUUUAUAAAUGUGUUGUGCACCACAUUCGAUAAGCAAGAAGCUACCGGGCAUGUUAGAAUGACUAUCCUUUUUUUGUUCACCUCAUGCUAUAGAGCAGUGUCUUAAGGGUUGAGGUUUCUGGCUUAUAAUUGAUAUUUGUAUGCAAAUAGAGAUGGCCGACACCAGACAGACCACUGCUAGCCAAGGGCUAGAUACAACUGUAGGCGAGGGUACCGACAAGGUACCACAGGUGAAGGGAGCCCAUUGUGAGACCCAGGGGAAGACAUCUUCUCAGCCCCCUAUAGGUUCUCCACAGCUUCAGGAGCCUCCGAGGGCUACAGGACCCCCAGCUCCACCAGCAGUACCACCUCUAGUUCCUCAUAUUCCAUCUGACCAGGAUUUCAAGAGUGCAGUAUGUAUGUUAGCACAAUUAGUAGUUGCACAGCGCCAACCAGUUGCGCCAGAUAUUGCUGGACCUUUUGAAGGGCCCGAAAGUUCAAUAGUUUGUGAAUUUCUUGCCUUGGAUCCUCCACAGUUUACAAGGAUAGAUCACAGAGAGGACCCUCAACACUUUGUUGAUCAGCUUCAUAGGAUAUUCAGAGUCAUGCACGCCUCAACGACUGAGUAAGUUGAGUUAGCAUCAUUUCGAUUGCGCAAUGUUGAAGUAUUGUGGUACAAAAGUUGGGAGAGAUCUAGGGGAAAAUAUGCAGCUCUACCCACUUAGGGAUGACCGGGUGGACCAGCUUUUGAACCUUUGACAGGGCAGCAUGAGUGUCCGAGAGUACGGGCUGAAAUUUAAUUCAUUGGCUAGAUAUGCACCAGCAUUUGUUGAUAAGAUACAUGACAGGGUGCGUAGAUUUGUGGGAGGGCUUGACUCAAACUAUAUUGACGUUUGUUCUACCACUGCACUAAAUGAUAAAUAUGGAUAUCUCGCGAAUUCAGGCCUUUGCACAAGAAAUAGAGGAUCGCCGACAUCUGCAGUAUAUGAGUGAGAGGGUCGAGAGAGAGAGACAGAAGAGGGCUAGGCCCGUUGUGUCACAUGGAGAUUUCCAGGUUAGUCCCAGACCCCGAUAUUCUAUUAGGCCACCUAGACCUCCACCACAGCAGUUCCUGGGUAGUAGAUUUGAUCGUCAGGGACAGUCAGGCCCAGGUGAGGGUUCACGAGCAUCAGGCUCUCAGCAGCAGAGGGGUUCAGACCAGGCUAGGACAGCCUCGUCGCGUUGCUCUACUUGCGGUAGGAUGCAUUUUAGGAGGUAUAGGUAGGGUUCCAUAUGUUGUUAUUCUUGUGGACAGGAGGGGCAUGGGUGGAGAAACUUCCCUACCAUAGGUCAGGGUGGUAUAGGUCAGUCGACCAGGUCAAUAGGUUCCUCCUCAUCAACACAGUCUACAGGGCGUUGACCCCAAACUCCAGCAGGUAGAGGUAGAGGUGGAGGAAGAGAGGGAACAUCUAGUUCUGGUAGUGGCCAAAACCGUAUAUAUUCACUAGCCGAUCGACAAGACUCAGAGUCAUCACCAGAUGUUGUGACAGGUAGAUUGAUUAUUUGCUCCCAUUGUGUUUAUGCUUUGAUAGAUCCUGGAUCUACUAUUUCUUAUGUUACUCUAUUUAUCGCGGGGAAGUUAUGUAUAGUAGCAGAGUCAUUAGAUCAACUUUUUAUGGUAUCUACACCAGUUGGUGAGUCUAUUAUUGCCAGGAGAGUCUAUCGAGGUUGCACGGUAGAAAUUUUAGACCGUCAGACCUCUGUAGACCUCAUAGAGUUAGAAAUGGUCAAUUUUGACGUUAGUAUGGGUAUGGACUGGUUAGCGUCUUGUUAUGCUAAUGUUGAGUGCCGAACAAAUAUUGUUAGAUUCCACUUUCCAGGAGAGGCAAUUCGGGAAUGGAAAGGCGAUACAACAAUGCCAAAAGGUAGGUUUAUUCCCUAUCUUAAGCCGAGGAGGAUGAUUACUAAGGGUUGCAUUUAUCAUCUUGUUCGCGUUCAUGUUAUAGAUGUAGAACCACCGACUCUUCAGUCUAUUCCGGUAGUUAAUGAGUUUCUAGAUGUAUUUCCAGAUGAGCUCCCUGGUAUCCCUCCAGAACGGGAAAUUGAUUUUGCUAUCGAUAUGCUACCAGGUACACAAACCAUAUCUAUCCCUCCUUAUAGAAUGGCUCAUGUUGAGCUAAAGGAGUUGAAGGAUCAGUUGAAAGACUUGUUGGAUAAAGGCUUUACCGACAGUUGAAUAAGGCGACUAUAAAGAAGAAGUAUCCCCUUUCGAGGAUCGAUGACUUGUUUGAUCAGUUACAAGGUGUUGAGUGCUUCUCAAAGAUUGAUUUAAGAUCAGGGUACCACCAGAUACGAGUUCGGGAGAAAGACGUUCCAAAGACAACUUUUAGAACCAGAUAUGGACACUUUUGAGUUCUUGGUAAUGUCUUUUGGAUUAACUAAUGCCCCAACAGUGUUCAUGGACCUAAUGAAUAGCAUAUUCAGGCCAUAUCUAGAUACAUUUGUGAGUGUAUUUAUUGAUGAUAUUUUGGUCUAUUCUCAUUCAAAAGCUGAGCAUGCAGAUCACUUGUGAGCAGUCCUUCAGGUUCUUCGAGAGCAGGAACUUUAUGCAAAUUUCUCUAAGUGUGAGUUCUGGUUGAGCUCUGUGGCUUUCCUAGGCCAUAUCAUAUCAGAUUCCGGCAUUAUGGUUGAUAUACAAAAGAUUGAGGCCAUAAAGACUUGGCCAAGACCCAUGACUCCGACUGAGGUUUGUAGUUUCUUAGGAUUAGCUGGGUACUACAUAAGGUUUGUAGAGAGGUUUUCUUCACUUUCAGCACCAUUAACGAAGUUGACUAAAAAAAUGGCUAAGUUCUAGUGGACUGAGGCUUGCGAGCAUAGUUUCCGGGAACUGAAGGACAUGUUGACAUCAUUACCAGUUCUAGCAUUGCCAGAGGGUUCAGAGGGCUAUGCUGUGUACUGUGAUGCCUCUGGUGUUAGGUUGGGAUGUGUUCUAAUGCAACAUGGUAAGGUUAUCACAUAUGCUUCAAAGUAGUUGAGGAAGCAUGAGAAGAACUAUCCAACCCACGAUUUAGAGUUGGUUGCAAUUGUGCAUGCGUUAAAGAUCUGGAGACACUAUUUGUAUGGCGUUGAUGUUGACAUUUUCACAGAUCAUAAAAGUCUUCAAUAUAUCUUUAGACAGAAGGAGUUAAAUCUACAACAACGUCGAUGGCUUGAAUUACUGAAAGACUACAACGUGGAUAUUUUAUAUCAUCCAGGAAAGGCAAAUGUGGUAGCGGAUGCCCUCAGUUGAAGAUCUAUAGGUAGUUUGUCCUAUUUAGGUGUUGACAAGCGGGAGCUAGCGCGAGAGCUUCAUCAGUUAGCUAGCUUGGGAGUCAGAUUGUUGCCCUUAGGGCUAUUGUAGUUAGCUGCAGGAAUGUGAUCUAUGCCUAGAAGGGCUAUGUUCUGCCUACGGGGCUAUAUGGAUGCCUAAGAGGGCUAUGAGUUGCCUAUGGGUCUAUAUUGAUGCCUACAAGGGCUAUGAGUUGCCUACAGGGCUAUAUUGACGCCUAAGAAGGUUAUGUGCUUCCUAUAGGGCCAUGUUGUUGCCUAAGAGGGCUAUGAGUUGUCUAUAAGCUAUGUUGAUGCCUAAGAGAGCUAUGUGCUGCCUACGGGGCUAUAUUAAUGCCUAAGAGGACUAUGUGACUGCCUAUGGAGCUAAGGGACUACCGAUAGGGGUAUAUAGACUGAUUGGCACCUUCCGGGCUUAUGGGGGCCUGAGUAGGUGGUCUUGUGUGCUGUUUGUACUAGCCGAGCUUAUGGGGGCUUGGUUAGGUUGUUGUUUUAUUAUUUUUGAUAAGUUAAGAUUUAGGAGUAGGUCGGUACAAUUAUCGUAUCCUUGAUCUAUUUAUCAGAUUAUUCCAGUAUAUUAGGAUACCUGCUCAUAGUCUAUGGCCUUUCAUACUCUGUACAUUAUUUCGUAGUGACGCCCCAUUGCCUGUCUCAUAUGAGUUGAUCAUCUUACUAAAAAUAAUUGUACCAUCUUAGUUGUCCACCUUACUAAAUCAAGAAAACAUUAAUUAAAACUUUUCUAUAUUACCCUUGUAAUUAAUUUUUUUUGAAAGUGUUCACAUUUAUUUGUAAAAUUUUCAAGAAGUUUUUUAAUGGGUAAAUUAGUAAAAUUAUUAUUUUUUAUUUAUGAUUUCUUAAUAUGUGUAUAAAAAAUGAUCAACUAAUAUGAGCCAGAGAGAGUAAUACAUAAUUAUUCAUAAUUAACGUCCAAACAUAUAAAAUGGCCACAACAACCCAAUAAAGCAAAUCAAGAAAAGGAUUAGCCCCAAACAAGCGGCCCAAACCCAACUUAGACAUAAACAAAAUAAAAAUAAAAAUUGCAAAUAUAGUUCCAAAAAGAGAAAGGCAUUGAAAAGGAAGGCAUACCGGCACCGUUUAAGAAUUAUAAAAAUAAAGUGAUUUUAAAAUGAAGCUAAAUUUUUUUAAUCAAAUUGUAUUGAUAUAAUUAACUUUUUAAGAAUAAACCGAUUGAAUGUAUCAUUAACAUGGAUCCGGCUCCUCUCCAUUUUAUGAGUUGAGAGUUAAAAUUGUAUUUUCCUCUUAAUUCAUUGCACAAAAAGAAGUUGAAAUAUACGAAUAUAAAAAUUAUCCGUACUUUAAAUUAUACUUAAAACAUUUAAAUAAUAUACUCUAUUAAAAUGAUUUUUUUUACUUUUUUCUUUCCUUAUAUUGUCCUCUUCUUAGGCAUCCUAAUUAGGAAUAAUACAGAUUUUCAAUAGUCUUUUUUAUAAUUUAUUUUUAAAUAAUCGUGGGACCUUUCAAUUCACAUGUCAAUUAAUAAACUGUAUCGCAUAAGUAAUGUUAAUUAUACGCCUAUGUUAUUUAUACGACUCAAAUUUCUCAAUGUUAUGAACUACGCUUAUUUAUUAUUUAUUAUCCUAAAAAUAAAAACAAUUGAUACUCCCUCUGUCCCAAUUUAUAUGACUUACUUUCCUUUUUAGUCAGUCCCAAAAAGAAUGACACAUUUCUAUUUUAAGUAACAAUUUGCCUAUAAAAUGUCUUUUUUACCCUUAAUGAAAUGAUUUACAACCACACAAAUUUCUAUCAUUCAUUUUGGACCACAAGUUUUAAAAGUCUUUCCAUUUUUCUUAAAGUUUGUGCCAAAUCAAAGUACAUCAUAUAAANNNNNACAACAAUUUUUAUUUUUUUUAUUUUUUUCGAUAAAUCCCGAAAAUUAGUACUCCCUCUGUCCCAAUUUAUAUGACUCACUUUCCUUUUUAGUCUGUUCCAAAAAGAAUGACACAUUUCUAUUUUAAGUAACAAUUUGCCUAUAAAAUGUCUUUUUUACCCUUAAUGAAAUGAUUUACAACCACACAAAUUUCUAUCAUUCAUUUUGGACCACAAGUUUUAAAAGUCUUUCCAUUUUUCUUAAAGUUUGUGCCAAAUCAAAGUACAUCAUAUAAAAUGGGACGGAGGGAGUAUUAGUUUUUCUCUUAAUAUGAUUAUGUUAUGCGUGAAUCUAGCAUAUGUAGAGAUUUAUUAGCUCAUAUUUUGUCGAACAUAGUUUUUUUUUUUUAUAAUUUUGUUGUAUUUAAACGGUAGGUGACGAGUUCUCCAAAAUUAUUCACAUAUAGUGAUUGAUGAAGUAAAUCGGGAUAUAAGGGUGUGUUUGAUAUGAAGGAAGAAAAUAUUUUUUAAUUUUUCAUGUUUGAUUGGCCUAAAUGUUUACCAAAUAACUUAUAUUUCUCAAAUUUAAGGAAAAUGACUUUCCUUCAAAAAAAAUUAAGAAAACAUUUUCCAAAACUCUCCUCCAACCUAAAAUUACAAUUUUCUUCUUACUCCACCCCAUCCUGACCCUUCCCCUCUAAAAAAAAAACUUAAAAUUUUAAAAUUUUCCUUUUAAAAAAAAAUUGUAUUUUUUUUACCCCUCUCCACAUUUAGUUAUUUUUUACCCUAUCCUACUCCUGACCACCCCUACCACUACCACCUCUACAAUUUUUUGUUUUUUAAAGUUCUUUAUUGAAAAAUAUUUCAAACUUUUUAGAAUUUAUUUUACCCCACCUCUACACCCCCCCCCCUCCCACAAAAUCAAAAAAAUUAUGAUUUUCAUUUUUUUUGCACCUCAUCCCUACCCCGGCCCCCUCCCAGCCCUCACCCCUCCCCCACAGAAUCAAUAACCAAAUCAAUAAGUUAUUUUUUAACGGUUUUGAUCUUUAACGGUUCGGUUUAACCAAUAAGAAAAUGCUUAUAAAACAAAUAUAUGACUUCUCUAAUAAAUUUAACGCGAUGCGACAAUAAUGUAACUAUAAAAAUGCUUAUGAAAUAGAAACAAUAAUAAUAAACAUGAAAAAAAUAAACUAUACAUGUGUAACACAAAGAUAAAUUAAGAGGAAUAGGGUUCUUACUUAAGGUUGUGACGAUUUGUAUAGUGUAAAGUUGUGAACUCAAAGUCACAGUGAAGUAUGAACUGAAGGCUAAUGACAAAGACAUAACUAUUGACAUAUUGAGAUUAAUAUUUAAUAUUUUUGUUUAGGUAAAAGUAGUAAAUUACUAUAGUCUUAAUGGGUUAUCAGUUUACCCAAUAACCUAAUAUUGAAAGUGAAAAUUUUAUAAAUGACAUUUAUGAGACUAAUAAUUUCAAGUUAUGACAGUAUAAUGAUUCUUUCAGGUUGUAACAAUAAAAAAAUUCAUGUUGUAACGGUUUAUAAAAAAAAAGGUUUUAAAUUAAUUAUAAAAAAAUGAUUUUGAAAAAAAUAAAAAGAUAAAAACGGAUAAAGGUGUAUUAAUUAAUUUGCAUACAGUGAUGAUAAUUGAUUAUUGCCAUAAAUUUAGGAGAUUCAAAACAAAAUAGGAAUAUUUAUUUUCCUUUUUUACUCAAAUCAGUUAACAGUAAUUCAAAAAGCAGAUUUUCUUCUUUUUGUUCAAAGUUUCUCUCUCUUAGAUUUUUUUUCCUGAAAUUGACGUCACUCACGAGUAGAUCCAAUUUUUUUGGUUGAAUAAUCUUCAUUUUAUUGUAAUGGACGACUUCUUAUCUAUUUUAAUUAAACAUGGUGGUAGAUGAAAUCUUUCUGGUUAGUAUUGUUUACGAUUUAUUAUUUGUAUUUGUAUAUAUUAAUGAAACGAAAAAAAAAGGAACGAUGAAACUUUAAAUAAUGACAUUUUUGUGUUUGUUUAUGUAUACUAUAUUUAAGUUGUUAUGAUUUUUGUAUGAACAUUAUUUUGUUCAUAAUACGUAAUUAUUUUUGUGAAAUUGGAAUAAAUGUUGGUACAAUUGUUUUUGUUAUUUUUUUUUUUGGUUAUUUUGUAUACUGUUUAUGCCAUGGGUGUGUGCGAUUUUGAAUUAAUGUCUGAAUGAUUUAAGUAUACUAUUUUCUUGAUAAAUGAAAAAUUAUGGAAUAUGAAUAGUGUUACCAUUAUAAAGUUAUGAAAUUUGUGACAAAAAAUGUAUGAAAUUUGUUGUAACAUUGAUAUGAAACUGGUAUAGUUUUAGUCAAUUUGAUAAUAAUAAUGAGAUUGAUUCGGUGUACUGUUUAAUAGUAUAAUAUGGGGUACUAUUUAAAAAAAAUAUAAAAAUAAAAUGUAGAGGUUGGAAUGAAUUUGGUAGAGUAUUAGGUAUGAAUAAUUAAUCAUUCUUGUGUAAAAAAUAUGAGCAAGUAGUAUGAUGUUUUGUAUGAAAUUUGAAUAUAAAUAAAACACAUGUAUUUUUUACUUCUGUGAUAUGAAAAACUGACUGUGAUUUCCUAAUGAAACAGGUAAAUAUGUUGAUUUUCAGAUGGAGAAAAUUAUUUUUGAGUCUUCAAGUCUAUAUUAUGGGCUAGUAAAUGCGAUAACUUUGCAACUUAGAAUAGAUGCUAAUAUUAAUGACAUUGAGAUCACAUAUAUUGUUAGCGAUCGAUGCCCACCUGUUUGUAUCCAUAAAUGAUGUGGGUGUGCAAGUAUUUUUGGAUCAAAAGAAAGUUAAUGUUGAUUUCUUUACAAAAUAUUUGUUGUGCAUAACUUUGAAGAAUACGACUCUGGAUAAUCCAGAAUCUAGUGUUUUUGUGGAUAGAAGAGAUUGUGAUGUUAGUAGACCACUAACAAAUGUGGAUUUAUACUCAAAUAAGUCAAUCCGCUUGAUAGAAUGAAUUCUGGUGGAGUUGUUGAUGAAAAUUAUGAUGAAGGACAUGAAGUAAUUAGUGACAUUACUUAUAUGGUGAUUACUGAAAAUCAAAUUUACAAAGAUAAGAAGACACUUAUACAAAGAUAAGAAGACACUUAUGGAGGUUAUGCGACAUUAUGAAGUUGUCCAGAAAUUUCAAUUUCUUAUGUCUCGUUCCAGUUCUACUUGGAAAUAAUAUAUUUGCUUAUUUGUAUGUGUAGUUAUUUUUGUAUGAAUUUGGUAUAUAAAUGUUUCAUUACUCUUCUUUAUUUUUAAACAACUAUUACCUGAAGUGUCCUUCUGAAAAUUGUUCCUGGUUAAUGAAUUCAUCAAGUUUGAAUCAGUCGGGGCUAUUCAAAAUCUGAAAAUACUGUGGGGAGCACACUUGUUCGGUUAGAGAUAGAGUUUAUGCAAGGCGUCAAGGAAUCACUGACGUUGUAGCUGUUAUGAUAUUAGAUAAAUUUGUUGAUUCAGUUACUGUAUACACUCCGAAAGAUAUAGCCAAAGACAUGUUGAAAUUACAUGAUAUUUCGCUAACAUACAUGCAGGCUUGGCGAGUUAAAGAAAAAGCACUAAAAUUGUUGCGUGGAGAUCCGACUGAAUCAUGCGCUAAACUACGAGGUUUUUUCUGAAUUUAUAUUUUUAGUUUACUUUAUCUCUAAUAGAUAUCAAAUUGUAAUUUAAUAGUGGAACUAAAUUGGUAUGCAUUUUAGCAAAGCAAAAAAAUGGUAGUCAUUUUGGCAUGCAGUUUGUUUCCAGAUUGGUAUCCAUUAUGUAUCCAAUUGGUUUCCAUUGUGUAUCCAAUUGAUAUCCAUAUUGUAUCCAAUUUUGAAUCUAAUUGGUAUCCAUUUUGUAACCAGUUAAUAUAUUGUUGUGUUGUGAUAUUUAGUUAUCAAAUUGUAAAAAUAAUUGUAACAAUUCAAAAAUUUCCAGGUUAUCUAUACAUAUUGGAGCAGAUCUAUCCUGGUUCUGUUUUGAGCUUGAAAAGAAAAGAAGGUGAGAGCUUCUUAUAUGCAUUUGUUGCAUUGAAAGCAUGUAUUAGAGGUUGGGAGUAUUGUUGGCCAGUUGUAGUGGUUGAUGGGGCAGCCUUAAGAGGUGCAUAUGGUGGUACAAUGUUGACUGCAAGCACUAUGGAUCCAUGAGGUAUUACUUGAAUCUUUAUAUUUAUAUGCAAAUAUAAUUAUGAUAUAAGUUGUCUUUCCAAUCUGUAUGAUUUUUUUAAAAUAAUGCAUUAUGUCACAUACUUCCACUUACUUACGCUAUGGUGGAUUCUGAGAAUGAUGCAUCGUGGAUCUGGUUCUUUGAACGUUUUAAGGACACAUAUGGAGAAAGGGAACACAUGUGUUUUAUGACAUAUAGAAAUGAGAGAAUAUGGAAAGGAACUGCAAGAGUAUAUCCUGGAUUGGAACAUUAUGCUUGCAUAUUACACUUAUGCUGCAAUGUUUUGAAGAACUUCCAUAGGAAUAUUGAAGAUUUGAAGAAGCUUUUCUUUUUCAUGGCAAAGGCAUAUACAAUACAACAAUUCGAGGAGUUUAUGUCAAGAAUAGACCAGAUAGACCCAAAGGAUAAGAGGAUAUUUAUUCGAUAUCGGGUAUAGCAAGUUGUCAAGUACUCAUCAAAAAUGUAAGCGGACAUGGACCAUGACUUCAAACAUAGCCGAAUCUUUAAAUAAUGUUAACAGGUUAGCAAGGAGGUUGCCAGUCGUAUCACUUCUUGAUUUAUGAGGAUAACAAUUCAAACAUGGAUUCAUAAGCACAAUGAGAAGGCUGGAAAAAUUAGAUCAGACAAAAAAAUAUGAUCUUAAGCUCCAGAAAAGUGCUGCUUUGUCUAACAGCAUGAGGGUAUGAUUUUUCCUUUAUUAAUUAUGCUGGAUAAAUUUGAACAUUUUUUAUGUUUAAAACCAAUUAUUUUGUGUGUUAGGUAAUACCAUCAACGAUUUAUUUGCAUGUUGUUGUCGAUGGACCAAAGUGGUACAUAGUGUGCAUAAGAACCAAUAAAUGUAGUUGCGGACGAUUUCAAAAUGAUGAGAUACCAUGCGGGAAUGGAAUGACAGUUCUUAGGUACAGAAGAUUGCAUGAAACAAAUUACUGCUCUCCUUUUUAUAGCUUGAAGAAUUUUGAAGAUGCAUAUGCGAUCCCUGUUGAACCUCUCCCAUGAGAGAGUACAUGGGAUAUACCAAGUUAUGUUUCUGAGCCAAAAUUGAUGCCGCCUAGUUCAAAGAGAACUGUAAGAAGACCGCAACUUGAAUGCUGGAAGGGGUUUGCUGAUGUGAAAUUUAAAAGGUCUAAAGUUACUUGCAGUACAUGUCAUCAAGUGGGCCACAACAGGAAGACAUGUUCAAAUUACCAUGUGCCCAAAAAAAACAUAGUUUAUUUGUUUAAACUAUAAAAAAAUAUAUUUUAUUUUGUCUUUUAGACUCAUGUUUUGUUUUGAUUGUGACAAUGUAUUCAUUGUUUUCCAAUAAUAUUUAUUGAGUAAUUUAUUAGAUAAUUAUGGUAUGCAUUUGGUAUCCAUUUGUUAUGCAACUGAAUAACCACUGAUAUUAUUCAAUGUAAUUUACCAUGAGUAUUAAUUUGGUAUCCAACUGGUGUCCUCUAAAUCAAAAUAAAACAAGAUGUAAUUGAUGUCUGUGCAAAAUUUAAUGAUUGUUAUUUUAAAUUGUCAGAUUCAUUUCAUACCAAUAUUUUUACAGAAUGUAUACCAACUUCAUACAUCUUUAAAAUAUUUAAUCCACACUUGUUAAGACAAUAUAAUCUACAUUUAGUAUUAAUUUGGUAUCCAUAAGGUGUCCAAACUUGAAAAAUCAUAAAACAUGAUGUAAUUGAGGUUGGUACAAAAUAUAAUGAUCACUAUUUUACAUUGUCAAAAUCAUUUAUUCAAGGUAUUUAUACAGGUUGGAUACCAACUUCAUACAUUUUUUUUUGUUUUUAUUUUUUGUCUUAGAUUAUGAAGUAAAAAAUACCAAUCAUGUAUGAAUUUGGAUGCCAAAAGUAUACAAUUUGGAUACCAAUUAUAAGACAAUGUUAGUUCAUGAACUCUAAAUUGGUGUUCAUUUUGUUUCAGUUAAUAAGACAAUGUUAGUUCAUGAACUCUAAAUGUUGAAUCCAAUUGGUAUGUAGUUUGUAUAUAACUAUUAGCCCGAAAAUUAUUAUACUCAAUGUGUAAUUUAUCUUUUGAAUGGUGUAUCCAAUUGGUUUGUAGUCUGUAUAUAACUAGUAUCCUGGAAUUAUAAUAGUUAAUCUGUAAUUCAUAUGUAGUUGGUAUCUGACUGGAAGAAAACUGUAUCAAAUACUUAAAACUGUAUCAAAUACUUAAAAUAUCGUCAAAUACUUAAAACUGUAUCAAAUAUAAAAAUAUCAUCUAAAAGUUAAAAAAACUUGUAAUACUAAAAUGUCUAAGCUGCAAUCAACUAUCUCAAAUUUGAUCUUCGUGGUCUUGGUGUAGGAUAAUUGCUGGUAUCCGGAGUAUGUUAUUUUGCUAUCUGGGGUCCACCAAAUUUGCAAGCAACAGUUCUUAUUACUUCACUCACACUGAUCGCGCCAUCAUUGUUCUUUUUUUUCCCCAUAAUGCCAUAUGAUUGUGGCAUAUCUUUGACGGUGGUACUUUGUAUCGAUAUCAAUGGAACGCAUAUCAAAAACUCCAUUUCUGAUGUAUUCAACAAAUAGAUAUGUGUACAUACCAUAAUCACUGGAAAAAAAUUGGAAGAAAAAUAAUUUUAAAAAAUAAAUUGAGUUAGCUUUUCUGAUGAAAUCACUAAAGUAUAGAAAUACGUACUUUGAAGUUUCAUCUUGUUGAGGCAGAUUCGUCAUAUGUUUGACUGCAACUGGGUCACAUUGAGACUUGUCAAUAUAUUCAGGGAGUUUAUUGGCAUACAGAUCAAGCCUUUUACCAUAAAAACUUGUGCUCGUUAAAAAUAGUGGUAUCAUUGUGGCAAGUUUGUCAACAACUAUAUUCACACUCUUGUCAUGAAGAGCUCCUCCCAUCAUCGAAUCAUAUAUAUGUAGACAUCUAAGCUUGAUUCGGAAGACAAUAAAAAACCAGUGAAAUGAGGUACUAACAUUGACAGGAAUAAUGACAUCGUCAACACUGUCCCAAAAAAUGUUGGCAAGCAGUUUGAAACCUUUAAUGCACUGUCCAACAUCGUGGUCGAGAGAAAUGGAUCCCAUGUCGUAAUUGGAAUCUCUUCACUAUUUCUCAAUGUUAUCAACUGAUGUACCGUGAGUUUAAGAUACUAUUGAUACGUUUCACUUAGGAUUUGUGAAUGUCUAAGGCAUUUUGGUGUUAGUUUUAUGUGUUUUUUGUUGUAAUUUCAGAAAAUAAACUCAGGCGUGAAAAGAUGAAGAUGUAGUUGAGGCAAGUGCUAAAAAGAGUCACCUACGGAGGCACCUACGAACCGUAGGAUGAGUGACGCCUCAUAGAUAAGGGUCCUGGGACGACCAGACAUGGCAAGAUUGAAGCUCAUGGAAAUCUGACCAAGUGUGGAACCACGGUGGGGAUUGACGGACCGUCGAAUGACUUACGGUUUGUCCUGCAGCUCCGUAGAAGUGAUUAAAGGAGUGGUUCUAGUACCUGAGUUGAAAUAAUCUAAUAUAGAGCGACGGAGGUGACUGACGGUCUGUCGUCUCACUGACGGACCGUGCUGCUGGUUCGUGGAAGCUGAAUGAGAGAGGUGGAUUUGUGAAGAUUUCAAAUCGGCUAAGUAUGGAGCCACGGAAGAGACCUAUGGACCGUCAUUCGACUUACAGACCGUUUGUCAGCCUCAUGGAAUGGAGAUGCGUCCUACAGUUUUAUUUCCUUAUUUUGUUUCCUCGUUUUUAGAGGUUAGAUUUUAUUACUUUUAUUCUAGUUCUUGACUUUGGAGAAUAACUUGCAACUUUAGCAAUUCUUAAUUUCCUAAGUUCGUUUUGAAGAUUUUGGUGUUGCANNNNNNNNNNNNNNNNNNNNNNNNNNNNNNNNNNNNNNNNNNNNNNNNNNNNNNNNNNNNNNNNNNNNNNNNNNNNNNNNNNNNNNNNNNNNNNNNNNNNNNNNNNNNNNNNNNNNNNNNNNNNNNNNNNNNNNNNNNNNNNNNNNNNNNNNNNNNNNNNNNNNNNNNNNNNNNNNNNNNNNNNNNNNNNNNNNNNNNNNNNNNNNNNNNNNNNNNNNNNNNNNNNNNNNNNNNNNNNNNNNNNNNNNNNNNNNNNNNNNNNNNNNNNNNNNNNNNNNNNNNNNNNNNNNNNNNNNNNNNNNNNNNNNNNNNNNNNNNNNNNNNNNNNNNNNNNNNNNNNNNNNNNNNNNNNNNNNNNNNNNNNNNNNNNNNNNNNNNNNNNNNNNNNNNNNNNNNNNNNNNNNNNNNNNNNNNNNNNNNNNNNNNNNNNNNNNNNNNNNNNNNNNNNNNNNNNNNNNNNNNNNNNNNNNNNNNNNNNNNNNNNNNNNNNNNNNNNNNNNNNNNNNNNNNNNNNNNNNNNNNNNNNNNNNNNNNNNNNNNNNNNNNNNNNNNNNNNNNNNNNNNNNNNNNNNNNNNNNNNNNNNNNNNNNNNNNNNNNNNNNNNNNNNNNNNNNNNNNNNNNNNNNNNNNNNNNNNNNNNNNNNNNNNNNNNNNNNNNNNNNNNCCUUUUAAUUACUUGUUUCUGAAAGUAAGUUAACUAAAUGAUUUCCUCGUGGGAUCGACCCUAAACUACAGGUUGGAUUCUUUACUUGAUAACGAUAGCAUAUGCUUCUUUAAGAAUGUGUAAUUUGAGCAUAUCAAAUUUUGGCGCCGCUGCCGGGGAAUUUGGCCUUUUGAUUUAUUUUAACUACAUUAUUGAACUUUAGUCAAAUAUUUCCUAAUUUUAGUUUUUCUUUUUGUUUUUGUCUCUAGUUUAUGCCAAGUACAUAGAGCCAGGGUGAACCACUUACUCCUUACGAUCCAGAGUUGAACCGAACUUUGUGAAGAAUGAACAAUCAAGGAGUUCAAGUUAAUCCUAUCGGAGGCAAUCUAGGUGAUGAAGUUGAGUUGCAACCUCCGAGGGUAGUUAGUGGAGACAACCAGGUUUUAGUUGAAAAUUAAUUGGGAGAUGCAGUGAGGGUGCAUGGUCCACCAGGCCCACAACUGCAUGACAACUAUAGGGGCAACAUCAAUAUUGCUGACUCUGAUGGACCUCUUGUCCUACCCCCUUUGCCUCCGGGGCACACAUUUGUAGUGACCAGUAGAUUGAUGUAGAUGCUUACAACGAGGGGCUUGUUCUCGGGUCGCCAUCGGAGGACCCACAUGCUCACAUAGCCAAGCUAAGGGUGGUUUGCAAAAGCUAUGUAGGUCGACCAUACUUGGAUAUGGAUGUCAUCGGAUUGCGAGUGUUCCCUCUAUCACUGACAGGCGAUGCUGCUGUAUGGUUUACUGAGCUCCCUUAUUACUCAAUCUAUACAUGGGACCAACUGAAAGAUGUGUUCUUAACAAGAUAUUAUCCAGUGUCCAUGAAGCUCAAUCACAAAGAUAAGUUCAACAAUUUUGUGGCAUAACCUGGAGUGUCUGUGAGUAGUUCUUAGGACAGAUUCAUUGCGUUUGUAAGAGGUGUUCCGAAUCACCGUAUUGAUAAUGAGUCGCUGAAGGAAUAUUUCUAUCGAGGUUAGGAUGAAAGCAAUAAAGCAGUGCUUGAUACUAUUGCUGGAGGAUCAUAUGGUGAGUUCACAUGCGCGCAGAUUGCAGAAAAACUGGAGAAGAUCUCUCGCAACAAUAAAUCAUGGAGCACUAGGAGGUCGGAUACUGGGAGAAACACAUUUUCCGUUCAUAUAACAAACAACCAGUCUGCGGAUGAGAUUCGUGAGGAGAUGGCUCAGAUGAGGACCGAGUUGGGGUUGGUAUUGAAGCAUGUGAGCGGAAGUGCAGAAAAGGUAAAUGUUGUGAACUACUUGACUAGAACUCUACGACUAGUUGAAGAGUGUUACUAUGAAGAGGAUGCUUAUGCGGUGAAUGAUUAGACGGGGGGUUUUCGACCAAGAGCCCAAGGAUCCAACACGGAAAAUUGGCGCCAAGGUCAAGGAAACCAAGGUGAGAUGUAUGGCAAUUACAACCGAAAAGGUCAAUAUGUCCGGGAUGGGAACUUCAAUCGCGACAACAACUACAACCGGAAAAACUAUGGCAACAUAAAUGAUCGGGUUGGACCUUAUGUUCCCCCUAAAAAUCGGGAAUCUGGUACUAGGGAAGUUGGAUGCAAUAUGGUGCGUAUUGAAGAUAUGAUGCAGAAGAUGAUGAGAAGGUUUGAUGCAAUUGCUUGAGAAUGUGAAGGAGAUGAGAAACGACUUGUCUGGUAUUGGUAAAAAGGUUCAUGCCCAUGCAGUCUCAAUAAAACAUCUAGAGCAGCAGAUGACUCAGUUGUCUGCUACAGUGAACCCACGUCAACCUGGCACUCUUCCUAGCAACACCAUUCAUAAUCCAAAAAAAUGAUGGUCAUUGUAUGACAGUUACUACUCGAGGGGGUAAGCAAGCCAUUGAUCUACCUAUGCCGUCUGUGGUGGAUGUUGAGAUUAGAAAAGAAAAUGAUGUGAUAAAGGUUAGAGAAGAGUGCUCCAUAAUGUGCCAGUAAAAGUGGAGUCCUUCAUCUUUCCAGUGGAUUUUUUUAUUCUUGACUGUGAGGUUGAUUUUGAGGUUCCCAUCAUCCUUGGGAGACCAUUUCUUGCCACAGGGCGUGCGUUGGUUGAUAUGGAAAAGGGGCAGAUGAAGUUCAGACUGAAUAAUGAAGAAGCAGCUUUCAAUAUGUAUAGGUCCAUGAAGCAGAGUGGUGAGCUCCAAACGAUAUCUGCUAUAACUUACAGAGUUGAGAGUGGAACAAAAGUGCAAAUUAAAGAGCAACUCAGUGUUGAGGCACUAGCAACAAUUAUGAUGAAUUUCGAUAGUGAUGGUAUUGAAGAGUAUGAUGAGUUGGUAGCUGCACUCGAUAGGUGUGAAUAUCGGUCAAAACCAAAGAAAUAUGAGUUAGACAUGAAGAAUCGUGAGUCUCCACCCGUGAGACCAUCUAUUGUGGAGGCACCGAAAUGGGAGCUUAAGGCUAUACCACCACAUUUGAGGUAUGUAUUCUUGGGUAGAGAUAAUACUUUGCCGGUCAUCAUUGCGGCAGAUUUAAAUGCGAGACAAGUAGAGUGCUUGGUGACUGUGUGAAAGAGGUUCAAGCGAGCUAUUGGGUGGACUAUUGCGGAUAUUAUUGGGAUUCCUCCCGGUAUUUGUUCCCACAAAAUCCAACUCAUGCCAGAUCACAAACCUAGUAUUGAGCACCAAAGAAGAUUAAAUCCGCCUAUGCAAGAGGUAGUUAAAAAGAAGAUCAUCAAGUGGUUGGAUGUUGGGGUUAUCUAUCCCAUUGCAGAUAGUAGUUGGGUAUGUCCUGUUCAAUGUGUACCCAAGAAAGGUGGGAUUAAUGUGGUUCCUAAUGAGAGAAACGAGCUUGUUCCGAUGCGGCCGGUGACUGGAUGGAGAGUCUGCAUGGACUAUCGGAAGCUAAAUGCUUAGACAAAAAAUGACCAUUUCCCUAUGCAUUCAUGGAUCAGAUGUUGGAUAGACUUGUUGGUAAAGGUUGGUAUUGUUUUCUUGAUGGUUAUUCAGGCUACAAUCAGAUUUCUAUAGCUCCGGAGGACCAAGAGAAGACCACUUUCACUUGCCCUUAUGGGACUUUCGCCUUUAAACGAAUGCCCUUUGGGUUGUGCAAUGCUCCAGCGACCUUCCAGCGUUGUAUGAUGUCAAUAUUCUCUGAUAUGGUGGAGGACACUAUUGAGGUAUUUAUGGAUGAUUUCUCUGUGGUAGGUGACUCUUUUGAUCGAUGUCUGAAUCAUUUGGCUGAGGUGCUUAAAAGGUGUGAAUAUUGCAAUCUGGUGCUGAAUUGGGAGAAGUGCCACUUUAUGGUGAAAGAAGGGAUAGUUCUAGGUCAUCAAAUUUUUGAGAAGGGCAUUGAGGUAGAUAAAGCGAAAGUUGAGGUAAUAGAGAAACUUCCUCCACCUAUCUCUGUAAAAUGUGUUAGGAUUUUUCUUGGGCAUGCAGGUUUUUAUAGGAGGUUCAUCAAAUAUUUCUCAAAAAUUGCACAUCCUUUGUGCAAACUGCUCGAGAAGGAGUGUAAGAUCCAUUUUGAUGAUGCUUGUCUAAGAGCACUUGGAGAGUUGAAGGAGAAGUUAGUCACUGCAUCUAUCAUUAUUUCACUGGAUUGGGGACAACCGUUAGAGGUAAUGUGUGAUGUGAGUGAAGUAGCGCUUGGUGUGGUAUUGGGACAGAGGCGAGAGAAAAUUCUCCAUCCUAUUUACUAUGCUAGCAAAGCUCUAAAUGUGGCCCAGAAGAAUUAUACUGUGACUGAACAAGAGCUUCUUGUGGUGGUGUUCGCAUUCAAAUUUUUUUGAUCCUAUCUGCUUGGUACUAAGGUCAUAGUGCAUACUGACCAUUCUGCAUUGAGGUAUUUGAUGGUGAAGAAAGAUGCAAAACCGAAGUUGAUUAGAUCGGUAUUGUUGCUGCAAGAGUUUGAUUUUGUGGUAAAAGAUAGAAAUGGACCGAAAAUCAAGUUGCCGAUCACUUGUCCAAAUUAGAGGAAAAGGCUAUGCUAAAGCUUGGUGAUAGGGAUGAAAUUAAUGCUACUUUUCCAGAUGAACAAGUAUUGGCUGCUUCUCAUGAUUUGAUUCAUGGUUCGCAGACUUUGCUAAUUAUUUGGCAAGCAAUAUUNNNNNNNNNNNNNNNNNNNNNNNNNNNNNNNNNNNNNNNNNNNNNNNNNNNNNNNNNNNNNNNNNNNNNNNNNNNNNNNNNNNNNNNNNNNNNNNNNNNNNNNNNNNNNNNNNNNNNNNNNNNNNNNNNNNNNNNNNNNNNNNNNNNNNNNNNNNNNNNNNNNNNNNNNNNNNNNNNNNNNNNNNNNNNNNNNNNNNNNNNNNNNNNNNNNNNNNNNNNNNNNNNNNNNNNNNNNNNNNNNNNNNNNNNNNNNNNNNNNNNNNNNNNNNNNNNNNNNNNNNNNNNNNNNNNNNNNNNNNNNNNNNNNNNNNNNNNNNNNNNNNNNNNNNNNNNNNNNNNNNNNNNNNNNNNNNNNNNNNNNNNNNNNNNNNNNNNNNNNNNNNNNNNNNNNNNNNNNNNNNNNNNNNNNNNNNNNNNNNNNNNNNNNNNNNNNNNNNNNNNNNNNNNNNNNNNNNNNNNNNNNNNNNNNNNNNNNNNNNNNNNNNGGUACACCGAGGGCUAUUAUUAGCGAUGGAGGUUCUCACUUUUGUAAUAAGUUGUUCAAGGCACUACUUGAGAAAUAUGGUGUCUGCCACAGUGUAGCCACUCCUUACCAUCCACAGACUAGCGGGCAAGUUGAAGUGUCCAAUAGAGAGAUCAAACAGAUUUUGGCGAAGACUGUGAAUGCUAAUAGAAUAGAUUGGUCAAGGAAGCUUGAUGAUGCUUUAUGGGCCUAUCGCACUACAUACAAGACCCCUAUAGGUAUGUCUCCUUACCAACUUGUAUAUGGGAAGUCUUGCCAUUUACCGGUAGAGCUAGAGCAUAAGGCUUUGUGGGCGAUGAAGAAGCUAUAUUUGGAUUGGGGCGCCACAUCUAAUCAAAGAAUGAAUGACUUGAAUAUGCUUGAUUAGUUUCACUUAAAAGCUUAUGAAAGUUCAGCCUUGAACAAAGAGAAGAUGAACAGGUAUCAUGAUCAAAGAAUUGAAAAGCGAGAAUUUGUUGUGGGUGAUCUUUUGCUUCUAUUCAACUCUAGGUUGCGCUUGUUUCCGGGCAAACUCAAAUCCAAAUGGACUGGGUCAUUUUUUCUCACAAAAGUGCUCCCCCAUGGAGCGGUUGAGCUUGUGAACAAUGAAGGAACAAGGUUCAUGGUUAACGGACAAAUGAUCAAUAUCUAUCUGGGAAAUGCAGAAAGUGUGUAAGAAGUUGUUGAGGCCUAUCAUCUUGAUGAAGUCUGAGUAAUCAAGAGGCCUGCGUCGUGCCGCGACGGUAAAUUAAGCGCUGCUUCGGAGGCAAUCUAAGAUGUAAAAUCUAGCCAACAAUAGGUCGUUUAGUAGUUGCUCCUCGGUACUCAUUUAGACAGUUGUUUUUGUUUUGUUUUAGUGUUGGCUAGAUAUAGCAUAGGGUCUGUGUCUAAAAAGUGUUCAGAAAAUGUAAAAAGAAAGGGCUAAUGGUUGCUACAUGUGAAGGGGCGAGAAGUAGAAUCUAUAGAAAAAUGUCUGGUGCAGCGGUCUACGGACCCCAUCGACAGUCCGUCGUUCACUCCACGGACCAUGAAUGACGUCCGUAGACCCCAGGUAAGUCCCUAAAUUUUUCUAAGUGUUGAGGUGAUCUACGGUCUCGACCUAUGGACCGUAGAUUUACCUAUAGACCGUAGAUCGACCUACCGACCGUAAACGGGGUCUCGUAGGUCGAAACCCUAGUCAACACGACCCGACCCAGACUUUCUCUAUUUAAAACCCCAAAGUUUAAAACAGUUCCCACUCUUUCCAAAACCCUCAUCCGAAGCCCCACACCCCAAAGUCCAAAAAUUCACUCCCUCACACCACCCUCCAUCAGAUCUCCCAAAGGAAUUCACCCUCAAAAUCCACAUAUUCACACCCUUCCCAUCUUUCCGGAAAAUUCCCAUCAUCAAGAGAGUUCGGUGUCCGGGUACAGUACAACAUUGGGUCAAAUUCACUCAGAGUCUAAGUCUCGGUACGCAAUCACACCACUCCUCAUUUCUUGUAAGGUAAUUGACUGUCCUCUCACUUUGAAUUACGAUUCAUAGCUUGAAUAGGGUAAGUCGGGAGUGGAUCUUGACCUUGGGUAGCUAAUCAUCCCUAAAUGCAUGUUAAAUAUGAAAUUUAGAUGCCCUUGGGACAAUGGUCAGUGAUUAUAGGUAAUUCUAACUUAAAACUAGUAGAACUACGAGUCUAAAUGUAAGUUCCGACUUAGGGUUCCAUAACUUGUAUGAAUGGCGUGCUUAACUGAAUUAUUGGACCCCCAAGAAUGACGAACUAACAUGUGGAGUGUUGAAAUGCAUGAUUAGACUUGCUUAGUGUUGUUGUUGAUCCUCUUGUAUGUCUAAUGAUAAGCACUGAUGCAUAAAAUUGGCCCAGACCCACCCACGAGACCCCGUCCACGGACCGUUAUUCAGUCGACCGACCGUUGAUCAGGUCCGUGGCAGGGGCACUUGGGAAAUUUCCCAAGUGUGACACGACAGAGGUGGACUACGGUCUGUGGAAUGACCCACAGACCGUUCUGCAUCUCCGUCGUUUCCAUCUGUGACUAUGCCCUGGUUACUUCUGACUUACGGUGCAGGUCCACGGACCGUAGGUUGACCUACGGACCGUCGGUUACCACUGUAGCUUAAUGUAAUUUUUUUUCAUUUUUUUUUUCCUUCUUGAUUUCAUUUGUUUAUGGUUCUUAAAUUCUUUCCACCAUGUUUAAUGCUUGUGUUGGGUACUAAUAUCUCAUCCGCAGGUACCAUGAUACCAAACAAGAAAGUCGUCAUCAACAUGGGCCGGUCAAAAUAAGUGGCGCCGUACUUACGACUUAUCGAUGAGGAUACCGACAGGCAAUGAGACCCAGAUUACUCACCCACACCUGCCCGGACUGCUCAGAACCAGUCCAAUAAGGUGCUCCUCAACGUAGUCACUGCCUCCCAGUCUGAUGAGGAGGAUACAUUGAUCGGGUCACCAACUAGAUCUGGGUCCGGUUCUGAGUCCAACUCUGCUGCCGGGUCUGGGUCCGGGUCCGCCACCGGUUCAAGUGCACAUGAAUCGGCUGCCUCGUCUGAUGAGGCAUCUAGCUCUGACGGGAUUAACAUCCCUCAAAAUGACCAACCGAAUCCUGUAGACGGAGGGCCGAAUAGGUGGUGCGUCGAGGGGCAGUGGCAGAUUUACCGUGACGCUAAGAUGAAAAAUGCCAAGGAAAAGAUGGCCCGUACAAUUACGGAGGAGCGCAAAGUUCUCACCGGGAGUCUCCACACUAUGCCAGAUAUCUACCAGCUUUCCUAAAUGCACAAGUGCGAGUGGAUGGCUCAUGAUCUGGGUACUUAUAGCGAGGAGAUUGUGCGGGAGUUUUACGCUUCCUAUGCUGCCACUUUCCGAGGGUGAAUUCACAAGAACACCAAGCCCGCAUCACAAGACCCCCUCACAUCCACCAUGGUCCGAGGUGUCUCGAUGGACUUAUCCCACACCACCAUCAGCCGGUUCCUUUAUGGACCUAACCCUCAUCACACAUGGGCAGCCUCCACCGCUAAAUUUGACUAUCAGUGGGAAAUUGUGCGAACAGGAGCCUUCGGCCGAAAUGCGGAUCAAAGGGAGGCAGUUAUAUCAUGGCUAGCUCGACAUCUGGCUUUGGAUGGAGAGAGAGAGAAAUGGGUUGCUGCGCCCUGGUUGGGUAUUCGGAAGGCCACCUUUACCUUGGCAGCCAAGUUUUUUUGGCUAUUGGUCCGAAAUAGUUUGUCACCAACAAUGGCCGAUAAUAUAGUCACAUGGGAUAGAGCAGUCAUGGUGGCUGCACUGGUUGCCAGAAUGGAUAUAAAUUUCCCCUGCCUGCUACUGGGAGAAUUACAUGAGAGGGAUUUCAAGCCCACCACCACCUACUAUUUCCCCUGUAUGAUCUUUCAGCUUUGCAGGGAUGCAGGAGUGCCUAUUUGGCACUGUGAUAAAUUGGUGCAUGCGACUGGGACCCUUGACAUUAGGUUGAUUCAGGAUGACACGAAUGUGGCAGCACCACGCAGAGGGCCUCGAGUCGAUGUACCUAUGGGCGAGGAUCUGAUACACACUAUGGGGCAGAUGCAGGGAGAUGGGCCCCCUACUACAGCUCCGUCUAAUGAGCACCCAACUUUCUCUUCUCAGACGGCCAGCCAGGUCCCGAGCUCAUCUCGAGCCACAUUACUCUCCGGAAUGACUAUGAUACCAUUGGCUCGAGGCCAGAAGUUGGAGGGUCAAAUGGCCACCUUGCUGCACCAAAUUAAGCCCUGGAUGCGGAAUUUGAUUGUUGAGUCCGAAGUAAGAGUAGAAAAGAGGAUGGAGGCAAAAACGGACCAAAAGGUCCAAGCAGUUCAUAAGCGGCUCGAUGCCUUCGAGUUGAGAGUUCUAGAGAGGCCAGCUCCUACUACUGAUAUGUCCUCUUUCCGGACCGAGCUAUCUAGUCUCCGGGCUGAUGUUGACGCCAUCCUAGCCACACCAGCUGUUAAGCCACAAGCUGCACUUUCUGCAUUAGGCGAUGAUACAGUCUUGGGUGCACUAUUCAGUGGAGAUGAUCUGGAGUAGCAGCCCGAGCCUUGCACGUGCCCGCGGUAAGAGGCACCGAUCUAGUCACAAAACUGAGCUCACGGAGGAGGAAAAGGCUAGCAAAAGGCAGCGCAGGUAGGAGAAGAACGCACGGAAAGCCUCCAUAAUAGAUGAGCAGCUGAGGGUGCAGUUAGAGUGACAUAUAGCACUAUUGAUGGUGACCCGAGUGUUGAUUUAGCGAGCUCCGGGAAACUGGACCCACCCGUUUGUUGAUGAUUCGUCGGCACUAUGCGCCACAGGUUUGUUUCACCCAUAUCCAUUACUUUUUACUAUUUUUUGUUGGGAGUGGGGUAAAUGGAUUGUGAGUGAUAGGGUGAAGUCUGAGUAACCCAACUUAUAAUCCUCUUUUGGGGUUUUCUUGCAUGUGUUCUUUUCCCCCAAGAUACUAUUUAAUUUCUGUUGAACCGGAAUGUGUUAGGAUCUUAUGUGUAGAAGCAUGAAAAAGAAUGAAGCAUGAUGGCUUAUGAAAAAUGAUACUCGUCCAAAUUUUGUGAUGUGUGCUAGAAUUUGUAGGCUAAGUUAAGUUGAAUGUGUCGGCUCUGAGUAUGACAUGAUAAUGAACCAACUUAAUGGCAUGACUUAAGCUAAAACUUGAAUUGGGUAAUCUGAUAAUGAAACUAUGUGACAAGAGUGUAUGAGAAUAGUUGAUUGUUCAAACAGUUUUGUGCCAAUCUAGAACGUACCCAGUUAGUCCUGCUAAGACAAUUUACUCUAGAGGCUAGGAAGUGAUCAUAGGCCCUUGUUCUGAUAAGUCCACAAAUUGCCUAUAAGAAGAAUACAACCAAAUGAAAUAAAUGCUCCCUUUGAUCUAAAUGCUUUGAGCCUAAAUUAGACCAUUUCUUUCUAAACCCCUAACUCACCUUCCCAUAAUCUGCUAUGUUGGCCCCAGUCCCUCCUUGGACAUGUGCACCUCGACUUAGGCCAAAAGCCUAAGUUGAGGGUGGCUAAUGUAAAGAGUAACUUCAAUCUUGGCCCUGUUCUGACAUCGGGUAUUGUGCAUAUCAACCAAUGGAAAAUCCAUAAGUUGAGGGUGGCUAUGAAAGAGGAAACCAAAAGAAAAAAGGGUAUGAAAAUAGUUUGAUGUUGAAAAAGAGAAAAAGAAAAGAGAAGAAAGGAUGUGACUUGUUGAAAGCUGAAGAAAAGAAUAAAUGCAAGAAAAAGAUGAAAGUGAAAAAUAAAGAGCUACAAAGUUUAAAUUCACAUCCAUGGUUGAAGAAAAUCAAGGGAAAGAAGGUAAAAAGGUAGGAUGUCAAAAAUAGGGCAAAAUGAGGUUGAAAGCCUAGUGUAAUGUCAAGGAAGGCAGAAAGUCACUAAGAAGUACCCAAAUGUACCACACCUACCCUACGUUACAAGCCAAGAAAGUCCUAUAGUGAUCCUAGAAUCUAGUUUGGAGAGUCAAAGCAGUGAAAUAAGGGCAAGCCUAUGGUAUUGAGCACUAACUAUACUUGAAGUUACUUCUGAGUGUGAGUGUUGAAUGAAUCCUUGUACUCAAAUUCAUAUUCAUUGUGUGAAAAGAGGGAUUUCGUUUGAAGUAAGGGCACUAGUUACAUUGUCGGAAAAUUGGUACCUUGGUGAUGUAAAAUAGUGUAUGUUUGUGUGUUGGUUAGUCGAUCUUUGUCAUGUUUUGAUUCGCACAAGUUAGCUUGUUGAGUCUAAGAGAACAAAGUCGCACUCAAAAUAAGAGUCGGGAUGAAGAGCCAUGUGAUUGCUUAGGCUGAAAUUGUUUGCUUCUGUACAAGUGUCAGUUAGAGUCAUAAUGUGUUGCUUGAGGACAAACAACAAUUUUAAGUUGAGGGUGUUGAUGUACCGUGAGUUUACGGUACUUUUGAUACGUUUCACUUAGGAUUUGUGAAUGUCUUAAGGCAUUUUUAUGUUAGUUUUAUGUGGUUUUUGUUGUAAUUUCAGGAAAUAAACUCAGGAGUGAAAAAAUGAAGAUGUAGCUGAGGCAAGUGCUGAGAAGAGUCACUUACGGACCAUAGGAUGAGUGACGCCUAGUAGAUAAGUGUCGUGGGACAAUCAGGCAUGGCAAGAUUGAGGCUCAUGGAAAUCUGACCAAGUGUGGAACCACAGUGGGGACUGACGGACCGUCGAAUGACUUACGGUCCGUCUUACAGCUCCGUAGAAGUGAUCAAAGGAGUGGUUCCAGUACCUGAGUUGAAAUAAUAUAAGUAUAGAGCGACAUAGGUGACUGACGGACCGUGUUGCUGGUUCGUGGAAGCUGACUGAGAGAGGUGGAUUUGUGAAGAUUUCAAAUCGGCUAAGUAUGGAGCCACGAAAGAGACCUACGGACCGUCAUUCAACUUAUGGACCGUAGGUUAGCCUCGUGGAAUGGAGACGCGUCCUGCAAUUUUAUUUCCUUAUUUUGUUUCCCUUUUAUUUUAGGAUUUGUUUUCUAUAAAUAGGGUAUGUAAACCUCAUUUUUGGAGGUUAGAUAUUAUUACUUUUAUUCUAGUUCUUGACUUUGGAGAAUAACUUGCAACUUUAGCAAUUCUUAAUUUCCUAAGUUCGUUUUGAAGAUUUUGGUGUUGCAAUUCAAGUUGAAUUUCUGGGUUUAUUCUUCUUCUUACGUAAGUUCAUAAUUCUUUCAUCUAAAACAAUGAAUUGUGUUCAUAUGAUUAUGGGUAACUAAACUCCACAACUAGGGUUGUGGGAACCAUGAGCGAUUAACAAAGUAUGAAUAGUAAAUAAGCAAUUCUUGAAUAGUGUUUUGCAUGCAUUGAUAAUUCUUUCGUUUANNNNNNNNNNNNNNNNNNNNNNNNNNNNNNNNNNNNNNNNNNNNNNNNNNNNNNNNNNNNNNNNNNNNNNNNNNNNNNNNNNNNNNNNNNNNNNNNNNNNNNNNNNNNNNNNNNNNNNNNNNNNNNNNNNNNNNNNNNNNNNNNNNNNNNNNNNNNNNNNNNNNNNNNNNNNNNNNNNNNNNNNNNNNNNNNNNNNNNNNNNNNNNNNNNNNNNNNNNNNNNNNNNNNNNNNNNNNNNNNNNNNNNNNNNNNNNNNNNNNNNNNNNNNNNNNNNNNNNNNNNNNNNNNNNNNNNNNNNNNNNNNNNNNNNNNNNNNNNNNNNNNNNNNNUGCGUUAUGAGCUUGUGGGGAACACGUAUAUCCUAGUUAAUUCUCUCAUCUUGAUAACAACCAAAAUUGACUUUUGCUUACUAAUUACUUAUUGAAUUCUUACAAUUUGUUUCACAAAUUCGCCCCCCCCCCUUUAAUUACUUGUUUCUGGAAGUAAUUUGACUAAACGAAUAUAAUUGUUGGUUAAAGUGAAGUCUAAAUCAUUUUCCUCGUGGAUCGACCCCAACCUACAAGUUGGGUUCUUUACUUGAAACGAUCGCUUAUUCUUCUUUAGGGAGGUGUGAUUUGAGCGUAUCAUCAACCCAUGACACAAACCGACAAUCGACUGUACUGUAUGAUAGUGAUUAUGGAGAAUACUUUGCCUUCUUCCGUAGAUAAUACAUAAUGAUAUUAACAUGCUUUUACAAAAAAACAAGCCACAAAAAAGGUUUUAAAUAUAUACAGAAUGGAUAUCAAUUUCAUUCCAGCUACAUGUUUAAUAAACAAUUCAUGUAAUUCAGCAUUUUAUACCAAAUUCAUUCAGUAAUCAUGCCAAUUGCAUACAUGAUUGGAUAUCAAAUAUAUACAGAAUGGAUAUCAAAUGCAUUUCAGCUAAAUGUUUGCUAUAUUGUUCAUGUUUCAUACAAGAUUCACUCAUUAAUCAUACCAAUUGCAUAUAUGAAAACUGUUGGACAUCAAAUUCAUGCCAGUUUAAUAUAUAAGGUACUGUUCAUAUUAGUGGACAUUUUAUAAAAAAUUUAUUCAUAAAUCAUUCAAAAUGCAUACAUGAUGCUAUUGUAUAAUAAAGUUAUACGAAAUGGAUAUCAAUUUCAUGCCAACUAAAUAUGUAAAAUCUUAUUCAAAACAAGAUACAUUUCAUAACAUAUAUAAAAACAAAAACUCCAACAAUAAUUAGAAAAAUUUGGAAUAUGAGUUACAAAUUAACUAAUAAAAAAGUUAAUAGAUAUGACUUACCCCGUCUUCUCAUGGCCUGCCAGAUUUAACCAUUAUGUUGAAAAAAUCCAUUUCUGAAACUUUCACAACCCCAAAAUCCAUUUGAGGUUCAAACUUAUCUUUGGCCUUGGAAUAAGCAGAUUUCUUGUGUACAUUACAAAUAUAAAAUAAAAAACAUUGUAUACGAAUUGUUUGGAUAGUAUUUCAAAAAACUUGGCUUUGUUUACAUAUAUACCUGCCACGCCUAGAUGAAACAUCUUUGAAAACUCAUUUGCUAAACUCAUCGAUCAAAUCAUCUGAAACCUGAAACCCAUUGUGACUUUCAAAUGGAUGUUUGAUACGAGAGAAAAUAGAACCUUUUCUUACACUGCUUUCACCUUUCGAUAACCGAAUGUACGGAGAUGUGUCGUACUUGCCGUGGUUCCUAUUUCUUGGUUGCACAUCUGGAGUAGUUGUCACAUUGAGUAUUGGAUCAAGUUGAACAAUUUUUUUCAUGGUCAAAUCAAGAUAAUCAUCUAGGCUUGGUGGUUUUGAAGUUGAUGAUCCAGGUAUGUCAGCAUUAGAAACACCAUCGACUGUUUUUUCAAUUGGAUUUUGUGCUUCAGCUACAUUUUCAAAAAAGAAAAACUAAAGUUAAAAAAAAACUUUGUAAGUUAAUAUACACAUUAUAUUAGGAUUGGUUCUCAUACCAUCGGUGUUUGAAAUAUCUACAUAUUCCCUCAUUGAAACUAAUGGCGGAUCCAUUCCAACUUUUUCAGUUUCUUCAACAUGUUGAUGGGCAUCAUCCUAAUAUAUACAUUUAAAUAAAAUUUAUUCAUACAUCAUUUAAUAAUUUAUACAAAAAAUCAUGCAUAAAAACUGUCUCUUACAAAUUUAAUACAAGAUUAAUACCAAGUUUAAACCAACAACAAUAACCUGUCAUGAAUAAUGUCUCUAUCAAAUUUAAUACCAUAUUAAUACCAAAUUUAAACCAACAGAAAAUUAUCUAUAAUAACCACUUCAUACAAUAUUCAUACCAAGAUAAUACAAAUUUUAUGAUAGCACUUUCGAAAGAACAAUAAAAACAUGCAUAAGACCUACUUCAUUCAGUAUUCAUACCAACAUAAUAUCAAUAUUAAACAAACAUAAUACUGAAAAAUAAUGCAUAAGAAUUGACUCAUACAAUAUUCAUACCAAUACAAUACCAACUUCAAUCCAAAAUCAUACAUUAAAAAUUGCAUAAUUACUGGCUCAUACAAAAUUCAUACCAUGAUAAUAUCAAUUUCAAACCAAAAAUAGAUACACAACAAUUGAUCAGUUCUAAACUUUCUCAAACCCUUUAAUACCAAUUAUAUCAAAUUUCUGCGAAAUAGCUAUUAAAAAUUUACGAAGAUUGUGUAUGUGUAGUUUACCUCUUGGUGUGAUGUUUGUGUUGGUUGACUUCUUGACGACCUAAUCUCAUCGAUUCAACUUUGUCGAAGUAUUGACAUAUGCUUUCAAUUCGAUCAUGUGCCUGUCAACCUUCUCAACAUAUAUAUUAAAAAUUAAAAGAUUACAGAAUAAUAUGUAAUAUUAAUUAAUGGAAAAAGGAUUGAGAAAAUAAAAUUAUCCUUCAGUUCUUUCAACUCCUGCCGAACCUGUCAUGAAACAUUAAAGAGUGAAUAAAUUCUUUCAAAAAUGUAAAAAAAUAUAUUAAGUGGUAAUUUUUUUUUGUAUACUAACAUCUGCAAUUUCACUCUUCAAGUCAACAUACUUUUCUUCUGAGUCAACAUCGUUCCUUUCUGAUGUUGCUUGAUUUUCUGUCUUGUGGUGACUACAAGAUUCAUGUAAAUUGUUCGGAUCAAUGGCAUUCAUCUCUUCAAUCAUAAGCACUAUGUUUUUAAAUUUAAGCUGUAAUAACAAAAGAAGAUGGGAGAAUUAUAAAUUAUAAACAAAAAGAUAAUAAAUGAUAAUUAUUAAAAGACAAUAAAUAAAAAAUGACAUGAUUGCCAUAUGUUCUGAAAAUGAUAUUCUUUAAGUCCACGAAGAAAAUAAUUUUAUUCGAUGUCUUCCAGUUGAAAAUACGAGGUGUGCCAUUUGCAACACGGAUAACAAUUGUGUUGUCAAGACAACACUCAUAAAACCAGAUCUGCAAGGCUAAGUGGAAUCCCCUAAAUUUGAAUGAUGUAGGAUUAUUUCCCAACUUAUGACUGCAAGCUUUUAAAAUCAACCUGAAACAUUCAGUACCCCAUGGGAUGUUGACAUACUGACCGGUCUCAACCAAAUCAAAAUACAGUUUAGGUAUAGUUGUUUUGGAGGCCUCGAAACCUGUUAGAAAUAUAUUGUAACGAUCAGUUCCCAUCGUUAUAGAAAAGCCAAUGGGAAAUUUUUUUGGACCUAAAAGGUUUUUGGUAGUAUCUGGAAAUUUCCCAACCUAGUCCAAAUUUGGAUGAAAUUGGAGUCAGUGAGGCCUAGGGAAAUCUGGUAACAUUUAAGAGAUCUAAUUAUGAAUUUGAUCAUAUGAGUGGAUAGCUAAGACGUUAAGCAACCCAUACGACUUUAAAUAAUUGAAUCCAAGCAAGUAGAUCUCCCGAAAUUGAUCUUAGCAUGAACGGAUAUUUUCAGAGUGUCGUGGGAUGAAGGUGUGUUGUGAAAGGGGGGGUUUUAAAUUCUUAAAUUUCCUCACUUGUUUUGUGCAAGCCACUAAGACAGGAUUUUCCCGCCAGGGUGGGGCCGUUGUAGCGGGGUGAGUACUGUUGUGGGGGACAAUCGUGAUCUAAAUUGGAAAUAAACCCCAAAAACGUUUUAUUCUGCACUUUUCUACUUUGAGAGCUAAGCAACGACCCCAGGUGUUUUCUUGAUAGUUUUCCACCAUUCUUGAGGCUAAAUGUAAGAUUUUCACUCCCCGAAUCCAUUUUUUGAUCCGUAGAACUUCAUUUCUUGGGUGAUUAUCAUUGGGGUAGGGUUUUGUAACUGUUUGGAUGGUGGGAAAAACCCUAAUUUGGAUAUUGGGAUCAUGGGGUGAUCUAUAGUUGAUAGUGUUGAUUUAAAUUAGGGUAAUUAGACAUCGUUUAUUGAUUUCAAUGUUAUAUUGAUUGUUUGUAGACCAAGAACAUGCGGAAAGAAUUCGGAAAGGGAAGAAUCAAGUUUCUUAGGGGAUUCAAGCUUUGUUUGAGGUAGGUGAUGGUUGUGAUUUCAUGUUGUGUGAUAUAUGUUUGUUCUUGCUUCAUUAUGAUGCAUGUAUGUAUGCGAAUGUUGCAUUAUUGAUCACACUAAUCAUAAAUGAGGAUGAUUGAAUAAUUGUAUGCCAUGAAUCAUGAAUUGAUUGUAUGAUUAUGAGAAUGUACAUUGUGAUUGUGAUUGUGGCUUGUUAAAUGGAUCGGGUGUUGCGUUCCGACACACUAUCUGGGAUCGGUUGCCACGUACCGGUAUAAACUUUGGAACGGGUGUCAAGAUCCGACACACUAACUUGGAACGGGUACCAUGUACCGGUACACUAACAGUUUGGAUAUGGUUCCAUGAGAGGACCAUUGACUUGACAUAAAUGUAUAUCUUGAGAAUUGUGAAAUUGUACGUUGUUCGUAAAUGAUGUUGAUAUUGUAUAUAUUCGGUGUAUUCAUGUUAUUAUUAUGUUGUAAUGACUUAUGUCUGUUGCACUUAGUGGGAUAGUCGCGUGAUCCUACCAGUACACUGUGGUUGUGUACUGAUACUGCACUUGCUCUUUCUUUGUUGAGUACAGGGUAUCUUCAAGCGGCUACUGACAGACCUCGUUUAGAAGAUCAAUGAUCGUCAUAGAAUUCAAGGGUGAGUUAGUUUUUUCGGUUGCCAUGAGUUCUCUUUUCGUUUAUGUCCCCAUUUCGGACUUAGACUAGUACAUUAGUAUUUUCUUAUGUUUAAUUGAGUUGCACCCAUUUUCUUAGACUUGUUGAACUUUAGAGGUUUUGGUACACUGACUUUCAGGUUCUAGGUAUUAUUCCGCAUUUGUUUGAUUAAACUUUUGGAGUUUAUGGGAACUCUAUAUUUCCUUUAGCAUUUAAACCUGCUUCCGUAACUUUAAAUGCGUAGUUUUAUGGUUAGUUGGGUUGUAGUAAUGAUUCUCCCACUGGAGGGUUAGUGUGGGUACCAAUCACGACGGUGUGGGUCGUGACAAAGUUGGUAUCAGAGCCCUAGGUUCGUUGAUCUCGAUGUACCAAAACGAGUCUAGUAGAGUCUUGCGAAACGGUACAGAGACGUCUGUACUUUUCUUCGAGAGGCUAUAGGAAUUUAGCAAAUCUCUCUAUUUUCUGUUGUCUCUUUUCGUGCUAUAACUUGGUUCCAACUGGCAUCUGGUGGUCCAAAUUGGUAUCUAAUCUCCUUCACUCUUCUAUCCGCAGAUGGUUAACACUAGGUUCAAUGGCAUCAGGUCCAUAUCUCCCUUCAAUGCACCAGCUGAGGAAUCCGCAACAAGAGGUCGCGGUCGAGGCAGGGGUAGAGGAAGAGCUAGAGGUAGAGGAAGAGCUAGAGGUAGAGGCCGAGGAAGGGUUGUGCCUACUGAUUUGACGUUUCAAAGACACUUCACCUAAUUCUAAGUGUCAACGAUCGCUAGUUAGUAUAUAACCCAACUAAAUGAGUUAGGGUCGAAUCCCAUAGGGAGUGAUACGUGUUUAAGAUUCAAUAGGAAAGUGUCAAUAUGGUUAAAAUUAGCCAUAUGAAUAGACAUUAUCGAAUAAAAACAUAAUUCAAAUCAGGGGGUGACACGAAUGUGAAAUAAGGGGGGUUUGUUUGAAAUUAUCAGCUACAACAACAGCACACAACACAAAAAUAACAAUAAUGAGACGGGUUCUUGGGAUGUGAUUCGAUUAUAGGCUAAUGUAGACAAAUGGGUAAUUGCAACUGUUGGGAAAUAACUGAAUAUCAGUGAAAAAUCUAGACUAUAGAGGAGGUAAACUUUCUCUCGAACAAUUUACCCCGAAUCAAAUUGAUUUCUCUCGAACAUCAACAGGGGUGCAAAAUAAGAACAACCUACACUUUAGUCCAUUCACUCUCUCGAGCUGAAUGUGUGGAAAAGGGUUUAGGAUGCACACUCUCGACCUGAACCCAUGACAACCCAAUACCCACAUACCAUCAAUCAAUAAUUUUGGUUUUAAAACCACUCUCUCGAGCUAGCCAAAAAUACAGAGGUAGAACUGCAUUUGAAACUAUAAUUCUUAAAUUAAACCACAAUUAAUGAUUGAACUCACUUCUAAGCAGCAUUUCAACUAAUAAUUUACAAUAUCCAUAAACUAAAUCAGCCCAUAAUCACACCCCAAGAAUUGGGGUUUUAGCUAGACAUCAUAAAAAGAUAAAAAUCGUUACCAAAUUGCGUUUCCAUCAACUGGGUAAGAUUAAUUUCAUCCUUACAAUGGUCCAAAUUGAAGAAUAUCAAAGACCCACUUCCAAUUUCUCAAAAAUGAAAAACUUCAAUUCUUCAAAGCUUAGAAAAAACUUGUCUCAAUACUCAGAAUUCGAUAUAUUAAAAAUAUGAAACUUGUUAAUUGAUAAAAAGAUACUAAACUAAAUGUUUAAAACUGUAGUUAUAGUCGCCAAAAAUAUGUUGCGAAGAGCCAUUCAAUGCAGUAAGUCAGGCUCGCCGAUCAACUCGACGAUCCACCCUUUGAUCAAUAUUCUCGCCCUUUUGCAUUGGCCUUCAGAUUCCUCAAGCUCUGUAACUUUGGGUGUUCCAACACUGCAUUGCGGAACCACUCGACGAUCUGCCGACUGCUCCUUUCUCUUGCCUACUUGAUUUUCUCCUUUAGGGCUUGGCACACUGGAAAUUUAGGCGGUCAAGAGGCCGUUCGGCUACUCGCCAAGUGGACUUGGCGAUCACCAGGCGUACUUUUCUUCAUUCUUUCAGCUCGCUUUGUUUCUUUUUGCAAAUUAGUGUCCUUGCUUUGUUUCUCAAUCCAUAUACCUGGAAAUCAAGGGUUUUACAUCAGUUAUUGGCACAAAAUAAGCAUUUGAGGAAACUAAAUCUAUACAAAUAAAGCCCUAAAUGAGUCCAAAUCUUGGACUCAUCACCUACUAGGGAUGAGCACCAGUUGAGAAUGCUCCUAGAAAUGAGGCCCCUCCUGUGCAUCAUGAAGAGGUAGAAGAGAAUGUAGAGGUUGAGAAUGACGAGAAUGUUGGACAAGUGGAAGAGGUGCAUGAUGUGAGGCCAAAAAUAUAUAUUUUUAAUCAUUAUUUACCUCACAUUUAUUAUUUAUAUUUUUCCUUUUUGAGCAUUAAUUUUAUGGAUUGUGCUAAAUAGUGUAUUUUAUUUGUAGGAGUAAAUUGACAUAAGGUUGAAGAAGUUUGGAUGUAAAACAAAUUAAAGAUGAAAGAUUAUAGAAGGAAAUCAAGCAAGCAACUUAAUGGAUAAAAUUGAAUAUAAUAAUAUAUAAAAUUAUAUGCUGCAAAGUGCACAUCCAAUUGGAAACUUGAAAGGAGCAUAUUGUUGCCAGCCGCGUGGCAGAUUCGGAAGGCAGUGGCCAAUUCAGGAGCUGCGCACAAUCUUGAAGGCGGCGGACAAAACGCGUACAACAAUUCCAACUCAAUUUUAGUUUUGGUUUCCUCGUUUGUUUUGGUCCAAGUUAUUUUAUUUAGGGGUUUCUACAUCUUUAAAUAGUCUACAGAAAUAAUUAUUAGGCAACCAAUAUAGAGUAAGGAGGAGGCACUUUUGAAGGGAAAGUCGUUAAAACCUUUUAGAGUUCUUUUCUUCUUCUUAUUUUCUUAGAGAUUAGUGGCUAAAGUCCUUGUUCUGGGGUUGUAGCCACGAAUCGAAUGUUGAUUAUUUAAGGUUUAUGAAUUAAUUUUCGGUUGUCAAUACAAGUUACUUCUAUAUUCUUGUUUUAGUAUUUUAUGCUUGCGCACCAUAAGAUAAAUCUAUUGUCUAAUCUUAAAAUCGAGAGAGGAGAGGUUAGAUAGACCAGAGAAUAUAGAGAUCUCAGUUCACCCAUUAAAUUGAGGUGAUUAGUGUUCAGGAGUGACGCCCAGACGAACACCUUGCGUUGUUACGAAAUAGGAUGAAAUAUAAAUGCUCGCCAGUUAGUCUAUUUAUCGCCUCUCAACGAUGUAGUUAGAUAGCUAACUGGGGUAGGCGACGAGAGGCGUAUAACCCGGAUUAUAUCAUCAACCCUAUAUACCAGUAACUUGACAACUGAAAUUAAUUCUAAGCCUAUAAUAUGAUACAUGAGAUUCAAUACAUGCUGCAGGGAUUUUCCAACUAUUGUAUGUAAUCCUAUUAUUUUAUUCCUACAUUCUUUUUUAUUUGACACUCUUAAAUAAAUAAUUAGACCAAUAUAAUUUAGUAAAAAUAGUUAAUUGACAAGUCCUUUGGGUUCGAUAUUCUGGUUCUUUGAAGAGCCACUAUAUUACUUGCGCGACCACGUACACUUGCGUGUGUAAUUGGGAGCAACAAGUUUUUCGCUCCGCUGCCGAGGACUUAGAAAUUAACUAUUUGUCUAAGUUAUAUUUUUUCUUUUUAUUUAUUUAAGUUUUGUUUUUAUAAGUUUUUUAUUUUUAGUUUUUUUUCUUAACAAAUAUUUAUUUAUUUUUUUGAAUAAUUUGAUACUCUUAUUGAUAUGGAUGAUUGGGAUAAAUCGUGGUUGGUUGAUGAAUGUCCUUUAUGUGAUAUAUGUGAUCGUCAAUAAAUUCAUUGGAAUGGUUGUCCUAAAUCUUAUUCCCUUCCCCCGAACCCCUAUUAUGAUUCUUCUAUUAUUUGUGAUGUUGGUAGGGGCGAUGAAGUGGAGAAUGCAAAACAAGAGGCGCGCAAUGUGAAUUCACUUAUGGAAUGUACGGACAUGCUGGACAAAGUUAAUUCAAAAAUCGCUGAACAAAUGUUUGAAUGUGUGGAAGAGAAAAAAAUAAUCACAAAACUGCGAGAUGCGCUUGACGCUAUUCAAUUAGAAAUUACUGUCCUAGAGAUUGCAGCCCAACAAAGAGAAAGCUAUGAAGAAGCAGAGAUAGUGAGCCAAUCUUGGCUACAAGAACAAACUCAACUUCUAAAGUUUCAUGAGUCUAUCUGUGAUGAUCUACAUUCAUGACAAGCCAACUGAUUGAAGGAAAAGUUGAGCUCACACAAGAAAUAGAUCAAUUUGGCUCAGAUAUUCAUGACUUGGAGACUCACUUUGAACAAAAAGAUUGAGGCGUCUGAUGCCCAAUUAUCAAUUGUCGUGGAUGAUGAUCAAACAAGUGGAGCAAAAAGAGGAAUUUCAACCAUUAAACUACACCUUAUUCCUUAAUAUCGAUGUUGAGAAAGAGUACAAAAGUGAGAAUGUUGUAAUAAUGUUGCUUUGGAGUUGCGGCAAUUUGAAUCUCAUUCAAAACACUUUUCUAUAAAAUCUGAACUAAUGGAUGAGUGUAUUGAUGAGGAACAAAACCUCUACAUUCUAAGGCUUUUUAGUCCACGUAGACAAAACAACAUUCCUCACCUAAGGGCCAAGAAGUGCAAGAUGCGACAUAUAUUACUUGGUUCCUUUAUCUUUAUACCACCACCCCUUGAGAGGAGUAGAAAAAUUGAUGCUAAGUUAGGGGUAAAAUUCAUAAGUUCAAAGUGGAAAGAAAAGUAGUGAANNNNNNNNNNNNNNNNNNNNNNNNNNNNNNNNNNNNNNNNNNNNNNNNNNNNNNNNNNNNNNNNNNNNNNNNNNNNNNNNNNNNNNNNNNNNNNNNNNNNNNNNNNNNNNNNNNNNNNNNNNNNNNNNNNNNNNNNNNNNNNNNNNNNNNNNNNNNNNNNNNNNNNNNNNNNNNNNNNNNNNNNNNNNNNNNUCUUUUUAAGUGUGGGGUGGAGGAAUAAAUUCCUAGUUUUUAUUAUUUUAUUGAGUAUUUUAUUUUAGUUUUAAAUUAUUUGAUGCUUUGGGGACAUAUCAUCUUUUUAAGUGUGGGGUGGAGGAAUGAAUUCCUAGUUUCUACUAUUUUAUUGAGUUUUUUAUUUUUUAGGAUGAGUUCCUUGGCUUUUGUUUUCAGUUCUUUUCCUUGAGGAUAGUCCCUUUGAACCGAGUGCCUUUUAUUUUUUUAGGAAUAAGUUUUCUUUUAAUGUUUUUUUGAGAAAAAAGAAAAGACCCUUUUGAGUGGUGUAAUACUUGCUAUUUAGGCCUAAUAUUUUGAGUAGUAUUUUCUUGUGAAUGCUUGAUUAAUAAGAAAAUUACAGACUCUUUGACAUCUAAAUUCAUGGUUGUGACUUUGUAUAUAGCUUAUUUUAUUUUGUAUUUUGUUAUGGCCCUGUCUCUCUUAGAAGUGGAAUUGAUCCAUCUUGAUUGAUACUUGUGCCAUAUGUGGUGAGAAUUUCUUUAUUCCAUGUUUUGCAUUUUAGUAUAGAACUUGCCCUGCAUGUUAUUGAAGCGAAAUAAAAAAGUGUUNNNNNNNNNNNNNNNNNNNNNNNNNNNNNNNNNNNNNNNNNNNNNNNNNNNNNNNNNNNNNNNNNNNNNNNNNNNNNNNNNNNNNNNNNNNNNNNNNNNNNNNNNNNNNNNNNNNNNNNNNNNNNNNNNNNNNNNNNNNNNNNNNNNNNNNNNNNNNNNNNNNNNNNNNNNNNNNNNNNNNNNNNNNNNNNNNNNNNNNNNNNNNNNNNNNNNNNNNNNNNNNNNNNNNNNNNNNNNNNNNNNNNNNNNNNNNNNNNNNNNNNNNNNNNNNNNNNNNNNNNNNNNNNNNNNNNNNNNNNNNNNNNNNNNNNNNNNNNNNNNNNNNNNNNNNNNNNNNNNNNNNNNNNNNNNNNNNNNNNNNNNNNNNNNNNNNNNNNNNNNNNNNNNNNNNNNNNNNNNNNNNNNNNNNNNNNNNNNNNNNNNNNNNNNNNNNNNNNNNNNNNNNNNNNNNNNNNNNNNNNNNNNNNNNNNNNNNNNNNNNNNNNNNNNNNNNNNNNNNNNNNNNNNNNNNNNNNNNNNNNNNNNNNNNNNNNNNNAGUUGUUCUUUGAUGCUAAGUCCUUAAUUUAUAUUCAAUCUUUUGAAUUGAGUGUGUGGACUAAUUCUUUUUGUAGGGCACUUGUUUCAUGAUAGAUAUGUGAUUUUAUUUGCUUUCUUUGAUGAGAGUAGGUGAGCAAGCUUAAAUUUGAUGAGUUCAAAGUCUUUCCUUGAGGUAGGAGGUUAGAGGUUUGUUGUUUAUUUGGAUGUCUUGCAUAAUUAUUGAGAAGAGUACUUGGUGUUUUGAAAUUGGUAUAUGGACUAAUUGUUUGUAUUAACCCAAGUGAUGACAUUCCUAGUAUGAUUUUUGAGAUGUUCUUUAAUGUUUGCUCGAGGACGAACAAAAGUUUAAGUGUGGGGUGUUGAUGUGAGGCCAAAUAUAUAUAUUUUUAAUCAUUAUUUGCCUCACAUUUAUUAUUUUUAUUCUGUCCUUUUUUGAGCAUUAAUUUUAUGGAUUGUGCUAAAUAGUGUAUUUUUAUUUGUAGGAGUGAAUUGACGUAAAGUUGAAGAAGUUUGAAGCUAAAACGAAUUAAAGAUGAAAGAUUAUAGAAGGAAAUCAAGCAUGCAGCUUAAUGGAUUAAAUUGAAUAUAAUAAUAUAUAAAAUUAUAUGCUACAAAGUGCACAUUCGAUUGGAAACUUGAAAGGAGAAUAUUGCUGCCAGCCACGUGGCAGAUUCGGAAGGCAGUGGCCAAUUGAGGAGUUGCGCACAAUCUUGAAGGUGGCGGACAGAACGCGUACAACAAUUCCAACUCAGUUUUGGUUUUGGUUUCCUCGUUUGUUUUGGUCCCAGUUAUUUUAUUUAGAAGUUUCUACAUCUAUAAAUAGUCCAUAGAAAUAAUUAUUGGACAACCAAUAUAGAGUAAGGAGGAUGCACUUUUGAAGGGAAAGUCGUCAAUACUUUUUAGGGUUCUUUUCUUCUUCUUAUUUUCUUAGAGAUUAGUGCCUAAAUUCCUUGUUCUGGGGCUGUAGCCACGAAUCAAAUGUUGAUUACUUAAGGUUUAUGAAUUAAUUUUUGUUUGUCAAUACAAGUUACUUCUAUAUUCUUGUUUUAGUAUUUUAUGCUUGUGCACCAUAAGAUAAAUCUAUUGUCUAAUCUUAAAAUUGAGAGAGAAGAGGUUAGAUAGACCAGAGAAUAUAGAGAGCUCGGUUCACCCAUUAAAAUUGAGGUGAUUAGUGUUCAGGAGUGACGCCCAGACGAACACCUUGCUUGGUUACAAAAUAGGAUGAAAUAUAAAUGCUCGUCAGUUAGUCUAUUUAUCCCCGCUCAAUGAUAUAGUUAAAUAUCUAACUGGGGUAGGCGAUGAGAGACGUAUAACCCGGAUCAUAUCAUCAACCCUAUAUACCAGUAACUUGACAACUGAAAUUAAUUUUAAGCCUAUAAUAUGAUACAUGAAAGUCAAUACAUGCUGCAGCCCUGGGAUUUUCCAACUAUUGUAAGUAAUCUUAUUAUUUUAUUUUUACAUUCUUUUUUAUUUGACACUCUUAAAUAUAUAAUUAGACCAAUAUAAUUUAGUAAAAAUAGUUAAUUGACAAGUCCUUUGGGUUCUAUAAUCUGGUUCUUUUAAGAGCCACUAUAUUACUUGCGCGACCACGUACACUUGCGUGUGCAAUUGGGAGCAACAGUGCAGGCUGAGACUAUAUGUAUUCCUCCCUUAGACCCAGUGUUAGCUCAACAGAUUAUGUCGUUUCAGAAAGGAUUGGUUGGUCCUGGAGUGCUUCCCUCUGUUCAAGCAACUCAAGCUCCCGCCAAUUCCCCUAUUGCUAUCACUGUCCCCAAGGUGGGUGGAACUGUAAGUAAUGAUGCUUUCUUCCAUCCUUUGUUGGGUCCUGCUAUGACUGUUAAUGAGCAUGAGUUGUUGACUAAGUUCUUGAAGUUGAAACCGUCUGUGUUCCAUUGUUCUGAGAGUGAGGAUGCCUAUGAGUUCAUUCUAGAUUGUUAUGAGAGGCUUCAUAAGUUGGGAAUUGUUCAUCAGCAUGGAGUAGAGUUUGUGACCUUCCAACUUCGGGGUGAGGCAAAGCAGUGGUGAAAAACUUAUGUGGAAUGCAAAUCUUCAGCUUUACCCCCACUUACUUGGACCCGGUUUCAUGCUCUGUUCUUGGAAAAGUAUGUGCCUCAGACAUUGAGAGAUCGUAAGAAGGAUAAGUUCAUGGCUUUGGAACAAGGUGGUAUGACUGUGGCUACUUAUGAGGCUAAGUUUCAUGUCUUGUCUAGAUAUGCUACGCAAUUGGUGACUACUGAGGAAGAGAGGAUCCGCCUAUUUGUUAAGGGACUAAAUUCUAAAUUGCAAGUAUUGUCUGUUCAUAUGACCUCUGCAGGAAAAAGCUUCAAUGAAGUAACAUAUUUUGUGAAGAAAGUAGAAUGGGUGAGGUGAGACGGUCAACCCAAGGCAUUGGCUAAGAAAGCUAAGAAUACAGGUAACUUUUAGGGUUCCUCCUCUAGAGGUUCAGGUAGGCCAACACUUGCAGCCCGGCCAAUUCAGUUCGCCAUGCCCGCUUCUAUAGGUAAUUAUUCAGAAACUUCACCUUAGAAUUUGAUUCAGGAUAGCCAGGGAGCAGCACCUUCGGCGGGCCGCAGGCUAUCUUUUGAUCGCACUUGUUACAACUGUGGAGAACCUGGGCAUAUGAGGAGAGACUGUCCCCACCGGCGCAUGAUGGAUUUUGCACAUCAACAGACUAGAGCAGUGGUACCCGCGGGAAAUGGUAAUAAUGGUCGUGGGCAUCUACAAGGUGGGCGAGGAGGAAAUCAGUGAGGCCGUGGAGGUAGGGGAAAUGGUAACGCAGGCAGAGGUACAGUGCAGCCAGGCAGGAAAGUCUCCCGUCAUGAUGACAGGGCUCAUUGUUACGCCUUUCCGGGCAAGACCAAGGCGGAGGCGUCCGACGUAGUGAUCACAUGUACUAUUCUUGUCUGUGACCGGAUGGUUAAUGUGUUAUUUGAUCUGGGUUCUACUUAUUCUUAUGUAUCCGUGCGAUUUGCCUCAUAGUUUGAUAUGAUUUGUGAUAUACUUGAUGCACCCAUCCAUGUUUCUACCCCCGUUGGAGAAUCUGUCAUAGUAACCCAUGUCUAUCGUGCUUGUCCUAUCUUGUUUAUGGGUUUUCAGACUUGGGAUGAUUUGGUUAUUUUGGAUAUGAUUGACUUUGAUAUAAUUUAGGCAUGACUUCCUGGAAAUUUCCCAACCUAGUCCAGAUUUGGACGAAAUCAGAGUCAGUGAGGUCUAGGAAAAUUUGGUAAAAAUUGGGAGAUCUAAUUAAGGAACCCGUACAAAUUUAUAGAACUGAAUUCGGGCGAGUAGAACUCCCGAAAUUGAUCUUAGCAUGAAUAGGUAUUUUCUGAGUGUCGUAGGAUGAAGGUGUGUUGUGAAAUGGGGGUUUGAAAUUCUUAAAUUUGCUCACUGGUUCCGUGCAAACAGCUAAGGCGGGAUUUUUCCGCCAGGACGAGGCCACUGUAGCGGGGUGAGUACCGUUGUGGCGGGACAGUCGUGAAUUAAAUCAGAAAUAAACCCCAAAAACAUUUUAUUAUGUACUUUUCAGCGUUGAGAGCUAAGGAAUGACCCCAUGUGUUUUCUUGACAGUUUUUCUCCAUUCUUGACGCUAAAGGUAAGGUUUUCACUCCUCGAAUCCAUUUCUCGAUCCGUAAAACUUAGUUUCUUGGGUGAUUAUCAUUGGGGCAGGCUUUUGGAACUGUUUGGAUGGUGGGAAAAGCGCUAUUUUGGAUAUUGGGAUCAUGGAGUGAUCUAGGGUUGAUAGUUGAUGAGUCUACAAAUUGGACUCAUUUAGGGCUUUAUUUUGAUAAGAAUAGUGUCCUCGAAUGCUUAUUUUGUCUAAAUAUCUAAUGAAAACUCUUAAAUUUAAGGUAUUUGAAGUUUUAGUGAAAGCAUGGACACUUAGGCGCAAAAAAAUGAACAAAAGGGCUGAAAAGAACGACGAAGCUAAAGCCCGAGAAUCGCCAAGCACACUUGGCGAUUCGCCGAAAGGAUUUACUCCACCUUUUGUUCCAGUACGCGAAUCCCUGAAGGAGAAGGAUCAAAAAGGCGAUGAAAGGAGCAGUCUGCGCUUCGCCGAAUAGUUCCGCGAAGCAGUACUAUACUGCCCAAUGGUCCAGAACGUGAAGGUACUGAAGGCAAGCACGAAACUGCGAUGAGACAGACGAAGGACGAGUCGCCGAAAGCAUUUGGCGACAUCAACUAACUUCGCCGAAAGAUCUGCCAGCGCUAUUUUCUGAAGUCUAUAAAACUGAACUUAUUAUUAUUUUUAGGAGUCGAACUUUUAUUUUAAUUUCCAGAAUAGAAUAGUACUUUUUAGAUAUUUUCUCUCAAGUUUGGAGAGGGUUUUUGGGAACUUGAAGAAAGGAGUUCAUCUUCCCCAAGUUGGAAGUGGGUCUUCUCUAUUAUUCUUCCUUUGCUUAAAUUAAGGUUUAAUUUCUUAUACCCAUUUGAUUUUACUAUCAUUUUAGGUGUAUUUUGUUAUNNNNNNNNNNNNNNNNNNNNNNNNNNNNNNNNNNNNNNNNNNNNNNNNNNNNNNNNNNNNNNNNNNNNNNNNNNNNNNNNNNNNNNNNNNNNNNNNNNNNNNNNNNNNNNNNNNNNNNNNNNNNNNNNNNNNNNNNNNNNNNNNNNNNNNNNNNNNNNNNNNNNNNNNNNNNNNNNNNNNNNNNNNNNNNNNNNNNNNNNNNNNNNNNNNNNNNNNNNNNNNNNNNNNNNNNNNNNNNNNNNNNNNNNNNNNNNNNNNNNNNNNNNNNNNNNNNNNNNNNNNNNNNNNNNNNNNNNNNNNNNNNNNNNNNNNNNNNNNNNNNNNNNNNNNNNNNNNNNNNNNNNNNNNNNNNNNNNNNNNNNNNNNNNNNNNNNNNNNNNNNNNNNNNNNNNNNNNNNNNNNNNNNNNNNNNNACACCCCAAGAACAUUUCCCCAUACUUGAUUUUCUUGUUAAUUUUUGCUAUUUUUACUAAUUGUGACAAAAACCCCAAAUCGAUAUUUGACACUUUCGUGUCACCCCCUUUUUUUACCAUGUUUUUGUUCGUUAAUGUCUUUAGCUACGACUAGUUAAAGCUUAACUUUAUUUUUCUAUCAAUUCUCAAAACAACUCCCUUGGUACAUGACCGCAACCUUUAGUUGGGUUACUAUACUAUCGACGAUCGUAGACACUCAUUCCGUAGGUUAAUGUCGAUGGUCACGAUAAGCAAUAAUAGUGUUGAUUUAAAUCCGGGUAAUUAGACAUCGUUUAUUGAUUUUCGUGUUAUAUUGAUUGUUUGUAGACCAAGAACAAGCGAAAAGAAUCCGAAAGGGAAGAAUCUAGUUUCUUAGGGGAUUCAAGCUUUGUUUGAGGUAGGUGAUGAUUGUGAUUUCAUGUUGUGUGAUAUAUGUUUGUUUUUGCUUCAUUAUGAUGCAUGUAUUUAUGCGAAUGUUGCAUUAUUGAUCACACUAAUCGUAAAUGAGGAUGAUUGAAUAAUUGUAUGCCAUGGAUCAUGACUUGAUUGUAUGAUUAUGAGAAUGUACAUUGUGAUUGUAAUUGUGGCUUGUUGAAUGGAUCGUGUGUUGCGUUCCGACACACUAACUGGGAUCGAUUGCCACGUAUCGGCAUAAACUUUGGAAUGGGUGUCAUGAUACGACGCACUAACUUGGAACGGGUACCACAUACCGGUACACUAACAGUUUAGGUGUGGGUUCCAUGAGAGGACCAUUGACUUGACAUAACUAUAUAUCUUGAGAAUUGUGAAAUUGUACGUUGUUCGUAAAUGAUGUUAAUAUUGUAUAUAUUCGGUGUAUGCAUGUUAUUAUUAUGUUGUAAUGGCUUAUGUAUGUUGCACUUAGUGGGAUAGCCGUGUGAUCCUACUAGUACACUGUGGUUGUGUACUGAUACUGCACUUGCUCUUUCUUUGUUGAGUACAUGACAGCUUCAAGCGGCUACUGACAGACCUCGUUUAGAAGAUCAGUGAUCGUCAUCGAAUUCAAGGGUGAGCCAGUUAUUCCAGGCUGCCAUGAGUUCUCUUUUCGUUUAUGUCCCCAUUUCGGACUUAGACUAGUACAUUAGGAUUUUCUUAUGUUUGAUUGGGUUGUACCCAUUUUCUUAAACUUGUUGAACUUUUGAGGUUUUGGUACAUUGACUUUCAGGUUCUAGGUAUUAUUCCCCAUUUGUUUGAUUAGACUUUUGGAGUUUAUGGGAACUCUAUCUUUCCUUUAGCAUUUAAAUCUGCUUCUGUAACUUUGAAUGCGUAGUUUUAUGGUUAGUUGGGUUGUAGUAAUGGUUCGUCCACCGGAGGGUUAGUGUGGGUGCCAAUCAUGACGGUCUGGGUCGUGACAUGUACUAAUGAAGUACAAAAUACCAAUUUUAAAACGGUCUCCGGGCUCAAAGAAAUUAGCCUCUUUAAACUUAUUCAAGAAGUCUAACUUAGGGACUUUUGUCAUUUUACCAUAAUACUUUUGAAUAAGCCUAUUUGGAAUAGAUGGAUUUGAAAUAAAGUCGCUAAGGAGUCCACAUUUGAGACCAGUAACUGCUGCGAAUUCCUUAAUCCCAAAACGUAGUACUGUAUCGUUUAUUUUGAAUAUGAACAUGUCGUCCCUAACGUUUUCGGUUUCAAAAAGUAGCAAAUGGCGCAAUAACUAACAUUGAAUCUUUAUGAGGGGUAGCUCGUUAAAUACACCAAAUGGUUUUUCCAAAUUUUGUUGAAACCUCUCUUGUCCGACGAAUGUCAACAGGUCUUUGAAACCAUUCAUGUUUGUGCAUGAAGCCCAAUAUGUGUAUGGCUUCCUUGCCUAUAAAAUAAAAUUAUUUAUAAUUAGUUAUAAUUAAAUUAAAUCACAGAAUUCAUAUCAAAAUUAGAUCAAUUUCAUACCACAUUCGUAAACCAUAUAGACAGUCGGUUCAUACCAAAAUUAUUUAUAUAUCAUUCCACAUUCAUAGACAUAAAUUUUAUUAAAACAUCAUACCAUAUUUGAAAAAGUUUCACACCAAUAAAGUAUAUAAGUAGUUAUAAUUAAAUUAUAUCACAGAAUUCAUACCAAAAUUAAAUCAAUAUCAUACCAAAAUAAAACAUACUUCAUACCACAUUCAUAAACCAAUAUUAUUCAUGUUUCAUUCCACAUUCAUAGACAUAAAUUUUAGUAAUACAUCAUACAUGAUUUGAAAAAGUUUCACUCCAAUAUUAUUGAUACAUCAUACUAGGUUCAUGUGCACUGUGACAUUUAACAAGCUAUUUUCAUAAAUAUAUACAACUACAAUCAAAAUAAUUUUCAAAACAACAUUUAAUAUCAAUGUAUGCCAAUUUCAUACCAAUGUUAAAAACUGAAAUACAUAAUAGGAGAAACUAUUAGGAAAAAUAUCAAUUUCAUACCAAUAUUAGUCAUGCUUCAUACAAAAAAUAGUAACUUUUUUUCCAGUUUCAUACCAUAUUCAUACCAUUGGGCUACUGAUAUCAAACCAAUUUCAUACCAUAAUCAUAAAUCAUAUAUUAAGUGAGAUUCAUACCAAUAUUAUUCCUAUUUCGUACAAGUUUCACACCAAAUACAAGUUCCGUACCAACAAUACGCAUAAUAUAAAUAUAUAUAUAUAUAUAUAUACUUAAAACCACUAAUUUGAAUAAUUUUAAAAUAAAUUAAAUAUAAUAUUUACCCUAACCACUUUUUUGCCUUUUGUGGAUAUUGGGAUUUCUGAGUCCUGCUUCGUUGUUGCUCCUCUUCGUGAUGGUUUUGAAGACUGAGUCAUUUCAACAUUUGUUGCUUUUAUUGUUUUUUUUUUCUUCUUUUUCUCACUUACAAGAUCAGAAUCCGAAUCAGAAUGGGUUUCUACCAUUUUCCCCUUCCUCUUUUGUUCCUUUUGAUUUGCAGGACUUACCGUUUUCUUUGCUUGACUAUUUUUCUCCUUUUAUGUAAUUUGAUUCUUCGAUUGAGAAGAACCACCCUUUGCCGGAAUUUCAUUCUUUUUUGGCGGUUGGAAUUGAGUCAAUAAGUUGAAUGUUGGAGCAUGUAUUUCAUCAGUAGAAGUUGCUUCUACUAGUCGAGGACUCUUUCGAAGCGUUUGAACAGGUUACUUCGACAUGAAGAAGAUGAGAAACGGAAUGGAGUAUGUUUGAGAGAGAUGGGAGAGAUAAAUUUGUGAUUUCUGAAGGUGGGGUAGUAGGGUGGGUGGUGUGCUGUAUAGGAUAGGUGUGGGGCGUGGGAUUCAGUGGCGGAGCUACAGUGUCCCGAGGAUGUCCAAUUGGACAACCUUCGUCGGAAAAUUAUACCGUAUAUAUAAGUAAAAUACUACUUGAAACGGUUAAAUCUAAUACUUUGGACGCCCUCAACACAAUAAGACUCUACGGCCUAGUGGUGUGAGGCUCUCCUGUUGAGCUCAUAGGCGUGAGUUCGAAUCCCUGCAAUUGCAUUUGUUAUAUUUAUAAUCAUUUUUAAUAGAACUCUCCUAUUUUAUUAUUACUCUAAGUUAUUAACUUGCUCCUUUAAUUGUCUAAGGUAAUUAAAUUAAUUUCUAAAUAAUAGUUAUUAAAUUUGUUAUUUUUUAUUAAAAUGAUUCUUAAUUAGAAAUCUACACUUAGUAGCCAAUUGAAUUUUCAAUGAAUUUGACUUUUUAUUUCAUUUCAUUAAAAUUUGAAAUAAAACUUAGAUGUAAUUAUUUAAUUUAAAGUUAAUAAAAAAAAUUCUAAACUAUUUCUAUAAAGCUACUAAAAGCGAACAAAAGAACACCUCGUUUGAUUGUGCUUCCACUAUUCAUGUCUCAUUAUUGUUAUCAUCACCAAAGUUUAGUGAAAGCUUGAAAUGUAGAAAUGAUUUCAUUUUAAGCUAACCCCCCCCCCCCCCUUUUCAUUGUUCGUUCACUUCAUAUUAAAUUAAACACAAAUAUUAAAGCAAAAUAUUAUGCAGUUUGAUUUUUAAAAAUUUGGAACAUUUAUUCCUAAAAAAAAGUAAUAUUAAUAUUACGUACUUCAAUUUUAAAUUUUUCAGUGCAUCCAUUCAUCAAAAAAAUAAUUGUUUAUGUAAUACUUGGACACCCUUAGUAAAAUUGCUAGCUCCGCCACUGGUGGGAUUUACGUGGUAGGGGGGGGGGGUGUGGCGUGUAACUUUAAAAAAGGAAUGGUAAUCAAUAUAAAUCCCUAAAAUUGUGUAAAAGAUAAUUAUGGUGUAAUCUUUAAUUAAAUAAAUUAUUAAUAGUAUAAAAUUAUAAAAAUAUUAAUUAUUUAAUAAAGUAAAUUUAAUUAAUUUUUAAAUAAAGUUAAAUUUAAUCGAUAUAUUAUAACCCGUAAUUAAACUGUUAUAAGCAAGAAUUUUUCAAAAGUAAGUUUAAAACCCAUAAUAUUGUCUCUUAAAUGUGUAUAGGGUGUGAUUUUUCCAUAUUGAAAACCAAUACCGAAUCGAUAACCCAAUAAUAUUUUUUUAUAAAACCAUUAAAACACCGUUAACCCAAUAACCCAAUAGCAAUAAAUCAUUAAUAUUUUUUUUCGGUUCGGUUUUUGCACACCCCUAGAGUGGGGUGUGGUCGGAUUUCAAUUUGAAAGUCGAGCUAGAAUAUAUAUACUAGUUUUCAAACAUGUGUGUUGCACAUGUAUCCAUGUUAUAUAUAUACUAGUUUUUUGACACGUGCGUUGCACGUGAUUACCAAUUCAGAAAAUAUAUGUUAUAGUAAAUACAAUUGCUUAUUUAAGUGAAGAUUUGAAUAAUAAGCUUAACACAAAAUAAUAUUGCAGAUUAUUUUGUGAUUGUUCAAUGUGGAUCGUCAUAUAUAUUUCUUUUUCAUGCAAACCUAUGAAAAUGGUGAAUGAAAAAAAUUAUUAGUUAGAUGCAAUAAUGUGUAUAUUUAUUUUAAUUUGAUGAGGUUCAAUCAUGUAAUUAGUCGUAUCUCACUAAUAUAACGAUAUUUUUUGUGCAUUUUUCUUGUAAUCUAACCAGAUGUGCUAUGCACGUGUAUUCCACGUUAGUGUGUUUAGAUGUUGUAUGAAUAUGUGAAGAGAACAACUACAUUUUAUCUUUUAGAACUAUUAAUUUUUAUUUUAUAAUUUAUAACAUCAUAGGUGACGUUCUUGUUGUUGGCUCUCAUAUUUGACUUCUGAUUGGCUGUGUACGUAAAUCAAAGAUAGUUAUUUGGCUGUCCCUAGUUAACUAAGAAAUGUUUCCUUUUUUUUACCGGAAAAAACAUAAAAAUUAAAAUUAAAGAAUAUAUUUUAUCUGUGAAAACAUAUAUAUAAUCACUUGUUCGUCUUACACCCAACAAAGAUAUAGUUCAUAUACUUGUAAACGAUUUUUAAUAUAUUCAACAAAGCAUGAUUCGUCAAAGGAAAAAUAACAAAAUUGUGUUAUCACAUAUAUAGGAGUAUAAUAAUAUGAAAAAUUAUUGGUCAAAAGUUAAUAUAAGGAAAGAUGAAAUAUAGAAAUAAUUAAUAUAAUAACAAUGAAUCUAUAAUAUUAAAACUAAGAAUGUCAAAGAGUGUGAAUACCGUUUGCAAUAAUUAGUAAUAACUAAGAGUAAUUUAUAAUGUUAUAACUAAAGAUUAAUGUGCAGUUAGCUCAAUUUCUAAUAAAUUUUAUACUUACAUAAAUAAAUAGGAAUUUUAAUUAAUGUUACUAUUUUUUUUUAUAGUUAUUAGAUUUUUAAUUUAUUGUAGGGACAAAAUGUAAAUGUUUAUUCCAUAUUACUGAAUAUAAAAUUUAUUUUGUAAAAUGAUAAAUUUUAAAUGACUCAUAUAUAUUCACAUAUUUUUUACAUUUGUUGUGAGUUUUUUUUUAAAAAAAGAACUCCGAACAUUUUAAAAGAAUACAUUCGUGGCAUAUAUAAUACUUUAAUUUAAAUACCAAUACCUACCCAAAUAUAAAUAUAUAUUUGCAUUAAUGAAAAUAUUUAUCUCAUAAAAAUUAGCUAUUAAAUAAAUUAUAAAAAUUAAACUAAUACAAACAUCAACUAGCGUUAUGACAAGUCAUAUGAACUUUUCUUCGUCUAAAAUGCUAAAAUAUUAAGAAAUAGUAAAUAAGUAAAACAAAAGGGGAAUGUUUAUAUAGUAAUAACUAUUUUUAAGGAAACUUCCUGACAAUCUAAAUUACAUAAGUAGCAUUGAUAAAUAAAGUCAUUCUUUUGUCUACAGCAUGAAAAAAACAAAUCGUGAAAAUUCUCUAAAUUUUUGAAAAAGAUAUUUAGAAGCACAUAUCUACAUCACAUGAGAAAUUGUUCAUAAAAACAAAUGAAUUUAGACUACAUCAUGUUAACUUCAUAUAUUGGAACAUCACAUACUAAUGUAUAUAUUAUUAAAAAUAAUUAUGAUUAUAUCAUCAAAAUUAUUUUUCUCAAGUACUUGAGAUUAAGGAAUAUACUCUCUUAGGAUAGAAUGAUUUACUUCAUCAGAAUAGUGGUACAUCAUAUUCCACUAAGCUACGAACUCACUCAACGAAAAUAAAUCACAAAAAGAUUUCAAAAUGCAAGAAUAAGAAGAGUAGAAGAUUAAAAAAAAUGUUGUUGAAAAAUAGAGGAAGCCCCUCUAUUUAUAGUCAACAAAUAGUAGUAUGAACAAGUGUUUUUUGUGUCUUAUCUCAAAAAACAUGACCUUUUUGACAAGUCACAACCCUUUGAAAAAUUCACAACUAUUUUGAAAAUUCACAACUAAUCGAAAAAUCACAACCCCUUGAAAAAAGUCGCAACUUAUAGAAAAAUCACAACCCUUUGAAAAAAGUCACAAAUUAUUAUUAUUAUUAUUAUUAUUAUAAAUUAAAUAUAUUAUUAAGUGCGUGAUAUACUUUGUUAGAUAUUUUAAAUUAUAAAAUUAUUACAUUUUAAAUUAUCCGCGCAAUGCGCGGGCACGUAUACUAUUUAUACAGUGUACAAAGAAUUUUUAUUGCUUUUAAAAAAGAAUUAAAAGAAAUCUGUAAUCUAUAAUAAUUAAAUAAUUUAAUUAUUAUAAAGACAAGAAAAAACAUGAUAGUUGAAUCCUCAUCAAAUAUAAGUUUAUUUAUAAAAUAAUUGUUUGCCUUUUUAAAAAAAAUUACUUUUAUUCGAAUUUAUUAAGAUUGUUUAAUUAAUAUAUUUUUUCAAUUUACCAUAAGAAUUUCAUACUUCUUUUGUCGAAGACUAACUUUAAUUGUUUAUUUUUUAUGAAUUUCAGACUUUAUAAUGUUGAAUUAUAUAUGAAUGAUCAUCAUGAUCAUUACCUUGAAUGUAAUAGCGACAAAAAAUAUAAGAAUAUAAAUUUAUAUCUAUAUAUCUAUCUAUAUAUACUAGGAGAAGUAAAAAUUGUCAAAUGUAAGCACCACAAUUUUUUUCCAUUUUUUAGUUUUAAAACUAAAAUUUUCAAAUAAUUUUAAUUUGCAUUAGUUAUUAAAUUUAAAUUUAAAAUUUGUAAAAAAUCAAUAGAUAUUUUAAACGAUUUUAAAAAAAAUAAAAUAGAAAGUUACCACAAUUAAUAUAAUUCUUCUAUAUUCUUUUUUAUAUAAAAAAAAAAGGGGGUCCUACAUGUGGUUAAAAAAAAUUGGACUCUUAUUUUUAUUCUAAUUAGAAUAUUAUUUUUUAUCUCAUGUAUUUGUGAGUAUAAAAGGUUUAAUGGGAUAAUAUCGUGUAGUUAGCAAGUCUUCUCAAGAACUCACAAAGAAUACAUUGCAAGGGGUUUGGUCCCUGCAAGACUGCGUAUGUGAAAAAGACGACAAGACAACUAUCAGAAAAGCUUUCACCUCUGAUGUGGUAGGUGUACGUCUUUUUAAAGAAGCAGACUCUCAACCAAUGGGGACGUCUUAAGAGGUUUGUGUCCAUUUAAUAUAAUCUCUUCUCACAUGACACAAACUAAGAUUUGGCAAACAAACUUCAUAAGCUUACAAAGACAAGGUCAUCUUCAAGGAAGAACUCAAGCACAACAGAAGGACCUGAUAGACCAAAGAAGAUCAAUCUUUAUCCGCUGGUGUUGUUGAAUGCUUGUAAUGUGCUAAACUUGUAGGAUUCAUUUCACUCUUAUAAGAAAUGGUUCGAACCUUUGUGUGAGUUAGUAUAAGAACACUGUUAGAGUUAACUUUGUGUCUUACUGUUGAAGUCUAUAUUAAUUAGUGAUAGUUAAUAUAGUGGGCAAUGAAUGCAUUGCUUUGGCUCAGUAAGUAAUAUGUGUAUUACUUAGUGUGAGAUUAAGAGUUUAGUCUCAUUUGUGUAGUUGAAAUCUGUAUUCACUUUUGCUUGGAGAUUAGUGAAGGGAGUUGAAAAUCUUGUGUGACAAGUCGUGGUUUUAAUCCCUUUAGCAAGGAGGUUUCCAUGUAAAACUAUUGUGCAGGAUUUACAUUGUGCUAUUUAUUUCUCGCACUUUAAUUCUACCAGGGGACCUGGUCCUGUGAUCACUGGUGGACGCGUACAUUUAAACAAUAUGUAUCAGAGCAAGAGCUCUCUAUUUGGUUAACACCAAGAGAAAAGAUCCUGCAAGAAUGGCGGCUCCACCAAGUCUGGAAGAUGGUCCAUCUACCACACGCCCUCCUCGUUUCAACGGCCAGUUCUAUGGGUGGUGAAAGACCAGAAUGCACGAUUAUAUUAUGGCGGAAGAUAGCGAACUGUGGGAUGUAGUGUUUGAUGGUCCUUAUGUUCCUACCAAAGAUGUGAAGACAGAAAAAAAUUGAAAAAAAGUAUAAAGCAAAAAAGUUGUUGGUAUGUGCAAUAGGAGCAGACGAAUAUAACAGGAUUUCACCUGUGAAACGGCCAAAGAAAUAUGGGACUGCUUGAAGACAACCCAUGAAGGAACAACUCAAGUUAAGGAAUCAAAGGUGGACAUGCUCACUACUCAGUAUGAAAAUUUUAGUAUGAAUGAAGGUGAGACUAUUCAUGAAAUGCACUCUAGAUUCACCUCCAUCACUAACUAACUUUGAUGCCUUAGUGAACCCAUUCAUCCAGGGAAACAAGUUUGAAAAAUCCUUCGAGUUCUUCCCAAAUCAUGGGAAAGCAAAGUGAAUGACAUCACUGAAGCAAGAUAUCUGAAAACCUUACAAUGGAUGAGUUGAUAGGCAGCUUGCAGACCUGUAAGUCUAACAAACUACAAGAUUCAUCUAAGUGGGAAGGAAAGAAACAUAAUUUGUUGCAUUGAAGGCAUCUCAAAAUAAUGCUUCUGAAGAUGAGGAAGAGAUGGAUUAUUUGACUAGAAGGUUUCAAAAAAUAGUUAAAAAGCAUGGAGGAUUUCAGAGAAAGGGUAACUCCAGCAGAACAACAAAUGCAAAUGAUCUUUGCCACAAGUGUGGAAAUACAGGACACUUUAUGAGAGAUUGUUAGAGCCAUAAGCAUGAAUUUCAAGACUUCAAAGAAAGGUGAAGGGACCAGGUCCCUGACCAUGUUAAGAGAAAGGCUAAUGUUGAUCAAGUGGUGAAAAAUGCCUUUGCAGUAUGGGGAAACGCCUCUAGUGAUUUUGAAGAGGGAGAACACCAUGAAUAUGUCUCUAUGAUGGCAGUCAAGGAUGAUGAUGACAUAUUCAACUCCAUCUUCUCACUGAUGGCAAAGACUAACGACGAAGACGACAAGGACGAGGUAACACUUCUUGACCAUAAGGGUGACAUAGACACCCUGUCCAUUCAAAGGUUGAGAAAACAUGCCAUUGCGUUAACCGACUCUAUUGAUGAAUUAACGAAUGAAAAAAUGGUCUUAAGUGAAAAUCUGGAUCUUUGUCAAGAUGAAAAAUAAGCCCUUAUUUCUCAUAUGUUUGAAAUGAAUGUUAGGCUGUGGAGACUGAGGGUUGUCAACAUAAGGAAGAACCAGAAACAUCUGAGAAUGGAAAAAGGAAACUCAGUAACUUUGAGCUUGAUAUAGAGGAGAGUCUAAAAGUUUCUGAGUCCGAACUAGUUGUUGCCCUUUAAAGAAACUCACAGCUAGUAAUGGACUUAAGUCAAGUUAAAGAACUGCUAAAUCAAUCUUUGAAGUGGACUGAUUCUUCAAAGAUUCUUUCUAACUUGGCAAAUCAUAAAUUCAAUAGUGUUAAUGGUUUAGGGUGUAGAAAGAUAGAACCUCCAAAUAACCCUUAUAGCAAGUAUGUAUUAGUAUUUGAUAAUCUGUUAUGUACUCACUGUGGGAGAAAUGGUCACCUCAAGAGAAACUGUGAAUCCAUGAGAAAGACCAAAGAAAACCAAGCAAGGUUUCUUGAAUCUGAAAAGAAGAAAGUACCUGGUCCCAAGUAUCGUUUCAGUAAAAACACCUUGCCCCCAGGACUGGACGAUUUAUUAUCAAGCCCUUUGAUAGCUUUUAGGAACUCCAUCUAAAGUGGUUCCUAAAUCUAACAAGUGAUUUUCUUUUACAGAAGGGAGGAAGUAGUCAAUGGUGGUUCAUGGACUGUAACACCUCGUAUCCUAGAUAGACCAAAAUGCAGAUUUUGAGAAGUUACAGGUGCAACCCACGGUUGCCAUCCAUGGACCGUAGGUCAGAACACGAAACGUGCUGGUGGUCCGUGGUUCACCACUGCAACCCCUCCCCAAACCUAGCUCAGAAAAUCGGCUAAGUCUCGACCCACGGACAGGCCCACGGUCCGUAGGUCAAACCACGAUCUGUGGUCUGUGUCCGUGGAGCAAGACUCCUUUACCCAUCAUCUAACACGAACUAUGGUCGAUCAACAUGGACCUUCGUUCGAUGCACGGUCCGUAGGUCUGACCGUAGAUGAAGGUAAGCAGCCAGUUAGAGGAAAAUUAUUGACUGGUCAACUUCAAAUGGUCAUAAUUCUUAGCACAAAAUGAAUUAUAUGUCCCACGACCUAUGAUAUGAUAGAUAAUUGAAUCCUCUUUCCAACGCCACCAAGUUUGCUAAAAUCCGACCUCCAAAAAAAAUGUUAUGCUAGUUUUAGUGAAGACCUGAUGGACAGACUUGACCGACGGACCCAGACGAUGGCCGGUAGAUCAAACGACGGACCGUCGUUCCUUCCGUGGUAUGGGUUUUUGCCAGAAUUUAAGUUAGGGUUGUUUUUGGUCCUUUUCCUAUUUCGUUGGACCCCUAAGCUACGUCGUUUAGACCCUAAAUUAUGAGGUUUUAGUCAGUUUAAGCCUAGAAACAUAACUAGAACUUAUCUAAGUCAAAUCAUUAAUCAAAACUUAGAAAAUUAGAACGCUAAGAAGAGAAAGAAGUCAAGAACCCUAGUCCAAGAACACAACAAGUUUUCUUCGGUUCCAGCCCAGAAAUCAAAGGAUUUCUCCAUGAAAUUUGUCACCAGGUAUGUGGGAUUUCACUAGUGGGUUCCUUUCACCCAUUAGGUCCCUAGUUUUCAGUUAGUUUCUUGAUUCCCUUAUUAUGACUAGACCUAGGGUUUCUUGAAUGUUAGAAUUGUUGGGUUCCUAGCUAUUAGAAUGAUCCAAAUUAGAUUAGUAUGUUAAUAUUCAGUUUAUUGCAUGAAUUUCAGAACCCUAGCUAUGUAUUUAUUUAGUUCUUGAAUUACAUAUGCUAGGUCAGAUAUUUCAGUAUUCAGUUAUACAUGCCCCAGUUUAUGAAUGCAUCAUUAUCAGAUUAAUUGUUGUAUUUUCAGUUUUGUAUGUUCAGUAUGUUCAGUUUGAGCCAUCAUCAUUAUAAGAUCUAUUCUCAGUUUAAAGAAAUGAGUAUUAAUGUCAUUGAUAAUGACAAAAUAAUAGAACUCUUACAAAAGGUCAAAGAUCCGGAGAUAAGGGCUCAAAGUAUUGAUAAAAUCAGUAAUACUGCAUCUACCUCUAAGAACGAUAAAAUAGAUGGAAUUCCUACCAAAGAAGGUUCAUAUACCAUGGCGGAGGUUCAAAAUCUCUUACUAGAAAGGAGGAAACUUAUAAGUUCCCCUACUAUGAUCAAUGAUCUAAAACAAGAGAUUAAUAAUCUCAAAGAAGACAUUCAACGGCUCAAAGAAAAGAAUGUCAUCAUAGAGGUUCGUCUGGAUAGUUUCGAAACUCGCAGGGACUUGAGUAAUAACUCAGCUUCUUCGUCUUCAUGUGAAGGAGAAAGCAAUAAUCUUGAUUUUCUCAAAAAUAUUAAUUUUAGUAAUACCAAAGGGGAUUUUCUACAAAACUUAAAAGCUUUAUUUCUCAAAAGUUUUAUACGAAAAUCACUCUUCUUAUUGAUUAUAAUUUUAAAAAAGAAUUUAUUGCUCUUAUUAACAGUGCAGUUGAUUUAAAUUGCAUUCAAGAAGGAUUGAUCUCUUCAAGAUAUUUUCAUAAAACUACUCACAGCCUGAGAUCAGCAAAUGGUAGUAAAAUGAAUAUUGAGUUUAAACUACCCAAGGCUUUUAUCUGCAAAGGAAAAAAUUGUGUUCCUCAAAGCUUUGUUUUAGUAAAAGAUAUUACAAACCAAAUUAUUUUGGAAGUACCUUUUAUAAAUGAUAUUUUUUCCCUUACUUAUUGGGAUAAUGAAAAAAUUAUUGGUACUUGAAAUAACAAGCCUUUUAUACUUGAGUUUAUUACAAAACCUUUUACGAGGAUGAUCAAUGAAUUAACCUCAAAAAUGAUUUUAAGAAAUAAUCAGGUCAACUUUUUAAAAAGUGAGAUCAAUAGCAUUGAAAUUGAUAGUAUUAUUCAGAAUCCUAAAUUACAGGACAAGAUUGCUAUUUUACAGGAUCAGUUCUCCCUUGAGAUAUGUGGAGAUCAUCCUAAUGCUUUUUGGAAUAGAAAGAAUCAUGUGGUAAGUCUUCCUUAUGAGGAUAACUUCGUUGAGGAUAAUAUUCCCACGAAAGCAAGACCGUGCCAGAUGAAUUCUGAUUAUCUGGACUUAUGCAAAAAAGAGAUUGAGUCUUUGCUUCAGAAAGGCCUUAUAAGGCAUUCCAAGUCCCCUUGGUCUUGUACAACAUUCUAUGUUAAUAAACAUGCUGAGCAAGAGAGAGGUGCACCCAGGUUAGUCAUCAAUUAUAAACCUCUUAAUAAAGCACUGAGAUGGAUCAGGUAUCCUAUUCCUAAUAAGAAGGAUUUAUUAGAUAGGGUAAUGAUGCCAUAUAUUUUCCAAGUUUGACUUGAAAUCAGGUUAUUGCCAGAUCCAGAUAGCAGAGUCGGACAGGUUUAAAACCGCUUUCAAUGUCCCUAUGGGUCAGUAUGAAUGGAACGUUAUGUCAUUUGGUUUAAAGAACGCUCCAUCAGAAUUCCAAAAGAUUAUGAAUGAUAUCUUUAUGCCUUAUAGUAAUUUUAUUAUAGUCUACAUAGAUGAUAUUCUAGUAUUUUCAAAAAAUAUAGAAACUCAUUUUAAGCAUCUUGAUUUAUUCAAGAAAAUCAUUAUUCAAAAUGGUUUAGUACUAUCCAGUCCAAAAAUGGCUUUAUUCUAAACAAAAGUCAGAUUUUUGGGAAAUUUUAUUUUAAAAAGUAAUAUCAUUCCUAUUAAUAGGAGUAUAGAGUUUGCUUCUAAAUUUACAGAUGUUAUCACUAAUAAAACUCAAUUGCAGAGAUUUCUUGGAAGUCUGAAUUAUGUCGCUCCUUUUAUAAAGGAUUUAGCUAUUGAUACAACUAUACUUUACGACAUACUUAAGAAUAGCCCAAAAGCAUGGUCAAAUAAUCAUACUGAAGCUAUCAAGAAGAUUAAGGAAAAGGUUAAGAAUCUCCCUUGUCUUUCGUUGGCCAAUCCAAAUUGGGAAAAGACAGUCGAAACGGAUGCUUCAAAUAUAGGAUAUGGUGGUGUUCUAACACAAUAUUGCCCUCACAAUAAGCGCCAAUAUUUUGUCCAAUUCUAUUCUGGAAAAUGGAACACAGCCCCGAAGAAUUAUGCCACUGUAGCUAAAGAAAUUUUGGCUAUAAUGAAAAGUGUUCUGAAAUUUCAAGGAGAUCUAUACAAUCAAAAGUUUUUAAUAAAAAUUGAUUGCCAAGUAGCCAAGUUUAUGUUUAAUAAAGAUUGUAAACAUGAUGUUUCUAAACAAAUGUUUGCAAGAUGGCAAACAUUAAUAGGUCAUUUUGAUUUUGAAAUUCAUUAUAAGAAAGGUGAAGAUAAUAGUCUUCCAGAUUUUCUAACUAGAGAAUAUUUAGAUUAAUAUUACUUGUUUUUCUUUUUCAGGAUGAGUUGAAGACCAUCAUGGCCCCCUCCUUCAAGAAGGGGAGGAAGAGGAAGAACCAAUUUAGGAAUGGGAGGUCAUAUCCUCGUUCAACAUGGAAAUAAGCAGUUGAUAGCAGCUAAUAGCAGCAGUUCAACAAGUGGAACAAGUGUUAUUGAUAUAAACCACCCAAUGUCCAAAGAAUUCAUGGAUUUUAUGAAAUCUAAAAAGGAAUCAGAUAAUGAUCCACCAACAUAUUCCACCAUCCUCAUGGAUGAGGAAAACAUAGAAGUAUUUGAUCUAAACGACAAAAGAGAAGUUAUACUUCUACUUGAAAUCAGUGACCUGAGAUGGAAAAAUGAACCAUGACAGAUAAUGUCCAGAUGUCUGGAUACAAUAAGUUAUACUACUACUGUUUAUAAAUAUAGAAUGCAUUAUGAGAUAAUACUCUCAGCCACAAGGUCAUGUGAAUUCCAACACUUUUACCCGGCGAAUACAAAAAAGGUUUAUAACUUUUCUAAGAUGAUUAUGAAAAAGAUCUUAAUACCUGAAGAAUGGGGUAUGAGCCCUUUGAAGGAAAUGGAUUAUAUCCAUGCGGAACAAAAAGUCGCGGUAAAAUUUGGGAUUACAUUGAAGGCUUUAAUAAAGCUCUGUUAUAUGAAAAUGCUAAUAAGAAGCAUUCAUGGUUUAUUAAGAUAUGCUCUAAUAUAUUCGAAAGGCAUAUUCCAAAUUGGUUUUGCAGAUGGUGGACCUUAUAUGGUCCUUCGGUGAAUAUUUUACCAAAAUCAUAUAAAAUAUUAUAUUUAGAAUGGGUAGAUAUCUCCCCAAAAAUUAUAAAUUUGCAGGAUGAUAAUACAUUCUUUGAAGGAAUGUCAAUAAUGUAUUUCUUCAAUGAAUUCUCUAUUCCUUGGAUCAUGAAAUGGUCAAUGGAAGUUAAUACUACUUCUGAUGGGUUUCCAUGUUUACAAAGGACAUUUUAUACAAAAUUCUGGAGUAAAUUAUUACAAAAAAACCUGGAAGGAAAGGUUCAUGGUCAAGAAAUUCUUGAUUCAAUAAAUGAAAAAAUUAGCAGAUAUUAUGAAAUUGCUACAUCAGAACCACAGGUGACAGAUGAUUUGAGCCCAUUUAAGAAAAUCAAAAGAAAGCUUCAAAUGAAGAAAUGACUGAUUUCUAAAUCAGAAGCUAUAGCGUUGUAUAUGGAAGAAGUGAAGAAAGAUUUAAUGAAAAAUCUUGAUAUUGAAAUUAAAGAUGAUAUCUCCAUGGCAUCAACUAGCCAUACUAAUGAUGAUGACGAUAAUGCUUGCAUAGCUGGUGAAGGACAAGAUGCUGAUAGCAAUGAAGAGAUCGAUAUCGAGGCUCUUUUACGAAAUUAUCAACAACAGAUAGAAGAAUCUUCUAGCACCAACACAGCUAUCAAAGGGAAAAAUAAAGUAUCAAGAAAUGGAAUACUUUAAUAAAGUUGUCGGCCACAUGUAAUAAGGCCAAAAUACUUUUAUAAAGUAAUUUCAGUAAAAUCUGAAAGUACUAUCGGCUAGUUAAAAUAAUGCAAGGCCAUAUGAGUGUGUUGGCCUUAUCAUUUUAUUAGUGGCCAUUAUAAAAGUGUGGGCCAAUAUCUUUUUGUAUUUUUAUCUUUAAAAAGAUUCCCCUUAGAGCUAUAUAAGGGGACGAAGUGUGUUUAGUUAGAGGCAGGUUUUAGAACCCCCUUUCUCUCUUGUACUCUAAAUAUUUUCUUAAGUCUUUGAAUAAAAGUUUGCAAUUUGGUUGAUCUUCUGGGAGUUCGUCUUAAGGUACUUUUCUUAUUUAUUUCCUUUUAUGUAUUAAGCCCAAAUGAUGGGCUAAACUAUUUGUGUAGAACUGUAUCAUACUAAGUUACUUCUAAGCAAAUGGAAUUGUGUUUAUAAUAAUGUCGAAUUGAAUAGUAUGAAUAAGGUCGAAUUUAAGUAAUUCAGGCGUACUUUGGUAUGUUUUAUGAAAGGCGUUGUGAAUAGAUCCGUUGGAUUAGCGUGUGGAGGGAGGAUCCGGGCGGACUCGGAUAGUACCAAGAUUUCAUAAAGUUGGCAUAGAUUACUGAAAAUUCAUAGAAGCCCUUUUAGUAAACUGAUCAAUCCGUUUUGUUUUGUUUAUUUUUGUUAGUUUUGCAAAUAGUACUGUACAUCAACAUCCUAUGCACAGUCGUAUAAAUUUGCCGAUCAGCAAGAUGAGAAUUCAUUAAGUUCUUUUAUGUUAAAUAUAAAACUUCAUGGUUAUGAUUAUAUGCCUGGCACUGAAGUUGUUUGUAUUUGUUAUAGAAUUUAUUAUAAAGUUUUACACACUUUGAAUCCUAUGUGUAAAAAAUGAUUGAUUUUAAAAAUGAAACUUUUCUUAUAGAAACUAAUUUUUGAAAAUCUAAGGUUGUCACUCAAAGACCGAUUAAGUGGGAAGAAAUUGAUUUCCCACAAGAAUGAGUUAUUGAAGGAGCAGCCCCUCCUAAAAAUAAUAUCAACGACGAGAUUUCAGAAUUUUUACAGUUUGAUGAUUCUGGAUAAUACUAUCAAUUUCAAUGCUAUUGAUCUACCUUAAGACGAACUCCCAGAAGAUCAACCAAAUUGCAAACUUCUAUUCAAAGACUUAAGAAAAUAUUACAAAGAAAAUAUUUAGAGUACAAGAGAGAGAGGGUGUGGAGGGCGGACCUGGGCGGACCCGGAUAGUAACAAAAUUUCAAAAACUUGGCCUAGAUUACUGAAAAUUCAUAAAAGCCCCUUUAGUUUACUGACCAAUCCGUUUUGUUUUAGUAACUAUAGGUGAUAUAGUUCAACACUCUUUUAAUCAUGAAUCUUAUAAAAGGAAGAUCUACUGUUAAAAACAAUAGAAAAGAAGAGUACGAUAUACCCCAGCAUCUAGAUCUACUUAAUAAGUGAGUUAUUCCUAAGAUACCUCCCAGAAUCAUUUAUCAUAUGGGAACUUUUGAGAAGCUUGGUCUCAAACAGGUGGUUAAAACCACUGAAGAAACGAUUACUAUUGAUAGUGAUCACGAGACAUUUAGAUUAUCAUCUGAAAAUGAUUUGGCCCCUUAUAGGGAUAUUUCCUGAUUUAUGCAUAUUGGUUUGGUUCAGGUGGCAUUUAAGCUCCUUACCUUGCGCGGUUUACCUGAAAGCUUUAUAGCAUCUUUACGUGAUGGUAGAAAUCAUAAUUGGAAGAAGUCUCUUAUAGGGACAAUUCAAACUAGUCUAGCUUAUGGACCAGUUUAUUUUAAUGCUCAUCCUAAUCUGUUGAUUUCCUUGCAGGAUGAGAAUUCAUUAAGUUCUCUUAUGUUAAAUAUAAAACUUCAUGGUUAUGAUUAUAUGCCUGGCACUGAAAUUAUUUGUAUUUGUUAUAGAAUUUAUUAUAAACUUUUACACACUUUGAAUCCUAUGUGUAAAAUGAUUGAUUUUUACAAUGAAACUAUUCUUAUAGAAACAAAUUUUGGAAAAUCUAAGGUUGUCACUCGAAGACCGAUUAAGUGGGAAGAAAUUGAUUUCCCAUAAGAAUGGGUUAUUGAAGGUGCAGCAGCCUCUCCUAAAAAUAAUAUCAACGACGAGAUUUCAGAAAUUGAACAGUCAGAUGAUGGGACUGUAAAAAUUAAAUUUUCUGACUCGGUUGUUCUGCCUAAUAAGUUUGAUAGUCGCAGCUUGUCUUCUAGACUAACUAGAUCUGAUUCUUCAUGUAUCUCUCAUGUUGAUUAUAUUGUACAGGUUCCUUCUAGAGCAUCUACUUCUCAAGUUAGGGAAAAUUAUAGAUGCAACAAUAUUAAAAUUGAUAGAAAUAAUAUUACCAGGCCUGUCUCAGAUCUUGAUAUAACUGAAUCUGAAAUGAAUUUCUCAGAUGGGUUAUCCACUUAAAGGUUUUUUUUUAUGUCCAAAAAACCAUUGACUUUAGUUCGGGAUCACCGGCAAGAAAAAAGAUUUUUAAAGAAUUUCAGGAAUCUAAAUGGAAACCUUUCGAAAAUGGUUCUUCAAAAAUUUUAAUAAAGAAGAACAAAAGAGUUUUCAAGAUGAAUUUUAUAAUGAUCUUUUGGAAGUUCGUCUUAAGGUACUUUUCUUAUUUAUUUCCUUUUAUGUAUUAAGCCCAAAUGAUGGGCUACACUAUUUAUGUUGAACUGUACUACACUAAGUUACUAAAAGUUCAUGGCUAUGAUACCCAAACAAAACGGAUCGAUCAGUAGACUAAAGGGGCUUUUAUAAAUUUUCAGUAAUCUAGACCAAAUUUAUGAAAUCUUGUUACUAUCCGGGUCCGCCCUCCACACGGGUAAUCCAACGGAUCUCUUCACAACGCCUUUCAUACAACUUACCGAAGUAUGCCUGAAUUACUUAUAUUCGACUUUAUUCAUACUGUUCAAUUCGACAUUAUUAUAUACACAAUGCCAUUUACUUAGUAGUAACUUAGUAUAAUACAGUUCAACACAAAUAGUUUAGCCCAUCAUUUGGGCUUAAUACAUAAAAGGAAAUAAAUAAAAAAAGUACAUGAAGACGAACUCCCAGAAGAUCAACCAAAUUGCAAAUUUUUAUUCAAAGACUUAAGAAAAUAUUACAAAGAAAAUAUUUAGAGUACAAGAGAGAGAGGGGUUCUAAAACCUGCCUCUAACUAAACACACUUCGUCCCCUUAUAUAGCUCUAAGGGAAAUCUUUUUAAAGAUAAAAAUACAAAAAGAUAUUGUCCCACACUUUUAUAAUGGCCAGUAAUAAAACGACAAGGCCGACACACUCAUAUGGCCUUGCAUUAUUUUUACUAGCCGACAGUACUUUCGGCUUUUACUGAAAUUACUUUAUAAAAAUAGCUUGGUCUUAUUACAUGUGGCCGACAACUUUAUUAAAGUAUUCCAUUUCUUCAUACUUUAUUUUUCCCUUUGACAGUUGUGUUGGUGCUAGAAGAUUCUUCUAUCUGUUGUUGAUAAUUUCAUAAAAGAGCCUCGAUAUCGAUCUCUUCAUUGCUAUCAGCAUCUUGUCCUUCACCAGCUAUGCAAGCAUUAUCGUCAUCAACAUUAAUAUGGCUAGCUGAUGCCAUGAAGAUAUCAUCUUUCAUUUCAAUAUCAAGAUUUUUCAUUAAAUCUUUCUUCACUUCUUCCAUAUACAACGCUAUAGCUUCUGAUUUAGAAAUCAGUCCUUUCUUCAUUUGAAGCUUUAUUGUGAUCUUCUUAAAUUGGCUCAUAUCAUCUGUUACCUGUGGUUCUGAUGUAGCAAUAUCUUAAUAUCUGCUAAUUUUUUCAUUUAUUGAAUCAAGAAUGUCUUGACCAUGAACAUUUCCUUCCAGGUUCUUUUAUAAUAAUUUACUCCAGAACUUUGUAUAAAAUGUUCUUUGUAAACAUGAAAUCCAUCAGAAGUAGUAUUCACUUCCACUGACCAUUUCAUGAUCCAAGGAAUAGAGAAUUCAAUGAAGAAAUACAUUAUUGACAUUCCUUCAAAGAAUAUAUUAUCAUCCUGCAUACUUAUAAUUUUUGGGGAGAUAUCUACCCAUUCUAAAUAUAAUUUUUUAUAUGAUUCUGGUAAUAUCUUCACCGAAGGACCAUAUAAGGUCCACCAUCUGCAAAACCAAUUUGGAAUAUGCCUUCCGAAUAUAUUAGAGAAUAUCUUAAUAAACCAUGAAUGCUUCUUAUUAGCAUUUUCAUAUAACAGAGCUUUAUUAAAGCCAUCAAUGUAAUCCCACCCUUUUAAUUGGCCUGUAAAUCCUGCAGUUACCAUAUCUGCAAUAGUCUUAUCCAAAUUUUUGUUAAUUUUUCAAAUAGUACUGUACAUCAACAUCCUAUGCACAGUCGUACAAAUAUGCCGAGCAGUAUAACCAUCAAUAUUCCAUUCAUAGAUUUCCUUACCAUUAUAACUAUUAGUUAUAAUAUGUUCAUGCUCUUCCAUAAUCACGUCUUGAGGAGUAGGUUUAGGCUAGUAGUACAUUCUUUGAACUGGUUUCCUGGCACACUUUUCGAAGAUUUUAUUAAUCUCGUCAGGAACCUCCUUCUUCUUACUACUUUUUCCUCUUUCCAGGUUAUUAACCUUUAGAGGUUUAAGGUUAUUACCUUUCAAAGUUCUUUCUAAGAAAUUUCUCUAAAUCAGAGAAGUCUUUCAAUUUGAAAUCUUCAAUCUCUGGGGAGGUUGGAUGCUGGGUUGAACAACUUUACCUUUACCUUUAUGAUCGAAAUUGAGUUGAGAGAUAAGUUUAUCCAUUUUUCAUGCAAAAUAACAAUAUGUUCACCUCAUAUGCUCAUAUAAAAAUUGGCAUAAUUGUUCUGCUUAAUCAUGGCAUUAAUAUGCUGAGUAGUAACUAAAGUAGUAUGAGUAUCAUUUUCAAAUAAUUUCGAAAAAGAAUUAAAAUUAACAAUUUUAUCAUUUUUUUUAAUUUGGAAAGAUUGUAAUGGGGGAAACACUGAUUUAGUAAUUUCUCCAUUACUCAGAGUAAAAUCUCUUUCUAUAACAGAGAUAAAAUUAUGAACAUGUUUACACAUAAACCAAGGAAUAAAAGAUAUAAUCACAUUUUUUCCUGACUCUAUAAGAUCAUUAUAAAUUUCAUCUUGAAAACUCUUUUGUUCUUCUUUAUUAAAAUUUUUGAAGAACCAUUUUCGAAAAGGUUUCCAUUUAGAUUCCUGAAAUUCUUUAGAAAUAUUUUUUCUUACCGGUGAUCCCGGACUAAAGUCAAUGGGUUUUUCAGACAUCAAAAAAUACCUUUAAGUGGAUAACCCAUCUGGGAAAUUCAUUUCAGAUUCAGUUAUAUCAAGAUCUGAGACAAGCCUGGUAAUAUUAUUUCUAUCAAUUUUAAUAUUGUCGCAUCUAUAAUUUUCCUUAACCUGAGAAGUAGAUGCUCUAGAAGGAACCUGUACAAUAUAAUCAACAGGAGAGAUAUAUGAAGAAUCAGAUCUAGCUAGUCUAGAAGACAAGCUGCGACUAUCAAACAGGCAGAACAAUCGAGUCAGAAAAUUUAAUUUUACACUCCCAUCAUCAGACUGUUCAAUUUCUGAAAUCUCGUCGUUGAUAUUAUUUUUAGGAGGGGCUGCUCCUUCAAUAACCCAUUCUUGUGGAAAAUCAAUUUCUUCCCACUUAAUCGGUCUUCGAGUGACGACCUUAGAUUUUCCAAAAUUAGUUUCUAUAAGAAUAGUUUCAUUUUUAAAAUCAAUCAUUUUACACAUAGGAUUCAAAGUAUGUAGAAGUUUAUAAUAAAUUCUAUAACAAAUACAAACAACUUCAGUGCCAGGCAUAUAAUCAAAACCAUGAAGUUUUAUAUUUAACAUAAGAGAACUUAAUGAAUUCUCAUCCUGCAAGGAAAUCUGCAGAUUAAGAUAACCAUUAAAAUAAACUGGUCCAUAAGCUAGACUAGUUUGAAUUGCCCCUAUAAGAGACUUCUUCCAAUUAUGAUUUCUAGCAUCACGUAAAGCUGCUAUAAAGCUUUCAAGUAAACCGCACAAGGUAAGGGGAUUUAAACUGGUCCAUAAGCUAGACUAGUUUGAAUUGUCCCUAUAAGAGACUUCUUCCAAUUAUGAUUUCUACCAUCACGUAAAGCUGUUAUAAAGCUUUCAGGUAAACCGCGCAAGGUAAGGGGCUUAAAUGUCACCUGAACCAAACCAAUAUGCAUAAAUCGGUAAAUAUUCCUAUAAGGGGCCAAAUCAUUUUUAGAUAAUAAUCUAAAAGUCUCGUGAUCACUAUCAAUAGUAAUCGUUUCUUCAGUGAUUUUAACCACCUGUUUGAGACCAAGCUUCUCAACAGUUCCCAUAUGAUAAAUGAUUCUGGGAGGUAUCUUAGCAAUAGUUCACUUACUAAGUAGAUCUAGAUGUUGGGGUAUAUCAUACUCUUCUUUUCUACUGUUUUUAACAGUAGAUCUUCCUUUUAUAAGAUUUAUGAUUAAAAGAGUGUUGAACUAUAUCAUCUAUAGUUACAAAAAGUCCAUGGCUCUGAUACCAAAACAAAAUGGAUCGAUCAGUAGACUAAAGGGGCUUUUAUGAAUUUUCAGUAAUCUAGGCCAAGUUUAUGAAAUCAUGUUACUAUUCGGGUCUGCCCGGAUCCGCCGUCCACACGGGUAAUCCACCGGAUCUCUUCACAACACCUUUCAUAAAACAUACCGAAGUACGCCUGAAUUACUUAUAUUCGACCUUAUUCAUACUAUUCAAUUGGACAUUAUUAAAGACACAAUGCCAUUUACUUAGUAGUAACUUAGUAUGAUACAGUUUAACACAAAUAGUUUAGCCCAUCAUUUGGGCUUAAUACAUAAAAGGAAAUAAAUAAGAAAAGUACCUUAAGACGAACUCCCAGAAGAUCAACCAAAUUGCAAACUUUUAUUCAAAGACUUAAGAAAAUAUUACAAAGAAAAUAUUUAGAGUACAAGAGAGAGAGGGGGUUCUAAAACCUGCCUCUAACUAAACACACUUCGUCCUCUUAUAUAGCUCUAAGGGGAAUCUUUUUAAAGAUAAAAAUACAAAAAGAUAUUGGCCCACACUUUUAUAAUGGCCACUAAUAAAAUGAUAAGGCCGACACACUCAUAUGGCCUUGCAUUGUUUUUACUAGCCGACAGUACUUUCGGCUUUUACUAAAAUUACUUUAUAAAAGUAUUUUGGCCUUAUUACAUGCGGCCGACAAUUUUAUUAAAGUAUUCCAAUAAACUAUUUGUAGGGUCUUCAUACUUUAUUUUUUCCUUUGAGAGUUGUGUUGGUGCUAGAAGAUUCUUCUAUCAAUUGUUGAUAAUUUCGUAAAAGAGCCUCGAUAUCGAUAUCUUCAUUGCUAUCAGCAUCUUGUCCUUCACCAGCUAUGCAAGUAUUAUCGUCAUCAUCAUUAGUAUGGCUAGCUGAUGCCAUGGAGAUAUCAUCUUUAAUUUCAAUAUUAAGAUUUUUCAAUAAAUCUUUCUUCACCUCUUCCAUAUACAACGUUAUAGCUUCUGAUUUAAAAAUCAGUCAUUUCUUCAUUUGAAGCUUUCUUGUGAUCUUCUUAAAUGGGCUCAGAUCAUCUCUCACAUGUGGUUCUGAUGUAGCAAUAUCAUAAUAUCUGCUAAUUUUUUCAUUUAUUGAAUCAAGAAUUUCUUGACCAUGGACCUUUCCUUUCUGGUUCUUUUGUAAUAAUUUACUCCAUAACUUUGUAUAAAAUGUCCUUUGUAAACAUGAAAAUCCAUCAGAAGUAGUAUUAAGUUCCACUGACCAUUUCAUGAUCCAAGGAAUAGAGAAUUCAAUGAAGAAAUACAUUAUUGAUAUUCCUUCAAAGAAUAUAUUAUCAUCCUGCAAACUUAUAAUUUUUGGGGAGAUAUCUACCCAUUCUAAAUAUAUUUUUUUAUAUGAUUCUAGUAAAAUCUUCAUCGAAGGACCAUAUAAGGUCCACCAUCUGCAAAACCAAUUUGGAAUAUGCCUUUCAAAUAUAUUAGAGCAUAUCUUAAUAAACCAUGAAUGCUUCUUAUUAGCAUUUUCAUAUAACAGAGCUUUAUUAAAGACAUCAAUGUUAUCCCAAUAAUUAUAUUUUACCGCGACUUUUUGUUCCGGAUGGAUAUAAUUCACUUCCUUCAAAGGGCUCAUACCCCAUUCUUCUGGUGCUAAGAUUUUUUUCAUAAUCAUCUUAGAAAAGUUAUAAACUUUUUUUUGUAUUCGCCGGGUAAAAGUGUUGGAAUUCACAUGACCAUGUGGCUGAGAGUAUUAUCUCACAAUGCAUUCUGUAUUUAUAAACAGUAGUAGUAUAACUUACUGUAUCCAGAUAUCUGGACAUUACCUGCCAUGGUUCAUUUUUCCAUCUCAGGUCACUGUUUUCAAAUAGAAGUAUAACUUCUCUUUUGUCGUUUAGAUCAAAUACUUCAAUGUUUUCCUCAUCCAUCAGGAUGGUGGAAUAUGUUGGUGGAUCAUUAUCCGAUUCCUUUUUGGAUUUCAUAAAAUUCAUGAAUUCUUUGUACAUUGGGUGGUUUAUAUCAAUACCACUUGUUACACUUGUUGAACUGCUGCUAUUAGCUGCUAUCAACUGCUUAUUUCCAUAUUGAAUGAGGAUAUGACCUCCCCUUCCUGAAUUGGUUCUUCCUCUUCCUCCCUUUCUUGAAGGAGGGGACCAUGAUGGUCUUAAGCUCAUCCUGAAAAAGAAAAACAAGUAAUAUUAAUCUAAAUAUUCUCUAGUGAGAAAAUCUGGAAGACUAUUAUAUUCACCUUUCUUAUAAUGAAUUUCAAAAUCAAAAGGAGCUAAUAAUACUUGUCAUCUUGCAAACAUUUGUUUAGAAACAUCAUGUUUACAAUCUUUAUUAAACAUAAACUUGGCUUCUUGGCAAUCAGUUUUUAUUAAAAACUUUUGAUUGUAUAGAUCUCCUUGAAAUUUCAGAACACUUUUCACUAUAGCCAAAAUUUCUUUAGCUACAGUGGCAUAAUUCUUCUGGGCCAUGUUCCAUUUUCCAGAAUAGAAUUGGACAAUAUAAUGUCGCUUAUUGUCAGGGCAAUAUUGUGUUAGAACACCACCAUAUCCUAUAUCUGAAGCAUCCGUUUCGACCGUCUUUUCCCAAUUUGGAUUGGCUAACGUAAGACAAGGGAGAUUCUUAACCUUUUCCUUAAUCUUCUUGAUAGCUUCAGUAUGAUUAUUUGACCAUGCUUUUGGGCUAUUCUUAAGCCUGUCGUAAAGUGUAGCUGUAUCAAUUGCUAAAUCCUUUAUAAAAGGAGCGACAUAAUUCUUCCAAGAAAUCUCUGCAAUUGAGUUUUAUUAGUGAUAACAUCAGGAAAUUUAGAAGCAAACUCUAUACUCCUAUUAAUAGGACUGAUAUUACCUUUUUCAAUAAAAUGUCCCAAAAAUCUUACUUUUGUUUGGAAUAAAGCCAUUUUUGGACUGGAUAGUACUAAAUCAUUUUGAAUAAUGAUUUUCUUGAAUAAAUCAAGAUGCUUAAAAUGAGUUUCUAUAUUUUUUGAAAAUACUAAUAUCGUCUAUGUAGACUAUAAUAAAAUUAUUAUAAGGCAUAAAGAUAUCAUUCAUGAUCUUUUGGGAUUCUGAUGGAGCGGUUUUUAAACCAAAUGGCAUAACGCUCCAUUCAUACUGACCCAUAGGGACAUUGAAAGCGGUUUUAAACCUGUCCGACUCUGCUAUCUGGAUGCCAAUAACCUGAUUUCAAGUCAAACUUGGAAAAUAUUAUGGCAUCAUAAACCCUAUCUAAUAAAUCCUCCUUAUUAGGAAUAGGAUACUUGAUCCAUUUGAGUGCUUUAUUAAGAGGUUUAUAAUUGAUGACUAACAUGGGUGCAUCUCUCUCUUGCUCAGCAUGUUUAUUAACAUAGAAUGUUGUACAAGACCAAGGGGACUUGGAAUGCCUUAUAAGGCCUUUCUGAAGUAAAGACUCAAUCUUUUUUUUUGCGUAAGUCCAGAUAAUCAGAAUUCAUCUGGCACGGUCUUGCUUUCGUGGGAAUAUUAUCCUCAACGAAGUUAUCCUCAUAAGGAAGACUUACCACAUGCUUCUUUCUAUUCCAAAGAGCAUUAGGAUGAUCUCCACAUAUCUCAAGGGAGAACUGAUUCUGUAAAAUAGCAAUCUUGUCCUGUAAUUUAGGAUUCUAGAUAAUACUAUCAAUUUCAAUGCUAUUGAUCUCACUUUUAAAAAAGCUGACCUGAUUAUUUUUUAAAAUCAUUUUUGAGGUUAAUUCAUUGAUCAUCCUCGUAAAAGGUUUUGUAAUAAACUCAAGUAUAAAAGGCUUGUUAUUCCAAGUACCAAUAAUUUUUUCAUUAUCCUAAUAAGUAAGGGGGAAAAUAUCAUUUAUAAAAGGUACUCCCAAAAUAAUUUGGUUAGUAAUAUCUUUCACUAAAACAAAGCUUUGAGGAACACAAUUUUUUCCUUUGCAGAUAAAAGCCUUGGGUAGUUUAAAUUCAAUAUUCAUUUUACUACCAUUUGUUGAUCUCAGGCUGUGAGUAUUUUUAUGAAAAUAUCUUGAAGGGAUCAAUCCUUCUUGAAUGCAACUUAAAUCAGCUGCACUGUCAAUAAGAGCAAUAAAUUCUUUUUUAAAAUUAUAAUCAAUAAGAAGAGUGAUUUUCGUAUAAAACUUUUGAGAAGUAAAAGCUUUUAAGUUUUGUAGAAAAUCCCCUUUGGUAUUACUAAAAUUAAUAUUUUUGAGAAAAUCAAGAUUAUUGCUUUCUCCUUCACAUGAGGACGAAGAAGCUGAGUUAUUACUCAAGUCCCUGCGAGUUUCGAAACUAUCCAGACAAACCUCUAUGAUGACAUUCUUUUCUUUGAGCCGUUUAAUGUCUUCUUUGAGAUUAUUAAUCUCUUGUUUUAGAUCAUUGAUCAUAGUAGGGGAACUUAUAAGUUUCCUCCUUUCUAGUAAGAGAUUUUGAACCUCCGCCAUGGUAUAUGAACCUUCUUUGGUAGGAAUUCCAUCUAUUUUAUCGUUCUUAGAGGUAGAUGCAGUAUUACUGAUUUUAUCAAUAAUUUGAGUCUUAUCUCCGAAUCUUUGACCGUUUGUAAGAGUUCUAUUAUUUUGUCAUUAUCAAUGACAUUAAUACUCAUUUCUUUAAACUGAGAAUAGAUCUUAUAAAGAUCAUCUUCUUCUUCUCCUUCCUUGUCACACUCCAAUCCUUGUUGACAAGGCAAGCAAUCAUCUUCUAAAGACAUAUAAUCUUCUUGGUGAAGAGCUUUGAGAUCUUCACUAGUAGAAGAUUCUUCUUGACUGCUAUAAUCUCAAUCUGAUUUUCCUGAAUCAGAGUUUAACAUUAUUUUGUAGAGGGAAUCCUUCAGACUAUCCUCUAUGUCAAGGUUUUUAAUUUUUUCUUUGACUUUGCAAUCUCUUGCAUAAUAACUGAAUCUUCCACAUUUAUGGCAAAUAUCAAACUUAUCAUACCUGCGUUUAGAUUUAUAAAAUCUUUUUUCGCUUUUUCUUCCUUCUGCUCUUUGCUCUUUUUUUCAAUUCUUUUUCUCUUCCAUUCCUUAUAUUCUUUUCGAGAUCUACUCUUCGAAGAGUGUUUUUCUUUCUGCUUUUCCUUUCUUUCUUUAGAAGCAGACUUGGGGAUAUCUAGAGCAAAUUGCUCACAGAAUUCUCCCAAUUGUUGUAUUUCAUUUAGACGAUGCCUUUUGAUCGGUUGAUUCAACUUGAUUUCAUUACAUAAGGAAAUUCCUUCCUGUACACAAACACUAAUUAGUUUUCCAUAGGUAUAAUCAUCAUAAUUGAUACUUACCCCUUCACCUCUGAGUGUUUUCCUUACUCAGAAAACAGAGAUGGCAAUCCAUCUAUAAAUUUGGAUUUCCAAUGAGUGCUAUUACACUCUAAUAGUUCCAUAACUCUGCACAAAAAGACAUCUUUAUAAAACUUAAACGACAUAAGAGUCUUACACCUAUUUUGAAGCAAAGUUCUAAUGGUCUCACUAUUAUCCGACCAUCUUCCUGAAAAAUAUUCUAUAAUAUUUAGAACCAAAGUAUAAACAGCAUUUUGGACAGCAUUCUGUCCUUCUUGCUUAACUGCCUGGAGAAUGGUAUCUCUUUGGAGUUGAUUGAGAUAGCUAUCCCACCAACCUUUUAAUUGGCCUAUAAAUCCUGCAGUUAUCAUAUUUGCAAUAGUCUUAUCCGAAUUUUUGUUAGUUUUGCAAAUAGUAUUGUACAUCAACAUCCUAUGCACAGUCGUAUAAAUCUGCCGAUCAGUAUAACCAUCAAUAUUCCAUUCAUAGAUUUUCUUACCAUUAUAAUUAUUAGUUAUAAUAUGUUCAUGCUCUUCCAUAAGCAUGUCUUGAGGAGUUGGUCUAGGAUAGUAGUACAUUCUUUGAACUGGUUUCCUGGCAUACUUUUCAGAGAUUUUAUUAAUCUCGUCAGGAACCUCUUUCUUUUUACUACUUUCUCCUCUUUCCUGGUUAUUAACCUUUAGAGGUUUAAGGUUAUUACCUUUGAAAGUUCUUUCUAAGAAAUUCUCUAAAUCAGAGAAGUCUUUCAAUUUGAAAUCUUCAAUCUCUGGGGGAGGUCGGAUGCUGGGUUGAGCAACUUUACCUUUACCUUUAUGAUUGGAAUUGAGUUGAGAGAUAAGUUUAUCCACUUUUUCAUGCAAAGUAACAAUAUGUUCACCUAAUAUGCUCAUAUAAAAAUUGGCAUAAUUAUUCUGCUUAAUCAUGGCAUUAAUAUGAUGAGUAGUGACUAAAGUAGUAUGAGUAUCAUUUUCAAAUAAUUUCGAAAAAGCAUUAAAAUUAACAAUUUUGUCAUAUUUUUAAUUUGAAAAGAUUGUAAUGGGGAAAACACUGAUUUAGUAAUUUCUCCAUUACACAGAGUAAAAUCUCUUUCUAUAACAGAGAUAAAAUUAUGAACAUGUUUACACAUAAAUCAAGGAAUAAAAGAUAUAAUCAUAUUUUUUUCCUGACUCUAUAAGAUCAUUAUAAAAUUCAUCUUAAAAACUCUUUUGUUCUUCUUUAUUAAAUUUUUUGAAGAAACAUUUUCGAAAAGGUUUUCAUUUAGAUUCCUGAAAUUCUUUAGAAAUCUUUUUUCAUGCCGGUGAUCACGGACUAAAGUCAAUGGGUUUUUCGGACAUAAAAAAAAACCUUUAAGUGGAUAACCCAUCUGGGAAAUUCAUUUCAAAUUCAGUUAUAUCAAGAUCUGAGACAGGCCUGGUAAUAUUAUUUCUAUCAAUUUUAAUAUUGUCGCAUCUAUAAUUUUUCCUAACCUAAGAAGUAGAUCAAGGAUAGUAGUACAUUCUUUGAACUGGUUUCCUGGCAUAAUGAUGAUGAUGAUGAUGACGAUCAUAAUAAUAAUAAUAAUAAUAAUGUUGGCUUAAAAGAAAGAUCGAUUUUCAGUUUUAAAAAAUAAUUAAAUUUGAUUAUAUAUACGUUGCAGAAUAAUGAAAAUUAUCGACACAACAAAAAAAAACACGAUAUUACGAAAAAGUUACAAAAACUUAAGCUUACAAAAAUUAUCAAUUUUAUGUUAUAUUUUUUACACAUAUUUAAUAUGGUAAAGAAUAUUUUGAAUUUUUUGAUUUUGAAUAAAACAUAUAUAAAAUGUUUUAACAUGUCAUUUAAUAUUAUGAUAUAUAUAUAUAUAUAUAUACACAUAUAUAUAUAUAUAUGGAAUGUUAGAAUUAAUAAAUUAUUAACAUAAUUGUUUUAAUUUCCUAAUUCAAAUGACAUAAAAAGAAUAAAGUACAAAUACAAAAAAAUAUUUGAAGUCUGAUGUUUAAUCAAAGAUAAAAUAAUCAUACAAUUAAUAGUAUUCUUAGAAUUUUUUUAAUAUAAUAUAUUUAUUUUUUUUUAAAACGAAAAGCUUAGAUGACAUAGCUAUAUGUAUUAUUUAAAAAAAAAAAAAGCUUAGUUGAUAGCCUAUAGGUAUAAUAUUCUAAUAAAAUAAAUUAAAUUGUGUUUAAUAAUAUUAAUUUAAUGUGCUCAAAUAAAUAAGUUAAUGAUUUGUAUUAUUAUUAUNNNNNNNNNNUUUGUAUUAUUAUUAUUAUUAUUAUUAUUAUUAUUAUUAUUAUAAUAAUAAUAAUAAUAAUAAAUUAAACAUAUUAUUAAGUGCAUAAUAUAUUUUGUUAGUUAUUUUAAAUUAUAAAAUUAUUACAUUUUAAAUUAUCCGCGCAACCCGUGGGCACGUAUACUAGUUUAUACCGUGUACAAAGAAUUUUUAUUGCUUUUAAAAAAGAAUUGAAAGAAAUCUGUAAUCUAUAAUAAUUUAAUAAUUUAAUUAUUAUAAAGACAAGAAAAAACAUGUUAGUUGAAUCCUCAUCAAAUAUAAGUUUAUUUAUAAAAUAAUUGUUUGCCUUUAAAAAAAAUUACUUUUAUUCGAAUUUAUCAAGGUUGUUUAAUGAAUAUAUUUUUCAAUUUACCAUAAGAAUGUCAUACUUCUUUUGUCGAAUACUAACUUUGAUUUUUUAUUUUUUAUGAAUUUCAGACUUUAUAAUGUUGAAUUUUAUAUGAAUGAUCAUGAUUAUUACCUUGAGUGUAAUAGCGACAAAAAAUAUAAGAAUAUAAAAUUUAUAUCUAUAUAUACUAGGAGAAGUAAAAAUUGUCACAUGUCAGCACCACAAAAUUUCUCCAUUUAUUAGUUUUAAAAAUUAAAAUUUUAAAAUAAUUUUAAUCUGCAUUAGUUAUUAAAUUUAAAUUUAAAUUUUUUUAAAAAUUAAUAGAUAUUUUAAACGUUUUAAAAAAAAAAAAAUAGAAAGUUACCGCAAUUAAUAUAAUUCUUCUCUAUUUUUUUUUAAAAAAAAAUGGGUUCUACAUGUGGUUAAAAAAAAUUGGACUCUUAUUUUUAUUCUAAUUAGAAUAUUUACUUUGUAUCUCAUGUAUUUGUGAGUAUAAAAGGGGUAAUGGGAUAAUGUCGUGUAGUUUAAAAACUGUCAAUUCACAACAAAAAUUACGUUAAGAGUUAAAAUUAUGUUUCCUCUUAAUUGAUUGCAUGGAAAGAAGUUGAACUAUGCAAAUAAAAAAAUUACGCGUACUUUAAAUUAUACUUAAACAUUUAAAAUAAUACACUCUAUUAAAAAAGAAUGAAAACAAAAAUUUUAUAUAGCAGGUACUAAAAUUUUAAUACGGUGUUGUUAUGCCUUCUUUUUCCUUAAUAUGAAGAUUUUUUUUACUUUUUUCUUUCCUAAUAUUGUCCUCUACUUAGGCAUCCUAAUUAGGAAUAAUAUAGAUUUUUAAUAUUGUCUUUUUUAUAAUUUAUUUUUAUAUAAUAUUGUGGGACCUUUCAGUUCACAUGUCAAUUAAUAAAUUGUAUCGCAUAAGUAGGUGACAAGUUCUUCAAAUUAUCGACAUAUAGUGAUUGAUAGAGUGAAUCGGGACAUAGUCUUAUUGAAACAAAAAAGUUUACACAUGUGAAAGGUUUCAAUUGAAUGAAAAGCCAUAUGCACAGUGUUUGCAACAAUUUUUGAAGGUGAUAGAAAAUAAUUUGUAAUCACAAAUAAAAUAUGAAGUAACAUGAAUAUUGUUGAUAAACAUUGUGGGUACAAAGCUGUCCAUCCCUUGAUUCUUCUCCCUCUUAAGAAUAUGAUUUGGACUUGAUCUUCAUAAUUCAAGGGUCGUUAGUGGUUUAUUUCUCAAAUAUAUGAGACUACAUCUUGAUCGCUUGAUGAAUAUGAUAGCCUCAUAUAAUUGAUUACUUUUGAUAAUGAAAUAUUAAUCACAUAUGUUGAUAAAUUUGCAGGCAAGAAAUUCAAAAAGAAAGGACAAGAUAUCAAAGUACUACCAGAAAGGAAGAAAUCAAUGUGCACUUACUAAAGAAACACAAGAAAGAAAAGCCACCAUUUAAGGGAUACAAAAUCAAGGUCACCACAAUCCUAGCGUCUGACUAGGAUAUGGAAGAUAGGAAAUCAACAAAGUAUCAAAUCAGCAAAGUAUCAAGAUCACAUAAAUAUCUUCAAGAGAAGGAAGAGAAUCAAGAUCACAAGAAGAUCUCCAAAGAAGGAAGAAAUCGGCUUGCUCAUGCACAUAUCUAAUAUGGACAUGAAUCAACCAACCGAAAUCAAGGACUCGGCUAGGAUCCUUGAUUUAAAAUACCCUUGGGUUAUUCCUUAACAAGAGCAGUCCUCAAACACUAUAUAAUCCUCUCAUAGCCUUAGUUGUGAAGUAUGCACUUCACUUGAGCUUAUAUUGUAAUCUUCUUUUAUCUUUCAUAAAACUUUAUACACACUUGAAUGAACAAUUGAAAAGAAAAGAGAAAGAAAGAUCUGAGUGUAGGUUAUACAAGUAGAUGUUGUGUCAAAGAAGAAGAUUUGAUUUGCAUAUCAGACAGGGCUCUCAACUGUAAUAUUUUGUAACACCCAAGUUCUCAACAAGCUCUUAAGGAAACCUUUGUAACCCAAGGGGAUUGGAAGUAGGCACCACAUCGGUGUUCCGAACCAGUAUAAAAUAUUCUGUGUCGAUUUACUUUCUGUCAUUACUUUUAUUUUAUAUUGUGAUACUAACUUGCAGGUGAGUUGACUGCUCCAUUCAGGAAGUCGACUAAAGGAAUUUUAUUCACCCCCCUCUUAACUUUCAAUUGGUAUCAGAGCAGGUCUCACAGAUAAAGUGUUUAACCACACGUGAGAAAAGAUCUAUGGCAAACUAUCAAAUCCCUGGUGCUCUCCUCCAAAAAGGACACACAUCAAACCGACCUCCUUACUUCAAUGGUCAACACUACUCUCACUGGAAAGACAGAUUCAGAAUUUUUGUUACCUCAAAUGAUCUUCAGUUAUCAAAAAGGGGCCGAAGCCAAUCCCUGGACUCACAAGAAAAGACGCCACUCAUAAGCCUUUUGACCUAGAAUCCUUUGACAUCACAAAGGAACAACAAAAGGUAAUCCAAACUAAUGUGAGAGCAAUAAGUUUGUUAUAUUGUGCAGCUAACGGAACUGAAUAUGACAAGAUUUCAACAUGCGAAACUGCAAAAGAAAUGUGGGACAAACUCGAAGUAACUUAUGAAGGAACUACCAAAGUAAAAGAAGCUCGAAUUAGCUCACUAGUGAAUGAAUAUGAAUUGUUCAAAAUGGCAGACGAUGAGAAUGUGGACGACAUGUUCUCAAGAUUCAGCAAAUUAGUUUGCUAACUUAAAUCUCUGGGAAAGGUGUACUCUAACGGAUUACAAGUCAGAAAACUCAUCAGAAGUUUUCCAAAAGCUUGGGAAACUAAAGUUGCUAUUCUUGAAGAUGGAGAUCUGCAAAAAAAUGACCUACGAUGAACUUCAUGGAAAUCUGAUGGCCUAUAAACAAAAUUAUAUUAACAGAUACAACAAGAAUGAUAAAAAUAAAAUUGUUGCCUUUACAGCUGGAACAUCUGAAAUCGAGGAAGAAGUCGAUGAAUCCCAAAGUGAGGGAAUGACUCUCAUAGAAAGAGGAGUUAGACAAAUGCUGCAAAGAAAACAAAGGCCCCAACAAGACUACAAAAAUAAUGACUAUCACAAACAUGAUGACCGAUGCUAAUACUUUGCCUGUCCAUAUUAGACAAAACUGUCCCGAACUCAAAAGAAGAGGCCAACGGAAGAAUGAUGAUCCAAAGAGUCUUAGAGCAUGGAGUGGUCAAGAUGCACUUAAAUAUGAUCAAAAUGAAACGAUAAACAUUUGCUUUAUGGAAAUGGGUGAACCAAGUGAGGUAAGACAUCAUGACUGCUCUAAAUGUAAUCACUUACAAUACUCUCUGGAUAUGGUCACAGUUGGAUUGCAGAAAGUUAUUGAUGAAUAUAAAAAAAUUGCUCAAGAAACGAAAGACUGGAAAAUCCUUCUCAAAGCAAGUCAGAUUGAAGUUGAUCUCCUACAGGAAGAACUUGAUGAAAUCAAGAUGCAAUUAAAUAGCAUCAAGAAGUCACCAAGUCAUAACUCAGAGAGAUCAAACAGAUCUAUCAUGAAUGCCUCUCAAAACUCUUUUUUUCAUUCUGCAAAAUCUUCUUUUAAACCUAUUUGUUUUACCAGCGGAAUUACUGGUCACAAAUCCUUCAAUUUCAAGAAACUAUCUUCAUGAAAAUUGAUUUGGAGACAAAAAGUCGCUAGUACUAAGCCUCAAGGACCCAAGAAUGCUUGGGUACCUAAAAGUAAUUAAUCUCUUUGUCUUGCAGGAGCAGUCCAGGAAAACCUACAAGAAAAGAAUGUGGAUAAUUGACCGUGGAUGCUCGAUGUGUGGAAAGAGAGAAAAUUUCAAAACUAUUAAAAACAUUGUUGGAGGAUCUGUAAGAUUUGGAGAUAAUGCAAAAGGAGAAGUAAUAUGAGUUGGAACUAUCACCCUCAGCUCAUCAUGUGAUCUAGUAGAAGUAUAUCUUGUUGAAGGACUCAAGCACAAUCUCCUCAGCAUUAGUCAACUAUGUGAUGCUGGGUUUCAAGUUUCCUUCAAUACUACGAGCUGCACAAUCAAACAUCUAGAAAGAAAUUUUCCAUCACCGGAGAUUGAAUUGAUAAUACAUAUGUCUUAAUUGAUGUUAAUCUCCCUAGUCUUACAUGUCUUACUGCAGUUUCUAAUGAUCCUUGGUUGUGGCAUCGAACGCUUGGACGCGCAAGCAUGCAUUCUCUUGAGAAGUUAUCUAGAUUAGAACUAGUUAUCAGAUUGCCAAAAUUGAACUUCGAAAAGGAUCAUAAUUGUGAUGCAUGCCAACUCGGUAAGCAAGCUCACUCAUCCUUUAAAGGAAAAGGUAUUGUGUUUGAUCAGACCUAUCCUUAGGGAAACUCCUUACGAGCCCUGGAGAGGAAAGAAACCAAACAUCAGCUACUUUCAUCCCUUUGGAUGUAAAUUUUUCAUUCACAAUAAUGGUAAGAAUAAUCUUGGAAGCUGAAACCACUGAUGAUGAGACUGUUUCCAAAAUAAAUACAGAAAGUCAGCCAAAUGAUUAUGUUCAAACCUCAACAGAAGAGCGACUAUCCCAACAAACAAUAUCGAAAUUCCUAGGGAAUGGAGACACAAUACUAGCUAUCCUAAUGAUUUCAUCAUAGGGAAACUAGAUGACGCAUUACAAACCAGAGCAUCAUUGAAGAAACAAGCUCUAUAACACUCGUCUCUCAGAUUGAACUAAAACGUAUAAAUGAAGCAAUGGAAGAUGAAUCCUGGAUACAAGCAAUGAAGGAAGAACUGGAUCGAUUCGAAAGAAACCAAGUGUGGCCCCUCAUUGAAAGGCCCAAAAAUUGUUCAGUAAUCGGAACUAAAUGGUUUUUUUAACAAGCUCAAUGAAGAAGGUAAGAUCAUCUGUAACAAGGCAAGAUUAGUCGCUCAAGGAUAUUCCCAACAGGAUGGUAUUGAUUAAGAUGAAACUUUUUCUCCGGUAACAAGGUUAGAAUUUAUUCGAAUUCUAUUAGCUUAUGCAUCUUUUAAGCAUUUCAAACUGUUUCAAAUGGAUGUAAAAAGUGCCUUUUUGAACGGUUUUAUCAAGGAAGAAUUUUUUGUUAAACAACCUCCUGGUUUUGAAAAUUCUUCUGAUCUUAUUUACAAACUCUCGAAAGCGUUUUAUGGUCUCAAACAAGCCCCAAAAGCUUGGUAUGAAAGAUUGAGCAAUUUUUUACUCAAUAACAAUUUUCAUAGAGGAAAAAUUGAUAACAACUCUUUUUAUCCAAAGGUCCGGAUCAUUAAUUUUAAUAGUUCAAAUAUAUGUCAAUGAUAUUAUCUUUGGAAGCUUUAACCCUUCUCUGUGUUAGAGUUUUGCUAAUCUUAUGAAGGAAAAAUUUGAGAUGAGUAUAAUAGAGAGCUCACAUUCUUUCUCGGCUAACAAAUCAAGCAGUCGACUAUUGAAACUUUUAUUAGCCAAACCAAAUACACAAAGGAAAUCAUAAUGAAGUUCGGGUUGGAAAAAGAAAAAGCUUAUGGAACUCUCAUGAGUCCAUCUACAUUCCUUGAGACAGAUGCACCACGAAAAGAUGUUAAUGAAAAAAUGUAUCGAAGAAUGGUCGAAUCUCUACUCUAUUUAACUGCUAGUCGACCAGAUAUUAUGUUCAGUGUAUGCAAGUGUGCACGUUUUUAGUCUGCUCCAAAAGAAUCUCACCUUACUGCAGUAAAGCGAAUCAUUCGCCAUCUCAUCGGAACAACAGAUUUGGGAUUAUGGUACCCUCACUCCUCUCACUUUGAUUUAGUUGGCUACUCAAAUGAUGAUUUUGUAGGGGGGAAAAUGAUCGAAAAAGAAUCGGUGGUACUUGCCAAAUUCUAGGUCAAUCUCUGAUCUCUUGGCACAGUAAGAAACAAACUUCGGUUGCCUUAUCUACCACAUAAAUCAGAAUAUCUAGCUGUGGGAAGCUGUGGUACUCAACUAUUAUGAAUGAUGCAUCAAUUACUUGAUUAUGAUCUUUCGUAUGUCCCUAUUUUUUUAUAAUACAUGUGCUAUUAGUUUAUCUAAAUAUAUUGUGCAUCAUUCUAGGACUAAGUAUAUUGAUAUUAAGCAUCAUUUUAUUCGUAAUCGUGUUGACAAUGGUGAUUUUUCCUUAGAAUUUAUCAAUUCUGAAAAUCUAUUAGCUGAUAUUUUUACAAAACCCUUGCUUGAGGAAAGAUUUUGUUUUCUCCGCAAUUGUCUCGAUAUCUCUUCUUGUCAUUAAUGUGAUUUAUUUACUGUUUGUUUGUUCUGGUUAGUUGUCGUAUUUUGUCUUCUCUAUCUCUUUUUGAUUAUGCCAAAGGUGGAGAACUAUCCCAACAAUUUAUUAGAGAUGACACAACAAAGACAAGGGGAGUCACACAGCCUACAGUCAGGGGGAGCUACACAAUUCUCCUGAGCUCUAAAAGAGACACCUCAGGGAAGUCGCAUUAUCUCUUUAGGCUUUAUGCAAAAUUGUGAAUUAUUUGUCAUUAUCAAAAAGGGGGAGAUUAAUAGCCUCAUAUAAAUUAUUACUUUUGAUAAUGAAAUAUUCAUCUCAUAUGUUGAUAAAUUCGCAAGCAAGAAAUUCAAAAAGAAAGGACAAGAUAUCAAAGUACUACCAGAAAGGAAGAAAUCAAUGUGCACUUACUAAAACAACACAAGAAAGGAAAGCCACCAUUUAAGGGAUACAGAAUCAAGGUCACCAUAAUCGUAGCAUCUGACUAGGAUAUGGAAGAUAGGAAAUCAGCAAAGUAUCAAAUCAACAAAGUAUCAAGAUCACACAAAUAUCUUCAAGAGAAGGAAGAGAAUCAAGAUUACAAGAAGAUCUCCAAAGAAGGAAAAUCAACAAAGUAUCAAGAUCACACAAAUAUCUUCAAGAGAAGAAAGAGAAUCAAGAUUACAAGAAGAUCUCCAAAGAAGUAAAAUCAGCAGAGUAUCAAGAUCACAUAAAUAUCUUCAAGAGAAGGAAGAGAAUCAAGAUCACAAGAAGAUCUCCAAAGAAGGAAGGAAUCGUCUUGCUCAUGCACAUAUCUAAUAUGGACAUGAAUCAACCAACCGAAAUCAAGGACUCGGCUAGGAUCCUUGAUUUGAAAUACCCUUGGGUUAUUCCUUAACAAGAGCAGUCCUCAAACACUAUAUAAUCCUCUCCUAGCCUUAGUUGUGAAGUAUGCACUUCACUUGAGCUUAUAUUGUAAUCUUCUUUUAUCUUUCAUAAAACUUUGUACACACUUGAGUGAACAAUUGAAAAGAAAAGGGAAAAAAAGAUCUGAGCGUAGGUUAUACAAGUAGAGGUUGUGUCAAAGAAGAAAAUUUGAUUUGCAUAUCAGACAAGGCUCUCAACUAUAACAUUCGGUAACACUCAAGUUCUCAACAAGAUCUUAAGGAAACCCUUGUAACCUAAGGGGACUGGAAGUAAGCACCACAUCGGUGUUCCGAACCAGUAUAAAAUAUUCUGUGUCGAUUUACUUUCUGUCAUUACUUUUAUUUUAUAUUGUGAUACUAAUCUGCAUGUGAGUCGACUGCUCCAUUCAAGAAGUCGACUAAAGGAAUUUUAAUUCACCCCUCUCUUAACUUUCAGAAUAUCCCAUGAAUAUAUAGAAUUUUUUAGAUGUUUUUUCAAAGAAAUAUAGUAUCCCUUAUAUAAGUGUAGACACGUAAUUUUUGACCGAACAUAAGGUUUUACAUUUUGUUUUAUUUUAGUAAGUUUAUUUUAAAAGAUUUGAAAUAACAAAAAAUACAUAUUUUAAUUUUUGUUUAAUAAAUAAGCUAGUAUUUCUUAAAUAUAAUUUAUUAUUAACCACUUAAUUUUUGUUAGUUUAAAAAAUAAUCAAAUAAUUUCUUUUAUUAUAUUAUUAUAUUAUAUUAUAUUAUAUUAUUAAAAAAUAAUAAUAACUUUAACUCCUCACCCCCACUUCACUUAACCCCCCCCCCAUUUCCCCUCACACUGCACACGACACACACAACACAGCACACACUACCCCACUAACCCCUCUGCACACUACUACAUAUAUUACACACAACCAACAGCAAAAGAAAAAAGAAGAAAAAUCAGCCAAACAAAAAUACACCCAACAUAGACGACACAAAAAGAAAACAUAACCAAAAGAAGAACAAAACACCACCUGCAUUUCAACAACACUAAAAAUCUGCCCCUAAACACACACUCACACGCAAGAAACAAAAUAAUAUCCACACAUUUCUCUUUUUUUUCACUCACCAAAGACCAACUUACACAUUGGAGGAAAAAGAGUUGAGGUCGAGGUUCACUUUCGUGGUUUCGAGUUCGUGGUUCCUUAUUAGCAUUGUUUCCUUUUCGUGAAUUGAAUUUUCGCAAGAGGUACCAUUUAAUUUUUAUUGUAUAAUUUGAUUUUCAUGAUUAUAUAAUACUUGAUUUCAAUGUUAUGAAGUUGCUCGAAUUUUAUAUGUGUUUAAUCUCAUUGUUUUUCAUCUUGUACCAUAUGCUAUUAUUAAUUAAACAUCUCUUGCAUCCAACCAAAAUUUAUCAAAUACCUAAAAAAAUAAUAUGUUAAUAGUUUGUUUAGUCAACUUCAUCUAAAAUUAAAAAUGUUCAUCCUAGAAAAAUUAAGAAAUGAAGAGUUACACAAUUUUUAUUUUUUAUUUUUUAAUGUUUUUUGUCAUGACUUGUAAAUAUACUAAAAAUAUAAAUGCAUCUAUGUUGAAUUUUAAUAUGAAAUAACUUUAUAUUUGUUUAAGAUUUUUAGAGUUUUAUUAUGUAAAUAGUGUUUAUAAAUAUAAAUAGUAGAGGUAGUUUAAUCAUUAAUAAUACGCUUAAACUUGCUAGAAAUAGGUAAAAUAUUAAAAUAUAUGAUCCGUUUUAAAAGUCGGUUUCAAUUAAGAAUGUGGUUACACAUCUUUCUUGAGACAUUAAAAAAAAAAUUCAAGGAUGCGGUGAUGCACCUUCUCUAAAAAAUAUAAUUAACUUUCAUUAAUUUAACAUAAGACUUAUAGAUACAAUUAUUAGGUGCGAUGCGAAGAAAGACAAUUAUGUCUCUAAAUGUCAAGACCAAGUGUAACACCCCAGAAAUUUUUUCGAACUAAGACUCGAACCGUUCAUCGUAGUGAGUGAGAUUUUACCAAGGAAUUAAAAUUUCUUAAGUGUUAAGGUCACUAGAUGUAGCACAUUGAGUUCCAAAAAGAAUUAAAUUGGAAAUAGCAAAAUCUGAAAUUUUGCAAGUUAUUCUUAAGUAUGAGUUUUGGGUCAACUUCAAAUGACCAUAACUCCUAGCUCAGGAUGAUUUAGGUGUGCUACCAGGUACCUUAAGAAAUACCUUUGAAUUAUCUUUUCAACGCCGCUGAGUUUGCUAAGUUUAGAGGUCGGACGAGUAAGAUAUGGCCUUUUGAAGUUAGGCUGUCCAGUUAAGGAAAGUUAGCCGAAAAUAAAGAGGGGUAUUUUGGUCUUUUCCUUACCCAAUCAAAUUUUAUUCGUUUUUAGUAAUAUUUUAGGGGUCUAAUCUGAUUAGGUUCAGUUUUAUAAUCCUAGUUUACGNNNNNNNNNNNNNNNNNNNNNNNNNNNNNNNNNNNNNNNNNNNNNNNNNNNNNNNNNNNNNNNNNNNNNNNNNNNNNNNNNNNNNNNNNNNNNNNNNNNNNNNNNNNNNNNNNNNNNNNNNNNNNNNNNNNNNNNNNNNNNNNNNNNNNNNCCAUGGGUUUAAUCCCUAAGAGGUAUGUAAGCUUCCAUAGUGUUGGGUUCUUUCACCCACACACCAAUCAUGAUUUAUUCAGCGUAAUUUCGUUCUUGAAAUUUAAAGAUUAGAGUUCUUGAUGAGUUCUUGAUAAGUGUUCUUGAAGUUUCAUUAAGUUUUGAUGUAAGAUUCUGCUUGGGUCAACUUUAAACGACCAUAUCUCUUAGAAUAUUAAGAUUUACGUGAGUCAUAACCUAUCCAAUUAAAGGUAAUUGAAUCUACUUUCCAACCCUACCAGUUUCACGUCAAUCCAAUAUCUUAGUAAAAAGUUAUGACUAUUUUAGUAACCUAUACAGUGCUGUUAGGAAUUAGCCGACGGAAAAAUAUUAUGAAAAUAAUCGUUUGUCUUUUUACCUCCAAGAAAACUAUCAACGAAUUUCUUGACUAAUAAAAACCUCAAAACAAUCAGAUUUUCAUCUUCACUCAUGAAAAUCAUAAUUUUUGGCUAUAGAGAUUUUUAAAAACUAAUUCAAGAAUCUCAAGAAAGGUUUUCUUGAUUGUUUACCUUCAAGCUAGGGUUUCAAGGCUUCUAAUCAAGUUCUUUUUCAAGAUUCUUAAAGAUUCUUCAAGAUUCUUCAAGAAUCUUGUUCUUCUAGGUAUGUAAGGCUAUCAUAGUGUUGGACUAGUUCGUCCUCACGCCCUACAUCUACUUUCAGAUCAGUAAAAGAGUAAUCUAAGAUACUUUCCCUAGANNNNNNNNNNNNNNNNNNNNNNNNNNNNNNNNNNNNNNNNNNNNNNNNNNNNNNNNNNNNNNNNNNNNNNNNNNNNNNNNNNNNNNNNNNNNNNNNNNNNNNNNNNNNNNNNNNNNNNNNNNNNNNNNNNNNNNNNNNNNNNNNNNNNNNNNNNNNNNNNNNNNNNNNNNNNNNNNNNNNNNNNNNNNNNNNNNNNNNNNNNNNNNNNNNNNNNNNNNNNNNNNNNNNNNNNNNNNNNNNNNNNNNNNNNNNNNNNNNNNNNNNNNNNNNNNNNNNNNNNNNNNNNNNNNNNNNNNNNNNNNNNNNNNNNNNNNNNNNNNNNNNNNNNNNNNNNNNNNNNNNNNNNNNNNNNNNNNNNNNNNNNNNNNNNNNNNNNNNNNNNNNNNNNNNNNNNNNNNNNNNNNNNNNNNNNNNNNNNNNNNNNNNNNNNNNNNNNNNNNNNNNNNNNNNNNNNNNNNNNNNNNNNNNNNNNNNNNNNNNNNNNNNNNNNNNNNNNNNNNNNNNNNNNNNNNNNNNNNNNNNNNNNNNNNNNNNNNNNNNNNNNNNNNNNNNNNNNNNNNNNNNNNNNNNNNNNNNNNNNNNNNNNNNNNNNNNNNNNNNNNNNNNNNNNNNNNNNNNNNNNNNNNNNNNNNNNNNNNNNNNNNNNNNNNNNNNNNNNNNNNNNNNNNNNNNNNNNNNNNNNNNNNNNNNNNNNNNNNNNNNNNNNNNNNNNNNNNNNNNNNNNNNNNNNNNNNNNNNNNNNNNNNNNNNNNNNNNNNNNNNNNNNNNNNNNNNNNNNNNNNNNNNNNNNNNNNNNNNNNNNNNNNNNNNNNNNNNNNNNNNNNNNNNNNNNNNNNNNNNNNNNNNNNNNNNNNNNNNNNNNNNNNNNNNNNNNNNNNNNNNNNNNNNNNNNNNNNNNNNNNNNNNNNNNNNNNNNNNNNNNNNNNNNNNNNNNNNNNNNNNNNNNNNNNNNNNNNNNNNNNNNNNNNNNNNNNNNNNNNNNNNNNNNNNNNNNNNNNNNNNNNNNNNNNNNNNNNNNNNNNNNNNNNNNNNNNNNNNNNNNNNNNNNNNNNNNNNNNNNNNNNNNNNNNNNNNNNNNNNNNNNNNNNNNNNNNNNNNNNNNNNNNNNNNNNNNNNNNNNNNNNNNNNNNNNNNNNNNNNNNNNNNNNNNNNNNNNNNNNNNNNNNNNNNNNNNNNNNNNNNNNNNNNNNNNNNNNNNNNNNNNNNNNNNNNNNNNNNNNNNNNNNNNNNNNNNNNNNNNNNNNNNGAUCGAUGUAUCAUCACUAUAGCUCUUAUGUGAUGGUUGUCGGUUAGAGAAACUCCCACAGAAGUUAUUGUAUUUUUAUAUACAUCAGUUUAUUGUAUUUUUAUAUACAUUUCAGAGUUAUGUUGUAUCCUUGCAUACACACAGAGUUUUCAGCACGUUUUUAAACAGUUUGCUUUUUUAUAUUACACUUAUUUUAAAUUGCUUUAUAUUGAAAUGAGUUCAGUUAAGUAUUCAUGAGUUGAGUAUUUCAAGUCGAGUAUUUCAAGUCGAGUAUCAUAUCUUUGAGUUGAGUAUCCAGAGUUGAGUACCCAGAGUCGAAUAACAUAUCUUUGAGUUGAGUAUCUUAUCCUUGAGUACUUUUGAGUUGAGUAAGUUUGAGUAGUUUUGAGUAUUCCUUGAGUUGAGUAAGUUUGAGAAGAGGUAAGUAUGUUUCCUUUUUAUCAAGUUUCAAUCUUAUGUUUAUGUUUUAGAAUUCCCCUUACAUGCUCGUACAUUCCAUGUACUGAGCCAUUUGGCCUGCAUCUUCUCAUGAUGCAGACACAGGUAUUCAGGAUCAUCAACAUGAGCUUCGUUGAUACAUCCGAGAGUUCGAGUUAGCUAUGGUGAGUCUCCUUGCUUUCGGAGGAUUCCAUUUACUUCACGUACUGAGCCAUUUGGCCUGCAUCUUCUCAUUAUGCAGACACAGGUAUUCAGUAUCAUCAACAGGAGCUUCGUUGAUACAUCCGAGAGUUCGAGUUAGCUAUGGUGAGUCUCCUUGCUUUCGGAGGAUUCCAUUUACUUUCAGUUGUUAGGAUGUCGUGGGUCUUGUCCAGACUUCCAUCAUUGUCAUUUAGAGGCUUCAUAGAUAGACAGUAGAGUUUUAGAAGUCUUCAUUUAUUUUGUUAAAUGUUUUAAAGACUAAAGUUGCCUUUUUAUGGCGAGUUGUAUAUAUUUUAUUAUACAGAGUUUUCUUUGGACUUAAAGUUUGUAUUUAAGUUUUAAGAACUUUUAUUUUAGUUUUUAAGCUUUGUAUGCUUGAAUCAGUUUUUCGCUUGUAGUCAGCCAGGAUGAGGGUUCGCUUGGGGACCAGCAAUGGUCUUCGAGUGCCGGCCACGUCCAGGGUGUAGGCUCGGGUCGUGACACCAAGAAUGCGGUUACGCAUCUAGGUUGAGACCAAAUAAAAUUUCAACAAAUAAUAUAAAUGCGAACAAAUCAUUGCCCGUAAUAAUAUAUCUAAAAAUAAUUUAAGUCAAGUAUAAGUCAAUUAAAGCGACCGUGCUAGAACCACCAGACUCGAGGGAUGCCUAAUACCUUCCCCUCGGUCAACAAAAUUCCUUACCCGGAUUUCUAGUACGCAGACCAUAAUAAAGAGUCAUUUUCUUUUAAUUAGGGAUUAAAAACAAAAUGUGACUUGGAACACCAUAACUCAAUUCCAAGUGGCGACUCUGAAAAAAUAAAAAUAAAUCCCUAAAUCAAUACCGUCACUUAAAUUGAAAAAAUCCUACCGCCAUGCGAAAAAGGAGUGUGACAUCUCUGGCAACUAUGCUAGGAAAUAACAAGAAUUCGAGUUUUGUCAUAUUGACUUUUACUUGAUUUUAUUACUUAUUUUGGAUAUAUUGCGUAUCAUGGUUUAAUAUGUUACUUGCUUCUUAUUUAUUGUUUUUUAUAUUGUUGAACUAUACUAAAUUAUUUUCUCAUGCGCACGCCUUAUGAGUCUUUGAAUACACUUAACACAUGUUCACAUGAAUGCAGUUAUACAUCCUACUUUCCGUUGAGAUAAAGCUGGAGUGUCUUGACACCCAAUGAAGGAUAUUUAGUCACAUAUGUUAUAGGCGGGGUAGGACCAACAAUGAAGUCGGAAUAGCGCUGCUGCCGAUAAGUUGCCCCUCCCUGACUUGAGUUGUCCACUCGGGUAAGCCAGUCUAGAUAGAUAUCUCCUUCAGGUUUGAACCUAGUAAAAUUGAAACAUAAACAUGAUUAUCCCUAGUAGGCUCCGCUUAUUUGCAUUAUUAUUUGCAAUUGACUUAGUGACUCAACAUAGGGUCGGGUCCAUAUAGGACAUGAGUCCCUCUCUUGACCAACAUGUGCAUUCUAUAUGCUAUUUGUAAAUAUUAUUAGUAAGAUCUUUGCAUAUUGACCAAUUUAAGGGUGAUCAAUGAAAUGAAGGAAAAGUUGACAUUCAAUUUUUACAUUAAAAAAAAGAGUGAGAAAACACAUAAAAAAUAAUCUUAUUUUAGAAGCUUUCACGCAUUUCUUAAAAAUAGAAAUUCCAAAAAAUAAAAAGAUUUUUCACUUCUUAAAAAAAAUAGAGUUUCUUUUGUAGUUCUUAAAUAGAAAAUUCAUUUUUUUUCAUAACACUUCGAAAAUAUUUGCAAUAUCACAAAAAAAUUAACUGUCCAAUCUGAACGAACUACGCAUACCUGAUUCUCAACUCUAUGAGAUACGUAAGCAACCCUCAUCGGGUUCGGUGAUCCUUAUUAAUUUUUUUUUAAAAAAAAGAGAGAAAUAUUUCUUAUUAAAAAUAAUGUUGUGUUUAUAAUUUUUCUAAACUACGUUUGACUUGAUUCUUGCUUUGACAAGAUACGUAGGAAGCCUUAUUUUGAGGUUCGGUCCAACCAAAGAAAAAUCUAGAAAGUCCUCGUCACAAAAUCUGGGGAAAAUUUUUUUUAGAAAAAAAUAAUUCAAAGUUCAAAUAAAAGUAUUUCUCUUCCUUAUUUUAAAAUCUAAAAAAUAAAUGAAAAAUCUGUUUUGGGUACGACAUUUCUUCAAGAAAAAAAAUUUAAUCUAGAAAAUUUGACUUGGUUGGUACGGUACAUGUUAGGAAUGUGCAUAAGAAAAAAAGAAAGGAAGUGUUAAACUAUUUGGCAAGACAGACCAACUUUGUUGCCUCUCAAUAUAUUUAUGUAAUACUUGAGAAAUUGUUUUGCUUAAAGUUAGGGUCAAGGAAAUUCGACCUCAUUGUUUAAGGUGCAUUGUGUGGUGAGCUUUAUAUAUAAAGUUCAAUGUCAUGACUUUGUUGAUCUAGAACUUGACCAGAAUGUUGGUUGAGACAAAAUUUUGAGCAACAUUAAACGUGGGAAAGGAUUAUAGGCUUUCUUUGAUCCGAUUGUGUCUUUCAAGCUUACCAAAUAACAUGUUAUCCAUAGAACUCCCAUUUUGAGCAUAAAACCUUUUUAUUUGAAUAACCACAUCUUAGCAUAUAUCCUUUUGAGUGCAUAAAUGCACUAUACCUUGGUACCAUCCCUCUGAGCGCACUAUCAAUUAUCUACACAACGUUAAAGACCUAAGUUGGGUAACAAAGUGAAAAUGCCAAAUAUGCAAAAGUUCAAAAAAAUGACAAAGAAAAGCUAGAAUGAAAAAAUGAAAAAAAAAUCUCCAACAUAAAGAAAAGAAAAUGAGAAAAAAAAAUAAAAAAAAUGAGGAGAAUCUUUCAAGAAAACAAAGGUCAAAUGCCAAAAUAAAAAAAUAUUGAGAGCAUUAUGCAAAUUUUAAGGAGGAAAUAGUCACUUUAUUCCAAAUGAAUAUCCUACCUUUCCCUACGCCUACAUCAUAAGCCAAUGACAAGUCCUAUUUGAUCUCAUUUUUGGUGUUCUCACAUUAGUGGAUACUUACAUAAGGGUCAAACAUAUGGUAUCUCAAUCGCAUGCACUGAACAUUUUUCUGAGUGUUAGUGACCUCUAAAACAUCCUAAAAUCAGAACACUUCUAUUGUGUGAAGUAAGACUUCAUUUGUUGCGAGGGAAUUUGAAACAUGAGGAUAUGAAUAAUUCUAUCCCUUAAUUUGGGCAAGAUGAACUCAUCUUGUAAAUACUUAAGCAUGUUCGAGAUACCAUUUGAAACUAUAGUGAUUACUCAAAGUUGACCUCAAAUUUGUCUGAAAGUUGUUGAAGGUGAUUCAUAUGUAUAAUACUAAUUGUUGGUACCAAUUAAAGUCAAGACAUUGUCAAACAUGAACCAAUUCCUUUCUCAAUUUAAAGAAAAAAAAACUCAAGAAAAUAAAAUAAAAUUUUGAUUUAUAUGAAUUACGCUUGACCUAAUUCUUGCUAUAAAAUAUACGUAGGCAGUCUUACAAUAGGGCUCGAUCUCACAGAAUAAAAUUUUAUUUCCUUGAAAGAACGAAAUUGGAUCAUUUUUUAAAAAAAAAAAAUGGAAAAAUGAUAAAUUAAAAAGAGCUUCAAAGUUCCUCAUUUUAAAAAAAUUGGGGCAUAUUUUUAUUUGUUAAAAAAAAAUCACUCUCAUUUUUAGGGAAUAAACACUCUAGUUGCAUUUUAACCUUAGGGAACAAACACCCGAGUAUCUUUUCAUUUCUAGGGAACAAACUCCCUAAUUGCAUUUUGUCUUGCAUUUUUUCUUUGGUACAAGUAUUUCUCAUUCAUGUUAAUAGCGUAAAUAAUAUUUUUCUGAUGCAAACUGGGGCAAAAAAAAAUGUUGUGGUGAUUCUAUUUGAUGAUUCUGUUAAGCAGGACCCUCCUGGACAAUGAGAAUUAGUAUAGCAGGACCCUCAUGGACAAUGAGAUUUAGUGUAGCAGGACCCUCCUGGACAAUGAAAAUUAGUAUAGUAGGACCCUCAUGGACAAUGGGAUGUAGCAGGACCCUCCUGGACAAUGUGAAUUAGUAUAGCAGGAUCCUCCUGUAAAAUGGGAUGUAGCAGGACCCUCCUGGACAAUGGGAAUUAGUAUAGCAAGACUCUCCUAAACAAUGAGAUUUAGUGUAGCAGGACCUCCUGGACAAUGGAAUUUAGUAUAGCAGGACCCUCCUAGACAAUGGCAUUAGCAGGACCCUCCUACAUAAUGAGAUUUAGUUAUUUUCUCCUAGGAUAAAUACUUUCUAGUCUGAGGCCUUUUAUUUUUCUUUUUCUCCUAGGAUAGACACUUCCUAGUCUGAGAUGUUAUUUUUUAUUUUCUCCUAGGAUAAGCAUUUCCUAGUCUGAUUUUAUUUUUAUUUUUUUAAAUUCACAUUUGCUAAUAACUCACAAAAAAUUUCCAGUGAAAACUAGGGCAAAUUUUUUAUUUAUUUCUUUUGUUUGUGAUGGUUUUCAGGUUUCUUCAAGCGAAACAUGGAUUUGAAAUUCAAGAACAAAGUUUCAACUGUUUUCAAAAUGAUCAAUUCCCAUGAUUGCUAGAAUCAACUUUUUCAAUGCAUGUAGCAACCUGAAUUCCUGACAUCUGCUUCUAUUCAGCUACUGAUCAAGAAAACAUGCAGUCAUUCAAGAACAUUUAUAAAUUGUCAUUUUGAAGAGUGUCAAAAGCUCACUCUAAGUGGUAAGUUAAGCAUCGAUUCCAUUGAAGAUCAAGAUUCUCACCAAAAAUCAAGGUGAUAUCUCAAAGUCAAGACUCAAGAGAAGCUGCAUAGAUAGGAGUUUGUACUUUUAUUUUCCUUUUGACUAUUAGUUUUCAUUUUUUUUAUGUAAUUAAGGAUAAGAGCCGCGACCUGAAACCUCGAUGGAGCCUCACUUAACUUCCAACUCAUUACCUCAUCUCCUUGAACUACAUGUGACCUGAUUCCCUUAUAACCUGGGAUAUGUAGGAUGUCCAAAAUCAAGACUCGGUCGCACCAAUUUUUCUUUCAAAUAAGAGUCCGGUCAAAAUUUGUCACAUUGUCUACUUCUUUACAUGAAAACUCUUCGUGUUUCCAAUCAAAGAGGGGCAAACUGUAGACACGUAAUUUUUUACCAAACUUAAGGUAUUACACCAUUUUUAAUACAUAAAAAUUGUUUUUAUAUAUAAAUUAGAUAUUUUUCAUUUAUCUUAUUUUAGUAAGUUUUAUUUUAAAAGAUUUGAAAAUAACAAAAAAAAUAUAUGUUUUAUUUUAAGUUUAAUAAAUAAGCUAGUAUUUCUUAUUUAUAAUUUAUUAUUAGCUAUUCAAUUUUUGUUAGUUUAAAAAAUAUUAUACUAUAUUAUAUUUAUUAUAUUUAUUUGGAAAAAAACUUACCACUACCCUCACCCCAUUACCCAUUUCCACCCACAUCUACCCCCACUCCACUUACCCAAUACACACCCUCAUACCUAUAUCUAACACACACAACAAUCUGCAAACAACACACAUACAGACAAUCAGAAAAAGAAAUCAGCAAUACAAAAAAAAAAAACACACGCUGCAAAAAAAAAAAAAAACCAUGAGCCAAGAGAGAAAAAUAUACCAUAACUUCCGAACAACACACACGUACUACACUCAAGCAAACAAAAAGAAAAAACUUUCACAUUCCUUUAAUUUUUUUUCAAAAAUCCACAAAUACAUCCACAUCUUUUCUUUCUUUCCACAUAAAAUCUAUAAAGGUUUUGUGGGCGUUUUAAUCGAGCUUCAAUCAAGAUAUUGCGGUAUUCAAUUUCACCUUAUCUUUUUAAUUUAUGUAUGGAAUCUGAUGUAAUUUUAUGAUAAGUUUUGUUAUAUUUUAUUUUAUUUAUAAUUUGAUUGAAAUGAAUAGUGAGUUAAGUGUUAAGCAUAUCUCUAUUUAAUGAAUUGAGACAGUUUUAAUUGGUGGCUAUCUUAGUUUAUUUAUUUUUAUUUGUUAGUUGUUAUUUCUUAAAAAUGAACGAGUUGUGGUUGUGUUCUUGUUUUAACUUAGAUGCCAAUAAGGAUAAAGUAGAGAUUAUUAGGCUAAAACAAAACAUUGUCGCUUUUAUUUUAUCAAACAAAAAAAAAGAAAUUUAUUUUAGUAAUUCGUUAUUGUUUUGUUAGAUUAGUAAGAAAUUGCUACCUGUGUAGUGGUUAAUUUUGACAUUAACUUUAAGAGUAAAUAAAAAAUAAAAAAAAUAUAAUAUUGAUCUAAAAUUUUAUCAAGCACCUUAGAAGUUUAGAUUUGUUUAAUGUUAUUUGAUUUUUUAAGGAAUAAAUAUUUUCUCUCAACUUUAGAUGAACUUUUAGCUAUAUUUAAAAUAUUUGUUUCAAUUAAGAAUGCGGUUGCGCAUUUUUUUUUGAGACAUUUAAGAAUAAACUCAAGGAUGUGGUGACACACCUUGUCCAGUAAUAUAAUCAACUUUCAUUGAUUUAAAAUGAGACUUUUAGAUAAAGUUAUUAGGUGCGAUGCGAAGAAGACAAGUAUGUCUCUAAAUGUCAAGAUCAAGAAUGCGGUUACACAUCUAGGUUGAGACCGAUAAAAGUUCAACAAAAAAUAUAAUGCGAACAAAUCAUGGCCCGUAAUAAUAUAUUCAAAAAAUAUAUUAAGUUAAGUAUAAGUCAAUAAAAGCGACAAUGCUAAGACCACGGGACUCGAGGGAUGCCUAAUACCUUCCCCUCGGUCAACAGAAUUCCUUACCCGAAUUUUUAGUUCACAGACCAAAAAUAAAGAGUCAUUUCCUUUUGAUUAGGAAUUAAAAAGAAAGGUGACUUGGAACACCAUGACUCAUUUCCAAGUGACGACUCUGAAAAAAAUAAAAUAAUCUCUAAUCAAUAUUGUCACUUAAAUUGGAAAAACCCUUCCGCCGUGCGAAAAAGGGGUGUGACAAUAAGCAUGAACUAGGGUUUAGGGUUGAUAGCCUCCAAGAACCUUAACUGGAAUUGAACAGAUCUUGUAGAAUCCAAAUUGAAAUUGGACACGUUUUGUACAAUCCCACAAAAUUUCAAUGUCUACAAAUGUCCCCUGCUUCAAGGCUUGUCGGAGGGUAGACUUGAUGAAACUCAAAGACGAAGCUUGAAGUACACAUUCUUCCACCUUUGAGGCUUUGUGGCUUCAAAUAUGCAUAUUUGAUUUGUGAGAGAAGAGAUGAAUGACAAAUUUGAUCUCACUAUGCGUGCCAAUUUGUUUGCAACAAAUUUCAAAGGUGAUAGAAAAUAAAUUGCAAUUACAAAUAAAAUAUGAAGAAACAUAAAUAUUAUUGAUAAACAUUGUGGGUACAAAUAUGUUCCUCCCUUGAUUCUUCUCUCUCUUGGUAACGUUUUUUCUCGAACUAGGAUAAUUUGGAUUUGAUCUCUUUAUGAAUAUUCGAUGAAAUUGUGUAAUAUUCAAGAUGUCUUUUUCAAGGGAAUAUAGUAUUCUUCCUAAGAGGAAUCGAACACAUCUUGUAGAGUCCCACAAAAUUUCAAUAUUUUCAUACAUGUUUUGUUUGCAUUGGAACACAAAUAUCUGAAAUUGAUGACUAUUUUUUGACUUAUCUAACGUUUAAAAUCUAAAGAUAACAUAUCAAGUAUCAAUUGGCCACACUUUUUGAUAAAAAGCAAAUGAAAUAUUUUAUCGAAUGUGCUACCAGAACUUGUGUUGCCAUCAAUAGAUCGAAAAGCUCCAGCCUCCAGACCCACCCUCCCCUCCCAGAAAAAGGGAAAAAAGCAAAGAAGGAACCAAAUGCAAAGAUGUCAAAGCUCAUGCGAUAAUUCUGACCAUGAGGAGAACAACAGAAAAAUGUAGGGGUGUCAAAAAUGAACUCAAGCAUAGGUAACUCGCCCAAUCCGUCUAGAAAUUUUAAGGGUUGGGCUCAAGAUAAUUUGAAUUGGGUUCAAACUCAACCCAUUCAAGCCUAACACAUUUUAAGAGAAUCUUCAAUUGAGCCCAAUUCAAUCUCCAAUUUCAAUCCGUUUUAAAACUCUUUAUUAAGAUAUGUUCCUAUAUUUAAGGUAUGAAUUAUUAUCUAUUUAAUAUCUUUUAGGAUUUAUCUAUCCAUUUGUUACUUUUUUUAAAAAAAAAAAUUUGAGUUGAAAUUCAAAUUGUGAUUAUAAAAGUUAAAUAUCACUAUGUUAAAAUUAUUGAGAUUAAGCGGGUCAAGACCCAACCCGUUUUUAGCCCAUUUGAGCCCAAAGUAAACUUGGGCGGGUCAAGACCCAAUCCGAUUUCUAUUUCAACCCAUUUUAAUAUCUUCAAUUUCAACCCAACCUGCCCAUUUGACACCCCUAGAAAAAUGUAUGGUAUUUUCCUACGGGCACAAGGAGCAUAACUGAAUACUAAUUGUAGAAUGAUUUUUUAGAUUUCGUUUUUAAAAAAAAAACUACUCAUUUUUAGUAUACAAUAGUAUUUCACUUUUUAUUUUAAAUUGAGUCCCCAAAUCAUUACUUUAUUGACCUAGUUAUUGUAGAAUUUUAUUCAACCUCUAUGGGAAGUCAGACGUAAUGUUUUCAUAUGUCCAUGAAAAAUGUCAUGAUAGGAGGGGCUGGGUUUUAGUUGUCAUGCUAAUAUGAUUGAUUCUCAUUACCUGGACAAAAUUUGGUACUUUGAUGUUACAAGUAAGCUUUAAUUGAUAAGAAUAUGCACUCGUGGAAAAUACAAGAGCGAAACUCGUUGUUUGAAGCUGAAGAUGUUAAUGCUAUAUUGUCUAUACCAAUUUCUAUUGCAGGUUCUAAUGAUAGGUUAAUAUGGCACCAUACAAAAACAGGAAACUAUGGAGUUAAGCCAGGUUACUACAUCGCAAAGGAUUUGAUUGGUAGGACAAUGAAAAAUUCGGAAGCUCAAGCGAGUUGUCACUCUUUUCCAAAAUGUUUUUGGGACUUCCUGUGGAAGUUGGGAGCUUAAAUAUAAGUUUAAACACUUUUUGAGAAAAUGUGUGCCCAACUCUUUACCCGUCCAUAGUAAUUUAGCAAAAAAACUACACAGUGUAGAUAAGACUUGUAAAAUUUGUGGUCUUGGACCUGAAGAUAUAGAACAUAUGUUAUUCAAAUGUCCUUGGUCUCAACUUGUGUGGAAGCAAUGUCCUAUAAAUUGGCCUGAUAUAAAAAAUAUUACUGAUUUUUCUAUUUUGUGGUAUGACUUGUUCUUAAAUACCAAAUCUUUUGCUGAAUCUAUUAACUCGUUAAACUUGAGCGUUAAUAUUAUGUGGCAAAUUUAGAAAGGUAGGAAUAGUUGGUUGUUUAAUCAAGAAAGGUUAGAACCAAGAGAUAUUGUUUCUAGAUCUAUGUUUGAGUAUGAAGAAUAUAAUGAGUUACUAACAAAAAGUCCUUCUUCUUGUUCCUCUAGAAAUCAUCCUGUGAUUAAACUAACAAAUUUGCAAGGUGGCAUUUAUUGUUUACAGAUGCAGGUUUGCAGAAUGACGAUGGAAGGGCAAGUAUCGGUAUUGUGGCUUUGGAUAGCCUCAGUAACCUGCUUCAUGCCCAUGGAUCCCCAUGACUGCUGAAGCGAUUGCUAUUAGGAAGGCUCUUGAAUAGAGAGUGAAGAUUUUAUCAGAUGCUAAAAAUGUUAUGCUUUAUUUCGUUUCGUUCCCGUUCUUCAUAUCCUUCUUCUCAAAUCUAAGGGGGACUUAUAUUUAGAAUCUUUCUGCAGUGUGCUCCAUUUACUAUUCUUUCGUACUUUCUUCUUUUUACCACGCGAUAGGUCAGCGAAGCCUGAGCGGGCGCGGAGAAGGAAAGGCCAAACACUUCGCUUAUAGAAGUGGAAAUCCAACCUAUAUUUAUUUCCAACUAAAGGUAAAGGCGCUUUUCGCUUCACCGGAAUCCGACGUCAAUUGAUUACCGGUUGGUAGUUCCUCAUCGUGCAUUGACCGACUCCUCAUGGGGUUGAAAACAGCGCUCUGAAACCGGUGGGAAAGAAAAGCGCAACUUCAUGGGAGAUAGAAGUGUUGUGUGAAGACAUUUGGAAGCUUUCAAGCAUGUUCAAUCAUGUAGCAUUUAUAUAUAUUUCUAGAUCUGUGAACAAAAUAGCUAAUAAUUUAGCUAGAUACUCCAUCUCUUUGUUGAAGGAAAUCUCCUGGGAGAAGUUUUUCCCAAGUUGGAUCAUCCAGGAUGCAAAAGAUAUGUUUAAGCUAUGUAUUCCGUUGAUGCAAUAAUAAAAGGGGUUCUGUUUCGGAGAAGAAAAAAAAGUUACAAGUAGGCAUAAAAUACAUAUUUAAUAAUUUUUUAUCAUCAAAAGAAAACACAACUUUAUAGUUCCACUUAGUGAAGAAAAUUACAUACAAAUAUGUUGUGAAUUAAAUACUUCUCUGGUUAAUCGACUUCCUUCCACAUAGGGAAUAAUAUGUGUUCCGGGCAGACAGCAAUAAGUAUAAAGGCAGAAAAGAAAUUAAAAACAGAGCUCAUCCAUCCACUGAUGCCAAAAUCCUAAUAGUUUAGACCUAAGAGAACCCGAUAAAUGAGGCCUUCCCAAAAGUGAUUAAAGUUAAUUUCAGAUGCCUGCCCUACAACAGAAAUGCUAAAUAAACAUCUCCGAGUCUAACUCAUGUUGUACAACAGAAAUGCUAAAUGAAUCAGGCAAAAAGAAUCCACGGAAAAAUAACAAAGAAACAUCAGUUAUCUGUUGUUGGAUUACUUCCUCGAUUUCUUCCUGGAAGAUUUGGAUGAAGCCUUUGAUUGCACUGCAUUCUGAGAGGCUCCUUUUGGAUUAGCUGGCUGGUUUGACUUCGUAUCACUGCUACUGCUCGCCACCUCUUUAGCCACUGCACCUUGAGAAUCUCUAAUUUGAGCUGCUCUCGUAUCCUCUCUCUUUGGUCUGUAACUAGACCUCUCCCUCUUGGGAAGCCACCUCUCUGGAUCAGGUGGAGGUCCUGGAUUAGCUGGGUCAAAGCCCUUUGGAUAUUUUGGCUUUCUCUUCCUCUUUUUCUUCGCCUUAUCCUUACUCUUCGCUUCGUGUGUUUCAGUGGCACCAGCAUUUGGACCUUUCUCGGCUUGCUUGGCACCAGAAGUUUUCUCCAAAUUGUCGACGUCUAUUGCUUUCAAACCAAGUAGUGGUUUUAACUGCUUCUCAUAAGCUUCUGCUUUCUCAAUGUCAGCAUGGGCUGCAGUUUGGAUUAAUCCAACUAAAGCCUCAAUACUUCCAUGGCUUUUCACUAGCUGUUCAUAAAGGCGUGCGGCCUCCUCUUUCCUUCCAUGCCUGAGCUUGAAAGCAGCAGCCUCCUGCAUGAUGGUAUUGAGCUUAUUGUCUUCAGUCAUGGCAUUUGACCACCACUUGAUUGCGGAAUCAAACACAGUAUCGGCACCAUCAGUAUCUCCAGCCUCUUGAGAGAAACAAUGGUCGCAACAGUUGCAGGCUUGUGUUGAAUGUCAGGUAUUUUCGCCAAGGAAUCAGCUGCAAUCUGUGGAUGGCCAGCAGCUGCAGCAACCUGAGCCCUUGCAAGCAGGAUAACCUUGGAUCUGUCAGGAAACUUAUCUGCAUACUGUCCAAGUAUUUCUUCAGCUUUAGUAGCCUUGUUCUUUCUCACAUGUACAGCAGCUUGAAGAAGUACAGGCAUCAGGCUACCAGGGAACAUCCCAGGUAGAGCGCCAACAAGUUCUCUAGCCUGUGACAAAAAUAAACAUUGGAAAAAGACGGGGACUAAACAGUAGCAGUUGGAUGUCUAUUAAUGGGUCCCCUUGUUUCUAAUGCAUCAAUUGUUCGAAGGAGAACCAUUGCAAACCGAUGUAAAUCUUACAGAUAAUAUAACUGAGCCAUCUUAUUAGAAUGAAGUAGCAGCAGCACCCUAUUCGUAUAUACUGCUUCCCUUUGCUUCUGUGAGAGCUUCAAGUCCAGUCCACCAGCAAGCUGAAACUUCUCUGGUUCAUCAUUUUUCUCUAUUAGCUUAUCAAGUUUCCUUAGGCCAUCAGAGACAUCUUUAGGACCCUUUAAAGCAAUGAGAUUAUUUACAGCCACCGCAAGUGAAGACUCGUCGGCCAAAUUUCUUUUGACAAGAUCAGUAUAAGAUGCAACGGCCUCUUGGGUGUUCCCUAGAAUCUGGAGUGAGAAAAAAAGACAUUAAUGCUGCUAGCACCGACAACGUCAGGCAGGAUGGUGGAUGAAGCACCAAAAAGGGAGGAAGAAUCUUAAGAAGAAUGAGGAAUUGUUGUGUGAACCUACACAAAGCGAAGCAUUAACAUCCCACUCACCUUCGGCGACUAAGGCAAGUGAUGAUGAACGUGGGGAACAACCCGUAGACGUUAUGCCUAGAAUUGAGUGGGUUGUGGGGUUGACACGGCAAGGUAAGUUGUGGCGAUUACAGAUGCUUCAAUGGGGUCGAUUACAAGUUCAAGACUCUUGAGGACUUCACCUUUGACAAAAAUGAAAACAUCUGCAAAGAGUUGGAGGCACAUAAGCAUGCGGAAUAUGAGAUGAAAAAAUCAUCUCUUCCUUGGAUGUCGGCUCAUGGAUGCAUUAAGCACAAUUAAAACCAUGGAGGCCGAGAUGAAAGCACUCAAAGUGGGCAUUGAAGUUGGAGGACCCUCGUCGUUCGACAGAUAUAGGGAGGCCAAGGUUGAGGCUCCCAAGCCACCUCAAAGGCGUCUGUGAUGCGCAAGAGGUGGAGAAUUUCUUAUGGCAUUUGGAGAACUACUUCAAGUGCAGCAGGGUGAAGAGCGACGAGAACAAGAUCAACACUGUCGCGUUGUACCUCUCGGAGAUGGCCAUGCUUUGGUGGAGGCGUAAAGAGUCCGAGAUACGGAAGGGGCUUUGCACCAUCAACACUUAGGAGCUAUUCCGGGAAGAGUUCAAGAAAGCAUUCUUUCCUAACAACUUCAUCUAUGAGGCAAAGCGCAAAUUUAGGGAGUUGAAGCAGACAAACAAUAUACGAGUAUAUGUGAAGGAGUUCACCACCCUCACGCUUCAGAUUCCCAACCUCACGGAUAAAGAUAUGUUGUUCCACUUCAUGGAUGGGCUGCGAAGUUGGGCCAAGAUGGAGUUGGAGCACCAAUAGGUUAGGACUAUUGAUGAAAGUCAUCACGCAGGCCGAAGCUUUGACAGACUUUAAGCAUGACAGAGGAAAAUGAGCAGAGAAGAGAGGUAGUCAUGACCAAGGUAGAGGAGACCAUGGAAAAAGCAAAGAGAAACAACCACAUCCCAAGAAUCAUGACACCUAUAAGUCUGAUGGGAAAAAGUUUGGACAUUAGAGUGAUGUUACAGGAAAACACACACUAAAAAGGGAAACAGUUGCUACUUAUGCGGUGGGCUGCAUGGCUAUGCGAGACACCCUGAACUGAAGAAUCUUAGUGCCAUAUUACAAGAAUGGAAGGAGAAAGUUACACAAGAACCUAGGCAAGGUUUGGGCACGACGCAGUUGGGCAUGAUUGGUCUAUGUGGAGCUAUCACAAAGCAAUCGGAGAAUCCAAAAGAAUAUGGCGCACAAUAUAUAGACAUCAUGAUCAAUGGAAGACUGGCUCGUGCUAAGGUCAACACAGGUGCAGAGGCUAACAUCAUUACCAAGAGCCAAGCAAUAAAGUUGAGGUUGAGUUACAAUCCAAGUAACACUCACCUCAAGACAGUCAAUGCUCCACUGACUCCCUUGUGCUAAGUCACUCAUGGAGUAAGCAUCACGAAAGGCAAGUGUCAAGGUAAAACCAAUUUUAUUGUCGCUCUGUUAGAUAUCUUUGACAUAAUUCUUGGGCAAGAGUUUUUCCAGAAAUGUCACACGAUGACCAAUCCUUACCUCCAACGACUCUUAGUCAUGGAGCAAGAAGGAUCAUGUAUGGUGCCCCUGAUUAAGGUACUAAAGAUAGAAGGACAAGCUCAACUAUUGGCUAUGCAGCUCAUGACGGGACUUAAGAAAGAGGAGUCGACGCUCAAAGCCACCAUUGCGAGAGUGACUAAAAACAAUAGAGCUAGAGCAUUUUUGCCACCACGUAUAGAGAAAGUACUAGAAGAGAAUAAGGAUGUAAUGUCUAAGGAGUUGCACAAGGGCAUUGAUCGAGUCAAUAUUCUAUUGGUCGCGCAUGUGAUAAGACAAGAUUCAACUGUUCAUACAAGAACAAUAUGCCACGGUCGUCACAACAACAGGUGGGGAAGAGUGUCAUGAUCCGCCACCUCAUCACACCACAUAAGCGCCAUGUGGCAUAAAGUUGUCCAUUUGGAAGCAUAAGUAUGCUAGCUUUUAUGAGAAGAUUCUAAAACGAUGAAGAACUUCUUUGAAAGACUCUAGAAUAUCUAGGAAGAAUUCUUGAAAAGCCUUAGAAUAUUCUACGCAUGUAGAGAAUUCUAGAGAAAAUAUGUAGGGACUUGUGUAACAAUUAUUAUUUACAUUUUAGCCCCUAAGUUAGUAGUAUAAAUAGAGAGGCAUCCAUUUGUAAAUUAACUAAGCAAAAGAAAGCAAUCUUCCAAAGCAAUACAAAAGCCUUCUUAUAAACUAUCUUGUGUCUUUCUUCAUUCUCUUAGCGAUCUAGUAUAAAAAGGCUUACUUGAGCUUGCAAGAUCGUGAAAGAUUUGUGAGCGAGUUGUCAAGUGUCGCACGGUGUUCUUAGUUGAAGUCUAAGGCUGUCACACUAUGGCAUAAAAGACUAGGACACACUUCUACUUCAGUCCUUAGUAAAUUGUUUUCUACUAAUGUCACUACUGUUAGAAAUAAAAUAGUAGAUUGUGUAGUGUGCCCGUGUAGAUUACCUUUCCAGUCUAGUAGCAUAAAAAGUAGUAGUUGUUUUGAAUUUUUUCAUGUAGAUCUUUGGGGUCCCAACAAGACUGAUACAUAUGAUGGGAACAAAUAUUUCUUGACAAUUGUAGAAGAUUUUUCAAGAUAUAUGAUGAGUCCACAAUUUGGAAUCAUUUAGGGCUUUAUUUUAAUAGAAUUAGUGUCCUCAAAUGCAUAUUUUGUCUCAAUAACUGAUGUAAAUCCUUAAGUUUCGGGUAUUUGGAGUUUGAGGCAAAGCAUGGACACUACUUGGCAAAAAGGAACAAAACGGCUGAAAAGAUGAAAAAAAGAAGGCCUGAGGAUCGCCUAAUGCAUUCAGCGAGUAGCCAAAAGGCCUUAACCUCGCCCAAAGUUCUGGUGUGCUAAGCCCUGAAGGAAAAGAUCAAGUCGGCGAUUAAAAGGAUUAGUCGGCGUGUCGCCGAACAGUUCCGCGAAGCAGUACUAUAUCGCCCAAUGAUUCAGAACGCGAAGAUGUUGAAGGCAAGAGCUGAACGGCGAUGAAACAGACCAAAGGGCGGAUCGCCGAGUGCAUCGGCGAUCCCGACUAACUGCGCCGAGUGAUCCUUCGCAGCACAUUUUUUGAUAACUAUAAAUAUUAGUUUGAAUUUUUAUUUUAGUAUGCAAUUUUAGAUACAACAUUUUAUUUUCUAAGUUGUCAAGUAGGGAAUAUUUUUGCUUAGCUUUUGAAGAUUUGAAGACUUUCAACUCCAAGAAAUUGGAAGUGGGUGUUGAAGAUUCUUCAUCUUAGACUCGUUUAAAGUGAAUAUAAAUCAUACCCAGUUGAUGUUACUUCGAUUUGGUAUCAUUUUCUUCCUUUUCUCUAUGUCUAGCUAAAACCCCAAUUUUGGGGUGUGAUUUUGUGAAUAUGGGUUAAAUUUACUGUUGGGUGUUGCUUAUUGUUGGUAUAUUUGUUGUUUAAAUGUGAUUUCGUUUAGUAGUUGUGUUUGAACUUAAUGAGAUUGUAGUUGCAAAUAUGAUUUCAUCUUAGUGUUUUUGGCUUGCUUGAGAGAGAGGUUUUAAAACUAAUGACUACUAAAUCGAUAGCCGGUGGUUAUUGGGUCGUCUUGGGUUCAGCUCGAGAGAGUGAAUCCUAGUCCCUCUCCCACACUUUCAGCUCAAGAGAGAGAAUGGACUAACGCGGAGGUUGUGCUUAAAAGUGACAACUCGGUGUUCGAGAGAAACCGAGUUGAUUCGGGGUAAGUUGCUCGAGAGAGAAUUUACCCCCACUAAAGUCUAGCCUAGUUACAAAUAUUCAGCGAUAUACUAUCAAUAGCAUUUACCCGAAAGUGUCUUUUAUCCCAUAUUCCUAUCAUAUCCCAAGAAUCCCGUCUCCCUAUCUCGUUUCCUUAUAUUUUUGUCGCUUUUGUUGAUUAGUUAAUACAAACCCCCCUUGAUAAUUGACAUUAGUGUCACCCCUUAAAUUUAUUAUGUUUGUAUUCGAUAAUGUUUAUAGCUAUGAUUGAUUAGAACUUGAUUUUACUUUUCUAUUAAUUCUCGAAACCACUCCCUAUGGGAACGAUCCCAACCCUUGGUUGGGUUAUAUCACUACACGCGAUCGUUGGCACUUGAACCGAAGUAGUGUCCUGAUACGUGAAGUCAAUAUACAUGGUUGUUUCUUGUAUAUCCCUUGAAUACUUUAUGAAUUAUACCAAAAAUUAGUUUGGAAAAUUAGUAAAAAAUAAUUAAGACUGAUAAUGGUACUAAGUUCAUCAACACAAUAUGCGAUCAAUUAUUUAAACAAUUAGCAAUUGUUCAUCAGACAACAUGGUUUACACUCCUCAACAGAAUGAUGUGGCUGAAAGGAAACAUAGACAUAUUCUUGAAGUGACUAGGGCCAUUAGAUUACAAGCUGAUAUACCUACUAAAUUUUGGGGGCACUGUGUACGGGCUGUAGCUUAUUUGAUAAAUAGGCUUCCUACAUCAGCUAUAAAUGGUAAAUCGCCAUUUGCCAAAUUCUAUGAAAAAGGAUCCAUUUCUUACUCAUUUGAAAGUACUAGGUUGUUUAUGCUUUUGCUGAUAUGCCUAAUCAACAUGAUAGGCUAUUAUCUAGGUCUAGCAUAUCUGUCCAUAUGGGUUAUUCUGAAUUACAAAAAGGAUACAUUUUGUAUGAUUUAAUUGAUAAAGUAUUCUUUGUACUAUUCAAUGAAACAGUGUACCCAUUCUUCAAUGAAAAAGCUACAUCAGUUCCUGUCUUUAAAGACUGAGACUCAUUCAGUUUUGGAUUACUCAACUCAAUGGUCUAGCAUUCCUGUUAGUUCACAACAACCUAGUAAAUAUACAAGCACCGAGGAAGGGUCUAGGAUAACAAAUGAUAUAACCAGAGAGGAAGAUCAACACAAUCAUUUGAUAGUUGAUUUGAAUGGUGAACCAUUACAGUUACCUAUACAACAACCUCCUGAGAACAAUCAACCAGAAAGGAGAUCCACUAGAGGCAGUAAGCCACCUAUUUGGAUGAAAGAAUUUGUAUCUCUCAACAUCCAUCAGGAUUAAAGCAAUGGUCUCCAACAAUACAUGAGUUAUGAUGAAAUAUCAAACAAGUAUAGUACUUAUAUAACUGCACUCUCCAACUGUGUAGAACCAAAGUCUCUCAACAUCCGAAAGUCUCUUUUUUAUUUGAAUAUACAGAAGAGUCCACGGUCAGUGAACCCACCCUUGAACCCAAGCCUUGUGAAAAAUAUUCUAAGGCAAGGGUCUAAGGAAAGGUUCAAGGACGGUGGAAGAGUUUAUGGUCAGUGAACCCAUCCUUGAACCCAAGCCUUGUGAAAAAUAUUCUAAGGCAAGAGUCUAAGGAAGGGUUCAAAGAAGGUGAAAGAGUCCACGGUCAGUGAACCAAUCCUUGAACCCAAGCCUUGCGAAAAAUAUUCCAAGGCAAGGGUCUAAGGAAGGAUUCAAGGACCGUGGAAGAGUCCACGGUCAGUGAACCCAUCCUUGAACCCAAGCCUUGUGCAAGGCAAGGAUCUAAGGAAGGGUUCAAGUAAGGUGGAAGAGUCCACGGUCAGAGAACCCAUCCUUGUAAAAAAUAUUAUUCUAAGGUAAUACUUCAUUGACACAUUCAAGGAAGGUAGAAUGGUCCACGGACGGUAGACCCGUCUGUAGAGAUUGAUUUAGAAAAAUAAAACUUGUUAGUGAAGUCUAAAAUAAUCCUAGACCCUACAUAAGUCUUUUAAACCUAAAAUUUAACCAUUCCAAAUCAUUCUUUAAAUUUUCCUAAAUCUCUCCAAGUUCUUUCCCCAAAUAUUUCUCUCUCUAAAAGAAGAAAAAGAAGUCAAGCUAGGGUUUUCAAGACCAAGUCUCCUAAUCCUCCAUCGAUAGCAAGUUUUUGGCAUCAAGGUAUGAUAGUUUUCAUCCAUGGAUUUCUUUCAUUCAUGGAGUUCCCAAAUUCUCCUAUUUUCAAAGUUACAAAUCCCCAAUUGAGCUAGGGUUUUCUUCAAUUGCAAUGAGUUCUCUUCAAUGUUGAUUUAAAUGAUUGAAUAAUAAUCUAUUAUGCAUGAAUUGAUGAAAUACUAUGAUUUUUAUGAUGAUUCUCCAUGAACCCAUGUAAAUCUGAUGUUUUCCAAUUAUGAUGAUAUGAUGUGGGUCUUGAACUAUGAAAGGUGAAUUAUGGAAUUCUGCAUGUUCUUAUGGAAUUGAUGAGACAUGAAGUAGAUUUCUUUGAGAGUAAAAGCGUAUAUGUUGUUGUUGUGGUUAAUUAUUGUGAAAGGAUUGCUCACAUAGCUAACUUGUGCAUGAAUGUGAAAGGUUUUCUCACACGAAAGAUUCUAAGGUUGAAAGGUCUUCUUCACCUAAAAUGAAUCAAAGAUAAGGAGCUAUUCUAAUGACACCUAGCUUGGAUUGGUUACUUCAUUGUACCUUACCAUUGGAUGACAUAUGACUUAGCUUGGAUUGGUAAGAUGCCAUGCCCUUCCGUGGAUAAUAAAGACAAGUUAAGAAAAUAACUAUUCCAUGGAAUUUACGCUUAGCACCGAGAGGAUAUUAAGAUGGGAGCUCUCUCGUUAGUAGAGGCCGAGUUUCUAGAAGCUAUCUCUCUAUCCUAUACCUAUGUGCCCCCAUAGGAUGAUUGUCAUAGAUAGACAUUAGCUAGAGGAUCCACAUAAGCUAGAAGUUGAUGGUCUUACCUUGGCAAGUAGUACACCCAUUUUUGGUGUGGGGUAGACACCAGAUUCCGUGUUGUUAGCUCACAUGGUCUUAUAUGUCGGUUAAAGGUAAAUCUCCCACAAUAAUGAACUAAGGUUACUUCAAAAAGAAUCUCACAUGUGACUUAAGAUGAUGUCUAUUUGCAUUGAUCAUGUUUUAUGACUUAUGGUUUCUAUCUCUCAAGAUUUAUGUUUUAGCUUGAUCAUUGCUUACUUAUAAAAAUGUCCUGUUUUAGCAUGUUUAAAUGUUUUUUGCAUAACUAUCAUACUUGGUACAUUAUUUUGUACUAACGCAUACUCUUGCCUACAUUUCCCCAAAUGCAGGGUCUGACAGUCAAGGUUCUCAGUUUCGUGGUAAGAAGUUGAUUUGAGAGAUUUUGAGCUUUGGUGAGUCCUCAUGCUUCGAGGACAAAUUUUCAUUGUUUCAAUUUUCUUUCUUACUUUAAGUUUUGGACAUGAUGUAUAGGCUAGGCCCAAUUUGAUUCUUAUGUACUAGAUGACUAAUGAGACAAGUGUUUAGACUUCCGCUUUACUUUUAUAAAACUCUUGAACUUGAAAUGUUGUUUUUUACCUCUCUUCAUUCCAUUUCUUAUGUUAUGGAUGCUAAGUGGCUUGUAUGGGGCCUUUCGGGGUCCUAUACGCCAUGUUAUUCCUAGGGGGUACCUUGGGUCGUGACAAACUUGGUAAUCUGAGCAUAAGGUUUAGAAAGGUCCUAGGAAGUCUCAUAAGCCACGUCAAGUAUAGUCUUGUUCAUGAGUGUGAAGCAUGCCACAUUUAUCAAUGAGAGGCUAUAAGAUGAUUAGGAAACUCCAGUUCUUUGAUUACUCUAAAGUCAUGUGGUAGAGUGUAACUCUAUAUGUCUUUCUCCUAAUCCCUAUAUGGCUCUUUUCGGGACAUGGCCCCUCGAAGAGUUUACGUUAGAAGGAAAGCGAAUGAGAAGCUCCUCCUCAAGUUUUGGUCGACCCUUUGGCCGAGCAAGUGACUAGUGCGGAGUUUAGGGCUGCUUUUUAAGUGUUGGCUCAAGCCAUGACGGCUUAAGCCAAUAGGGAGGUUGUGGGCCCCGUGAACCCAAAUGUGGGUACGACGACAUCUAGAGUGAGGGACUUUACUAGAAUGAAUCCCCAGGAGUAUCAUGGGACCAAGGUUGAGGAAGAUCCUCAAGAGUUUAUUGAUGAAGUGUAUAAGGCGGCGAUGAUCAUGGAAGUGACACUGGUGGAAAAGGUGGAAUUGGCCAAGGUUCCUCCAAUGCUCCUUCUAAGUUCAACAAAAAUAGGGUGUCUAACCCUAAGCCUCAAGGAGGGAAUGGUAGUGGAUCAUCAUUGCCUAUGUCUACUUGUGCUAGGUGUGGGAAGAAGCACGAGGGUAAGUGCCUAGCCGGCACGGAUGCUUGCUUCGGUUGUGGUAAAAGUGGUCAUAAGAUGAGGGACUGCCCAAUGCUUACGGCUAAAAGAAAAGUGGGCAAGCAAGCUCCACCUAGUGGUUCGGGUUCAAAUGCUCCCAAGCAAAACCGAUUCUAUGCACUCCACACUCGUGGUGAACAAGAGGGUUCUCCCGAUGUGGUUACCGAUAUGUUGAAAGUCUUCCUGCUUGAAGUUUAUGCUUUACUUUACCCUGGUGCUACCUUGUCUUUUGUGACGCCAUAUGUGGCGAUGAGGUUUGAUACCCUUUUCUAUCUCUACUCUUGUUGGUGAUUCUAAUGUGGCUAAGAGGGUCUAUAGAAAGUGUCCCAUCUCCUUGUCUCAUAGAAUUACUUUUGUUGACUUGGUAGAGCUAGAUAUGCUAGGUUUUGAUGUCAUCCUUGGUAUGGAUUGACUGCACUCAUGUUAUGUUUCUGUUGAUUGUAGAACUCGUGUAGUCAAGUUUCAGUUCCCGAAUGAGCAUGUCCUAGAAUGGAAAGGGGGAAAUUCUAUGCCUUAGGGUCAGUUUGUUUCUUGUCUUAAAACUAGAAAGAGGAUUUCUCAGGGUUGCAUUUACCAUCUAGUUAGGAUAAGGGAUGUAGAUUCUCAAAACACCUACUCUUGAGUCAGUCCCCAUUGUUAACGAGUUUCCGAAAAUGUUCCCAGAUUAUCUAUCCGGUAUUCCUCCCAAAAGGGAAAUAAACUUCGGUAUUGAUGGAAUAGGAUGAAGAAAGAUACUGCAGAAUUUGUGGCUAAGUGUCCCAAUUGUCAACAAGUGAAACUUGAACAUCAAAAGUCGGGAGGUUUAUCUCAAGAUAUUAGUAUCCCUACUUGGAAGGGGGAAGAUUUGAACAUGGACUUCAUUGUUGGUUUGCCUCACACCUGGCGACAACAUGACUCAAUUUGGGCUAUUGUUGAUCGGAUGACGAAAUCGCCUCAUUUUAUCCACGUCAGGGUUUUUUUUUCGGCGGAGGACAACGCCAAGUUAUAUUUGAAGGAAAUGGUAAGGUUGCAUAGAGUGCCCUAUCUCCAAUCGUGGUACCCAAUUCACUUCUCAAUUUUGGAAAUCUUUCCAAAAGGGUCUUGGUACUCGUGUUAAGCUUAGUACGGCCUUUCACCCACAAACCGAUAGGCAAGCGGAGCGUACUAUCUAAACCUUCAAAGAUAUGUUGAGAGAAUGUGUAAUUGACUUCAAGGGUAAUUGGGAUGAUCACUUACCUUUGAUGGAGUUUGCAUACAACAAUAGCUAUCACUCAAGCAUUGGUAUGGCUCCAUUUGAGGCCCUAUAUGGUGGGUGUAGAUCUCCAAUAGGUUGGUUUGAGGUGGGUGAAGUUGCCCUUAUAGGUCUCGAGUUGGUACAUGAGGCUAUGGAGAAAGUUCGACUUAUUAGAGAGAGGUUGAAAACAGCUCAAAGUCGACAAAAGUCCUAUGCCGAUGUGAGAAGAAAAGAUCUUGAGUUUGAGGUAAAUGAUUGGGUCUACUUGAAAAUUUCACCCAUGAAGGGUGUAAUGAGAUUUGGGAAGAAAUGGAAGCUUAGUCCCCAUUAUGUGGGCCCAUAUCAGAUUUUGAGACAAAUUGGCAAGGUUACUUAUGAACUUGAAUUGCCUAGUGAGUUGGCAUUCGUGCAUUGUCUCCUUGUUGAAGAAGUGUGUUGGAGAUCCGACAUCUAUAGUCCCCUUAGAAGAUUUGGGAGUUGAGGAGAAUCUUUAUACGAGGAAAUUCUGAUUGAGAUUUUAGACCGGCAAGUUAAAAAGUUGAGAAAUAAAGAAAUUGCAUUAGUGAAAGUUAUUUGGAGGAAUCAGUUAGUUGAGGGUGCUACUUGGUAGGCCGAGGCCGAUAUGAUAUCCUGAUAUCCUCAUCUCUUUCCCCCCAUCCCUACUUUAGCAUGAGGUAUUUAGUCCAUCAUGGUUUACUCCUUUGGUGUCAUGUAAGGCUGGCAAACGGACAUGACCGAUUUUAUCGGAACCGGUCCUCGUUACCGGAUUUCCUUACCGGAACCGGGUCUUACCGGAACCGGUUUUACCAGAAAUUUCCAAAGGUUCCGUCCGAUCCCUUAGUUACCGGAUUGGAACCGGUUUGGACCGGACCGGAACCGGUUCUUACCGGAUCAUUGUGUACCGAUAAUUUUUUUUAUUUUUUUAUUAACUUUAAUUAUUAUAUAAUAUUAUAUUAUUAAUUAAUAAAAUUAUAUUAUUAAAAAACUUCAAUUUAAAACUUCAAACUUUAAAGUUACUUUAAAGUUUCAAUUGAAUUUAAGUUUAAACUUUAAACUUUAAANNNNNNNNNNNNNNNNNNNNNNNNNNNNNNNNNNNNNNNNNNNNNNNNNNNNNNNNNNNNNNNNNNNNNNNNNNNNNNNNNNNNNNNNNNNNNNNNNNNNNNNNNNNNNNNNNNNNNNNNNNNNNNNNNNNNNNNNNNNNNNNNNNNNNNNNNNNNNNNNNNNNNNNNNNNNNNNNNNNNNNNNNNNNNNNNNNNNNNNNNNNNNNNNNNNNNNNNNNNNNNNNNNNNNNNNNNNNNNNNNNNNNNNNNNNNNNNNNNNNNNNNNNNNNNNNNNNNNNNNNNNNNNNNNNNNNNNNNNNNNNNNNNNNNNNNNNNNNNNNNNNNNNNNNNNNNNNNNNNNNNNNNNNNNNNNNNNNNNNNNNNNNNNNNNNNNNNNNNNNNNNNNNNNNNNNNNNNNNNNNNNNNNNNNNNNNNNNNNNNNNNNNNNNNNNNNNNNNNNNNNNNNNNNNNNNNNNNNNNNNNNNNNNNNNNNNNNNNNNNNNNNNNNNNNNNNNNNNNNNNNNNNNNNNNNNNNNNNNNNNNNNNNNNNNNNNNNNNNNNNNNNNNNNNNNNNNNNNNNNNNNNNNNNNNNNNNNNNNNNNNNNNNNNNNNNNNNNNNNNNNNNNNNNNNNNNNNNNNNNNNNNNNNNNNNNNNNNNNNNNNNNNNNNNNNNNNNNNNNNNNNNNNNNNNNNNNNNNNNNNNNNNNNNNNNNNNNNNNNNNNNNNNNNNNNNNNNNNNNNNNNNNNNNNNNNNNNNNNNNNNNNNNNNNNNNNNNNNNNNNNNNNNNNNNNNNNNNNNNNNNNNNNNNNNNNNNNNNNNNNNNNNNNNNNNNNNNNNNNNNNNNNNNNNNNNNNNNNNNNNNNNNNNNNNNNNNNNNNNNNNNNNNNNNNNNNNNNNNNNNNNNNNNNNNNNNNNNNNNNNNNNNNNNNNNNNNNNNNNNNNNNNNNNNNNNNNNNNNNNNNNNNNNNNNNNNNNNNNNNNNNNNNNNNNNNNNNNNNNNNNNNNNNNNNNNNNNNNNNNNNNNNNNNNNNNNNNNNNNNNNNNNNNNNNNNNNNNNNNNNNNNNNNNNNNNNNNNNNNNNNNNNNNNNNNNNNNNNNNNNNNNNNNNNNNNNNNNNNNNNNNNNNNNNNNNNNNNNNNNNNNNNNNNNNNNNNNNNNNNNNNNNNNNNNNNNNNNNNNNNNNNNNNNNNNNNNNNNNNNNNNNNNNNNNNNNNNNNNNNNNNNNNNNNNNNNNNNNNNNNNNNNNNNNNNNNNNNNNNNNNNNNNNNNNNNNNNNNNNNNNNNNNNNNNNNNNNNNNNNNNNNNNNNNNNNNNNNNNNNNNNNNNNNNNNNNNNNNNNNNNNNNNNNNNNNNNNNNNNNNNNNNNNNNNNNNNNNNNNNNNNNNNNNNNNNNNNNNNNNNNNNNNNNNNNNNNNNNNNNNNNNNNNNNNNNNNNNNNNNNNNNNNNNNNNNNNNNNNNNNNNNNNNNNNNNNNNNNNNNNNNNNNNNNNNNNNNNNNNNNNNNNNNNNNNNNNNNNNNNNNNNNNNNNNNNNNNNNNNNNNNNNNNNNNNNNNNNNNNNNNNNNNNNNNNNNNNNNNNNNNNNNNNNNNNNNNNNNNNNNNNNNNNNNNNNNNNNNNNNNNNNNNNNNNNNNNNNNNNNNNNUUGAUAAAUAUAAGCAACUUGAAGCAUUUCAAAUAAAGAAUUUCAUCUAGUGCAUACUUAUUUUGGAACUUUUCUCUCAACUCUUAUAUUUUGAACAAUCUUUUGAAAUCCCUUGACUUUCUAUUAUCUUGUAUGAUGCAUACUAAGUGGCUUGUGUAGGGCCUCUCGGGAUCCUAUACGCCAUGUUACGCCUAGGGUGUACUUUGGAUCAUGACAGUGUGAUUCACUUGGAUCGCCUUAAAAUUAUACUGUAUACAUUGAAAAAUGGAAAGUGAUGGUAUCAGCAUUUUCAGAAGCUCAACCCAAUGCUCAAAAUUCAAUGGAAAAUAGUAAAGUAUGAAGAAUACCGAUAUUUCCCAAAUAGAAGUCAGAAAAAAGUGACCGUUCAAGAAUGAUACAACUCGAUUAGGUGCAACGAAUUCAAGAAUAACAAGCAUAUGAGCAAAAUGUGGACACAAACCAAUGAGAUAAAUAGGAGAAAAAAAAGAAUACCGACCUUAAGUGCAAACACAUGGCAGGACCAAAUUAGAAUAGAGUACACUGCUUUCAACAAAAGACACCACCAGAUUUGGGCACAAAAAAGAACACACGUACAAGAGAUCUUUGAGGAACAAAAUAAGAAGAAGGAGAAAAUUGGAAGAUGAACAGAAAAAACAAGGAAAAUAUCAAGAAGCGGAAAGGAGAAUACAAAAAUUAUACCUUAGCUGAAUGGAGGAAAUGGAUCGAUGCAUUAGAGCUUGAAAAACUGGCUAGCAAAAGGAUGAAGAAGCUCUGAAUCUUCUAAUUUCAAUUUGGAAACAUACUAUACUUUUGUUUCUCUUGUGUUUUUUACUUUAAUUUAACUCGAUGUACAUACCUUUUUGUUUUGUUUUGUUUUGACUAUUUCAUCAACAUGAGUAUAAUCAUUAGUAUUAAUUCUAAAUCUAGGAGGUGGCAAAUUUUUAGAAUUAGAACUACUUCCUCCUCCCCUAUUAUUUUUUCUUUUCGACAUUGGUCUUUUACCACUAUAUUUUUCAAAAUUCAUGUUCAAGUUUAAAAUAAUUAAUAUUAUGAAAAACAAGCAAAGAUAAUAUAACAAAAAAAUAAAAUAACUUAAUUAAUAAACAAAUAAAAAUUAAAGUUGGAACGAAUGUACCGAACGUCUACGUAAAAGUAGACGUAUAACCAAAGCCGGAAUUGAGAGAUGCCAAUUGAAGCUUCCGAUUUACUUCAAAUAAAUCUCCGAAAUUCGAACUCCAAGUCAAUAUCACAAAAUAAUAAUUAUGAAUUUAUGAGAGAUUGAAAAUUAAGAGAUUUUAUAAGAUAGUUUGUGAAUUUGUGAUUUAAAUGAAAAAAUAUGAGUAUAUUUAUAGUGUUAAGGGGUAGAGAAGGGUAGGGGCUGUUUGGAGCCGUUUUGGGCCCCAGCCCAACGGUUAAAAGGGCCCAACGGCUCCUUAAACGUUCACAUUUUUAAAAAAAAAAAAAAAAAAAAAAAAUUAAGAACCGUUGAACCGGACCGGAACCGGUUCUUACCGGACCGGAUCAAUCGGAUAAAAAUCCGGGUUCCGUUUCGGUACCGGUUUCGGUACCUAUAAGACCGGUUCAACCGGUACCGGUCUUACUGGUACCGGUCUUACCGGUACGGGAACCGGACCGGACCGGACAAAAACCGGUCUGCUUGCUAGCCUUAGUGUCAUGUGUCUUAGAUAUUUCCAUGAUUUCCUCAUUUGUGCAUGUUCAUGAAAAAGCUUGAAAUUUUUGGGAAAAAGAAAAAUAAUAAGUUAGUUGAUUGAUUUCUUCAUGUUUAUAUGCAUUUGAAUAUGAGUUGCAUAUAGACCUUAUGAAAUGAUGUUUUGAAUAUGUUUUGGCUUGGAGUUCAUUUUCCUCCUCGGAUAUGUGCAUUCAUGUUGGGCUGUCUCAAUGGUGCAAAGAAUAAAACAUAUUACAAUUAAGCAAAACUCCCGAUGCAUAAUGCAUUGCACCACAUCAAGUGAUGUGGUGCAAUGAAAAGUGUUUCACCUCGAAAAAAAAGAAUAGUGGAAAGGUCUAAGAAAGGGUUCAAGGACGGUGGAAGAGUCCAGAGUCGGUGAACUCAUCCUUGAACCCAAGCCUUGUGAAAAAUAUUCUUAGGCAAGGAUCUAAGGAAGAGUUCAAGAAAGAUGGAAGAGUCCCCGUUCAGUGAACCCAUCCUUGUGAAAAAUAUUCUAAGGCAACGGACGGUCUAAGGAAGGGUUCAAAGUAGGUGAAAGAGUCCAUGGUUAGUGAACCCAAGCCUUGUGAAAAAUAUUCUAAGGCAAGGGUCUAAGGAGGGUUAAAGGACGGUGGAAGAGUCCACGGUCAAUGAACCCAUCCUUAAACAAAAGCCUUGUGAAAAAUAUUCUAUGGCAAGGGUCUAAGGAAGGGUUCAAGGAAGGUGGAAGAGUCCACGGUCAGUGAACCCAUCCUUGAACCCAAGCCUAGUAAAAAAAUUAUUCUAAGGCAAUGAUUCACGGACAGGUUCAAGAACAGUAGAAUAGUCCACGGAUGGUAGACCUAUCCGUGGAGAUUGACUUAGAAAAAUAAAACUCUCUAAUUAUUUUUUUCAAGGGUAUAUGGGUCUUUUCCUAUUCAUCUAAUACCUAAACUAGGUCGUUUUAAUCCUAAUCCUAGACCCUAUAUAAGCCUUUUAAGCCUAAAAUUUAAACAUUCUAAAUCACUCUUUAAAUUUCCCCAAAUCUCUCCAAAUUAUUUCCUCAAAUAUUUCUCUCUCUAAGAGAAGAAGAAGUCAAGGUAGGGUUUUCAAGACCAAGUCUCAUAAUCCUCCAUUGAUUGCAAGUUUUUGGCAUCAAGGUAUGAUAGUUUUUUAUCCAUGGAUUCUUUCAAUUCAUGGAGUUCCCAAUUUUCCUAUUUUCAAAGUUAGAAAUCCUCAAUUGAGUUAAGGUUUUCUUCAAUUGUCAGGGGUUUUCUUCAAUGCUGAUUUAAAUGAUUGAAUUAUGAUCUAUUAUGCAUGAAUUGAUGAAAUACUAUGAUUCUUAUGAUGAUUCCCCAUGAACCCAUGUAACUCCCAUGUUUUUCAACUAUGAUGAUAUGAUGUGGGUCUUGAACGAUGAAAGGUGAAUUAUGGAAUUAUGCAUGUUCUUAUGGAAUUUAUGAGACAUGAAGUAGAUUGCUUUGAGAGUUAAAGCAUAUAUGUUGUUGUUGUGGUUAAUUAUUGUGAAAGGAUUGCUCACAUAACUAACUCAUGCAAGAAUGUGAAAGGUUUUUUCACAUUAAGGAUUCUAAGGUUGAAAGGUCUUCUCACCUAAAAUGAAUCAAAGAUAAGGAGUUAUUCUAAUGAAACCUAGCUUGGAUUGGUUACUUCAUUGUACCUUUCCAUGGAUGACAUAUGAAUUAGCUUGGAUUGGUAAGAUGACUUGCCCUUCCAUGGAUAAUAAAGACAAGUUAAGAAAAUGACUAUUCCGUGGGAGUUACGCUUAGCACCGAGAGGAUAUUGAGAUGGAAGCUCUCCCAUUAGUAAAGGUCGGGCAUCUAGAAGCAAUCUCUUUAUUCCAUACCUAUGUGCCCCCAUAGGAUAAUUGUCUUAGAUAGAUAUUAGCUAGUGGAUCCACAUAAGCUAGAAGUACAUGGUCUUACCUUGGCAAGUAGGACACCCCUUUUUGGUGUGGGGUAGACACCAGAUUCCGUGUUGAUCACAUGAUCUUAUAUGUCGGUUAAAGGUAAAUCUCCCACAAUAAUGAACUAAGGUUACGUCAAGAAGUAUCUCACAUGUGACUUAAGAUGAUGUCUAUUUGCAUUGAUCAUGUUUUAUGACUUAUGGUUUCUAUCUCUCAAGAUUUAUGUUUUAGCUUGAUCAUUGCUUACUCAUGAAAAUGUCCCUCUUUAGCAUAUUUUAAAUGUUUUAUGCAUAACUAUCAUACUUGGUAUAUUGUUUUGUACUAACGCAAACUCUUGCCAACAUUUUCCCAAAUGUAGGGUCCGACAGUCAGGGUUCUCAGUUUCGUGGUUAGAGGUUUAUUUGAGAGAUUUCGAGCUUUGGUGAGUCCUCAUGCUUCGAGGACAGAUUUUCAUUGUUUCAGUUUUGUUUCUUACUUUCAGUUUUGGACAUGAUGUAUGGGCUAGGCCCAAUUUCAUUCUUAUGUACUAAAUGGCUAAGGGUAUCUCCAACUCUAAUAUCUAUUUUUACUCUCCAAAUAUUGAGUUCUCUAUUUUAUGAGAUAACCAACUCCAACCCAAUUCUCAAUUUUACUCUCUAAAAAAGAAUCUUUUUUUUCUCUCCUCAAUAUUAUAUUAUUAUUUCUAUUUCAUUCUAAUUUUCUUAUUUCAUAAUAUACAUCCUUUAUUUCUUUUUCAAAUAAUCACUUUAUAUAAUUUUCAUGUAAUAUAAAAAUUUACUUUUUCAAAUUUUUACUUCAUAUAAAAUUAUAUUUUUUCCUCAAAUUCUAAAAAACAUAAAUUUCAAGCUAAUAUUAUAUAAUAUACAAAUUAAUGGACAAUUCAAAUAAAAUUGAAAUUAUUAAUGAAAUAUAAUUACAUAAAUACUCUACUUUUAAGAUUAUUAUAUUGCCCCCAUAAAUGUUCUAUUAGUGCAAUACGAAGUUCAAAAUGAACAUUUUUACCCUUAAUUAUUUUAUGUCUAGCUAAAGAUUGUUCAAAUUCGAGAUUUUCAUGCAACAAGAACAACUACGAAUAAUUGAAAAAAGAAAUCAACAAGCACAACUGCAAUCACAACUACACUAAUUAUGUGGAUCAUACACUAAUAUUUUCCGAAUAUUCUAAAAUCUGAAAACGACCUACCAGAUUACUAAAUUAAUGUUGUGAUAAAAUUAUUAUGUUAUGCAUUGUUAUCUUUGAUUUAAAUUAUUAUGUUAUGUAUUGUUAUCUUGUAUUUAAAUUAUUAUGUUAUGUAUUGUAUUUUUAAAUUAAAAUUUUCAUCUUAUCAUUUUAAUUUUGUGCAUUCUUCAUAGUGAAAAUUAAUGAUGAUAUCAAAUAAUAUUAAAGUGACGAAAAUUUUAAAAAAUUGAAACAUUACUAAUUCAGGAUGAAAGUAGUAUAUAUUAAAUAAUAUAUUUUUUAAAUUGUUGUAUUACAUUUAAAAUGGAUUACUAAUAUUAGAGAUAUAAUUAAUGGCCUUAUAUGAAAAAUAAUAUGUUAAUUACAAAAUAAUAGAAAUAAUUAUAAAAUAAUGAAAAAGUGAAAUAGAGAGGUGAAUAGUAGUUCUCCCAAUUCACCACUCUAUAAAUGGAGAAUAGAGGGUCAUUUAGAGAAUGGUUGGAGAGCCCAUUCUCUAUUUUACUCUCCAAAUGUAGAGAAUGGAGGGUAAAAUAGAGGUGGGUUGGAGAUGGUCUAAUAAGAUAAGUGUUUAGACUUCCGCUUUACUUUUAUAAAACUCUUGAACUUGAAAUGUUGUUCUUUACCUCUCUUCAUUCUAUGCCUUAUGUUAUGAAUGCUAAGUGGCUUGUAUGGGGACUUUCGGGGUCCUAUAUGCCAUGUUACGUCUAGGGGGUACUUUGGGUCGUGACAAAAGAUAUCUCAACUAGUGCUAUUCGUGGAUAUAAUAUAAUUAUAAUGUCUUAGUUCCUUGACCAAUUCCUCACAUUUAUGGCAUAGUGCUAUUCAUGGAUAUAAUAAUUGAAUAUCCUUAAAAGUAACCAGGAUGGGAUAAAUCAUUGGGUUCUAACAGAUUGUUAGAAUGAGAACUUCUAAUAAAAAUAGGCUGCACCUCCAAUAAUUAUGCACAACAAAAUGAUGUCAAUACAGAAGUUUCAGCUAGAUCUCAGUUGAAAAGGGAAAAGACUUGUUAAAUCUGGUAACAUCAAAAGAUAGAAGUACAAUCCUGCAAACUGCCUGAACUUACAGAGAAUUGCAUAAUAUAGAGGAAGCUCAAUUUACCUGGUUAAUCAUGUCCUUAAGCCUAACAUUCGUAUUCUUAAGGUCAGAUGUAGCCUUGUCGAUCUGUCCACAAAUUAAAGCAAAUUAGCACAAGUUUUGAACUCUUUCCUUUAAACUGACUAAGUAAUUACAAUAAGAUUUUAUGACCUUAGACUCAAUCUUAUCCAUCAGAGGACUUGCCUAUCAAACUCCUUCAUAGAUUAGAUAAUCAUUAAUAUCCACAAUAUAGGAGCAAAACAGACCACACAAAAAACCCCAGACCUCAUUCAUAUCACUGACCAUAUUUUUCAAAGUAUCAAUACUUUUUUAUAUGACCUGCAAACCUUGAUCCUAUGAGAAGUGGGAACAAAACCAUACAUCGGUAUUUAGGAACCAACAAGCCAUCAAUAAGAUGUAAUAAAAGGCAAAAAACUUAAGAUGAAUCAUGCACAAGACCUUAAUGAAAUAUUCCAAGAAAAUACAUGCAUGUUACAUUUUGCAAAAUUCAUAGUCUUGUUGGAAUUGACUUGAUUCUUCAGUUUGUUGAAAGUAAUCAUCAUCAAAUUGUCCAUUUUGUAUCCAUUCCAAAUAUAGAAAGAAAUGAUAAACAUAUCAUCGGGAUAAAGGAAUUGUAUAACAUUGAAGCGGAUAAAUGAUUAGCGUGGAGUGGAAAAACCUUUGGAACGAAUGCAACUUUAUACCCUAAAUCAAAUUUAAUUUCUGCACGAGAACCUGAACCUCCCCAUCCACCAGAUUGUUUGGGUGUAGCUGCUGCACCGUCUGAAAUUGCAGUUAUCCUAUUGGGCAGUGCAAGUACCAAAUCAUUACAUACAACAAAUUCUUUGCUUGAAAGCCCUUUAACCAGCAAGAGGAAGUAUUGGUAGUUGACAAAACAAACCCACUGAAAUUAGGUUAUUUCUCGUGAAGCACGGGCAAACACUGGAGGAAAACAGUCCUAAAGAAAUCCAAAUAAUAUAAUAACGGAGAAAGGAGUGUAUGAGAGCCAGUGACAAGAACCAACUGCACAGACUAAGCUCUUAAGAACAUUAUACUUCUAUAGCUAUUUGUCAUAUUAAAUAGAGAAGGCUUGCUUCCAUCACUACAGAGUGGACGAUGAUUUGAGGUCAAAUACUAUCAUCCCUAGUGAGCUCAAUAACCUGCUCAUACUAAUUUCUACAACACGUGUUCAUGAAAAAUUGAGAUCUACCAACUAUCACGCCUUUUGCAUCCUCAUCUCCAGGCGCAGCCGCAAGAACUUCAAAUAAAAAUCAUCAAAUGCUUUACAUUGGAAUCUAUUGUAAAUUAUUUUAUUAUAAGUAUAUUUACAUCCAAGUAUACACAAUGUCAUUUCAUAUGCUUCCUUAUGUUUUCCCCAACAUGAAUUGCACCGAUGAUACUAUAAAGUAGACAUGCAUACAUACAUAAACCGGAAAACAUACAACCAUCACAUAUCUCAAAUCAAGCCUCUUGAAAACUCUAAAGAACUCGAGUUUUCCCCUUUCGAAGUAUCUUGACUUAAUUUUGGUCUUAAACAACAAAUAAAUGCAAAAAUUAAUUUAAAAAAUGGCCAAAUAAUACCCAGAUUAUUACCAAAUCCUAACCCCACGCCAAUUCAUGACCAUCCCCACCCCCUAACUUAAGGCAUUUUAGACCAUGAAAUCAAGUCAAGACCCUGUACCAAGAAUAAUAUUCUAGAUUCUAAGGUUUAAUAAUCAAAUUACAAUAUUGGCAAGUAACAAACUUACCAUUACUAACGAAUUUCGUGGAAAAAUGAAUACAAAAAGCCCUAAAUCGUGCCUCUCAAUCCUUAGAACAAUAAUGCAGUAAAUUGGAGGUUUUGAGAUUUUUUCUGCAUAAAUUCUCAACUUACCUCGCUUUAGCGGCCCUGCUAUAGUAUUCUGAGCACCGCUAUGGCGCUUGCAUAUUGAUACAAUGCUUAGAUGAUUAGAAAUGUUAUAAAGUAGUUGUUAUUGUUCAUUAGUCACCAAAACAAAUAUUUAUUGUUCACUUUUGUUAGAGUUUGUUAGAGCAGUUAUUCUGUUAGCUUGUAGCUUUAGCUUCCGAUUCAGUUCUAUAAAUAGAGAUAUAAUACAAUUGUAAUUCAUUGAAUGAUACAUGAUAAUUCUUCUCUUCUCUAUUUUAUUACGUUCUUCUUAGCUUCUAUCUCGGAAUUGCCCUGAUAUAGCUAUCUUCUUCUUCGAGGUUCAUCCUCCUAGUUGAUAUUAUCCUUUCGAUUACUGGUAAUUGGAUCACAUAUGGUUGCUAUAGCGGACGCCUCCCACUCUAACGGACUAUGCAAAUUACAGACUCAAAAAUACCUGAAAAACUCAUUUUUCACAACAUAUUUCUCUUCCCUUUGAUAUCUUGAACUAUCUCCUUCACACCAAACUAGAUUUCGGGAGUUUUACUCACCCAAAUUUGAUUCCGUGAAACCCUAUGGGUUCAUUAAUGUCUUGGCUACAAGAAAAUAUCAACCAAGCCUAAACAUUACACCCCACCCAUUCUCGGAUGGUCGUAGACUGCACAUAGCCUAGAUUUUGUUUGAGGCUAUCCAAGCCUAAAAAUUUAAAGUCAGUGCCCACAAAGUUUUCUGUCCCCGAUAUCUCUCACCAUUGGCCUAUUCAUAACGACCGGGACGGAUCAUUACAUAUAUGAAAAUGGGCUUCUCUGUGAUUUUGGACCUUAUGAUAACAAGUUGGGAGAAGUUCCUAAAUGGACCUUAUAAGGGAUGGUCUUGAUAUUUUAUCCCUUAGAAAAAAGUCUUACAAAAAUAAUCUUCAUUUAUUUAAAAAAAAACUAAUUGAGAAAAAUUGCCCUCAAAAGUUAUAAAUAGCUGAUUGUUUAGUGUCAUCCAAAACAAUAACAAACUAAAAAAACAUAAUAUUAUAGCAUCAUAUGUGUUCUUAUUAAAUAAAUGGAGCUACAAGUAUCUUGUUUUAUUCAUUUAUGGACCUAAAAACUAUAUUUUCUUAUUUAUUUUUUAUCUUUUUUUGAAAUUAAUUUACUCCAAGACUCAAUUAUCAUAGUUCAAGAUAGUAUUUUAGCACUUACGAUUUUUCUGUACGGAUAUAAAAUUUUCAUUGAAAUGUUCUAUUUUAUUUUAUUUUAAAUCUAAAAUAGAUUUGGUAUGAUUUGGUUCGGUCAGUACAAUCAAUUUUUUUUAGAAUCACUCAAAACUUAGCUUAGGGCUUUCAUGCAAUAAAUUAUGUCGUAUUGGCAAUAUUUCACACUACCUUGUUAUGCCUUAACUAGUUCUCAUAAUAGUCCCAAUUAGAUAGCAUAUUUUCGGAUGCUUCUCUACUUACAAAGUAUAACCAAUGUUAUUGUCAUGACUCAACCUACACUAGUGACAUUUUCUUGUAAUAUGUUGUCAUCUAUUGUUGUUGAUCAUAUAUUUUAUUAAAUUUGUACUUCAGCGUUGUCAUAUUCCACAGAAUGACAAUAGCUCAGCGGAGAAACAUGGGAUACUAGAACUAGCCAGAACAUCAUGUACAAUUUAUUGCUUUGCUGUUUUCUUCUAAAUAAUUAAAUCCUUUAAGCUAAAUCAUAAAUCUCUUUAUCUUCUCAAUUCCAAUCUUGUGGAAUAUGUUAUGGUUAUGUUUGAAUUGCUUUCACCAUCAUGUGUGCUUGUUAAACAUAUUGACGUCUAUUUUUCCUUGUUGUUUGGGGCAUUUUCAUACCUAUUACAAGUUUCUUGCGAUGACACCCAAUCACUUAUCUAUUAAGAUUACAUUUGACAUUAUUUUUGUUAAGGAGGUCAUAUUUUUACGUUAUUUAACACAUUGAUUUUUUGUCUAUUCAAUGUUUCCUUAGAGCCUCAACCAACUCCAUUCGCAACAACAACAACAAGAAAGGUGACAACAUUGUUAUUCAUGGGAUGACAUCAUAGUAACAAGUGAUGAUUCAGAGGAGAUACAAAAUUUGAAAAAAGUGUUAACUCAAGGAAUUUGACAUCAAAGUACUUGGUAAAUUAAAGUAUUUUUUGGGAAUCGAAGUGGCAAACUCAAAACAAAGAAUCUUUAUUUCCCAAACAAACAUGUGCUUGAUUUGCCGAAAGAAACAAGAAAAUUAGGGUAUAAACCAGUGGCUACACCAAUAUCAUAGAUUGUGCAAUGCUCUAAAAUAUUAUGUGGUAGAUAAAGGCUUGUAGGGAAAUUGAUUUACUUGUCCAAUACAAGGCCAGACAUUGCAUUUGCUGCAAGCGUUGUUAGCCUAUUUAUGCAUGAUCCUAGAGAAAUACAUCUACAUCAGGUGGGGAAGAGUGUCAUGACCCACCACCUCAUCACAUAACAUAACCGCCACGUGGCAUAAAGUUUUCCAUUUGGAAGCAUAAGUAUGCUAGCAUUUAUGAGAAGAUUCUAGAACCAUGAAGAACUUCUUGGAAAGACUCUAGAAUAGCUAAGAAGAAUUCUUGAAAAGCCUUAGAAUAGUCUACGCAUGUAGAGAAUUCUAGAAAAAGGGUUUAUUUGUAAAUAUGUAGGGUCUUAUAUAACAAUUAUUAUUUACACUUUAGCCCCUAAGUUAGUAGUUUAAAUAGAGGGGCAUCCAUAGGUAAAUCAACCAAGCAAAAGCAAGCAAUCUUCCAAAGCAAUACAAAAGACUUCUCAUAAACUCUCUUGUCUUUUUCUUCAUUCUCUUAGCGAUUUAGUAAUAAAAAGCUUACUUGAGCGUGGAAGAUCAUGAAAGAUUCAUGAACGAGUUGUCUAGUGCCACACGGUGUGCUUCGUAGAAGUCUAAGGCCGUGACAAAGUGGUAUCAAAGCAAAAGUUGAUACUAAUGGGAAUGGAAAAUGAGGAGACAUUAACGCUGCUAGCACCGACAACGUCAGGCAGGAUGGUGGAUGAAGCACCAAAAAGGGAGGAAGAAUCUUAAGAAGAAUGAGGAAUUGUUGUGUGAACCUACACGAAGCGAAGCAUUAACAUCCCACUCACCUUCGGCCACUGAGGCAAGUGAUAAUGAACGUGGGGAACAACCCGUAGACGUUAUGCCUAGAAUUGAGUGGGUUGUGGGGUUGACACGGCAAGGUAAGUUGUGGUGAUUUUAGACAGACGCUUCAACGGGAUCGAUUACAAGUUCAAGACUCUUGAGGGCUUCACCUUUGACGAAAAUGAAAACAUCUGCAAAGAGUUGGAGGCACAUAGGCGUGAGGAAUAUGAGAUGAAAAAAUCAUCUCUUCCUUGGAUGUCGGCUCAUGGAUGCAUUAAGCACAAUUAAAACCAUGAAGGCCGAGAUGAAAGCACUCAAAGUGGGCAUUGAAGUUGGAGGACCCUCGUCGUUCGACAAAUAUAGGGAAGCCAAGGUUGAGGCUCCCAAGCCACCUCAAAGGCGCCCGUGAUGCGCAAGAGGUGGAGAAUUUCCUAUGGCAUUUGGAGAACUAUUUCAAGUGCAAUAGGGUGAAGAGCGAUGAGAACAAGAUCAACAUUGUCGCGUUGUACCUCUCGGAGAUGUCCAUGUUGUGGUGGAGGCGUAUAAAGUCCGAGAUACGGAAAGGGGCUUUGCACCAUCAACACUUAGGAGCAAUUCCAAUCCCAACAACGUCAUCUAUGAGGCAAAGCGCAAGUUCAGGGAGUUGAAGCAAACAAACAACAUACAAGCAUAUGUGAAGGAGUUCACCACCCUCACGCUUCAGAUUCCCAACCUCACGGAUAAAGAUAUGUUGUUCCACUUCACGGAUGGGUUGCGAAGUUGUUGGGCCAAGAUGGAGUUAGAGCACCAAUAGGUUAGGACUAUUGAUGAAAGUCAUCACACAGGCCAAAGCUUUGACAAACUCUAAGCAUGACAGAGGAAAAUGAGCAGAGAAGAGAGGUAGUCAUGACCAAGGUAGAGGAGAUCAUGGAAAAAGCAAAGAGCAACAACUACAUCCCAAGAAUCAUGACACCUAUAAGUCUGAUGGCAAAAAGUUUGGACGCUAGAGUGAUGUUACAGGAAAACACACAGACUACAAAGGGAAACACGUGCUACAUAUGUGGUGGGUUGCAUGGAUAUGCGAAACGCCCUGAACUGAAGAAUCUUAGUGCCAUAUUACAAGAAUGGAAGGAGAAAGUUACACAAGAACCUAGGCAAGGUUUGGGCACGACGCAGUUGGGCCUGAUUGGUCUAUGUGGAGCUAUCACAAAGUAAUCAGAGAAUCCAAAAGAAUAUGGCGCACAAUAUGUAGACAUCACGAUCAAUGGAAGACCGGCUCGUGCUAAGGUCAACACAGGUGCAGAGGCCAACAUCAUUACCAAGAGCCAAGCAAUAAAGUUGAGGUUGAGUUACAAUCCAAGUAACACUCACCUCAAGACAGUCAAUGCUCCACUGACUCCCUUGUGCUGAGUCAUGUAAGAAUUAUUAUUAAUUAUUUCAUACUUAUGGCCCAAGUUUACUUGUAACCCAAGUAAUACCAUAAAUAAUAUUUAAUAAGGAAUAGAUAUCGUCCGUACAUUGGUUACUUGAUGGACGUACCAGAUUAAGUCAUAACCUCUAUAAAUUGGUCCUCCCUCCACCCUAUCACAUAUUCUCUACAACAAUUCCAUCGCUGACGGUUGUGGUAACAUAAAGUUAGGGCAAAGGGCUAGAAACCAAUUUACGACUAAUGCUUCCGCUUUUCUCUCUAGUAAUGUCUUCCGCAUCAGGUCUGUUCCUCUACCGAUCUCCAUGUAAGAUUAUCGUGUUCAAGAUCCUGAUAUUAUGUAUUAAAGUAUGUAAUCUUACAUGUGGCAUCAGAGCCUCGAUUGUUUGAAUGGAUAAUCUUACAUAUAUAUGAAAAUAAUUGUCAUGUUAUGGACAUCGCACUCUAAACAAAUUCAUGUGGAUGACGCAUCAUGCAAUAAUUACAUGCAGGGGCGGAGCUACCCUUGCCCGAGGGGUGUCAAGCGACACCCCUUCAUCGGAAAAUUACGUUGUAUAGGUAAGUCAAAUUCUGUUUUUAUACCUAUAUAUAUUAGAAUUGACACUCCUGAACCAAGUUGAAGUGUUGGUUCAGCGGUUCAGGGGCUACAAAGUUCCGCCUUGUCAUUGACCUAGGCGUUGGGAGUUCGAACCUUGCUAAAGUCUUUUUUUUUAAAGGCUUUCAGCGUUUUUUUUUACUUUUUAGACAGCUGUAACUUUUUUGUCUUUUAGUUUUUAGAUAGCUAAACGUUUUUUUCCUCCAAUUUUUAAACCAUUGACUUAAAUUAAGUUUACUUUAAUAUUUUAUUUUUUAAAAGAAAUAAAAUACACUUUAGGGAUUUAGAGUCUAGGGAUUAAACAAAUCCCCAAUUCCAAAAUCAAAAGUUUUGAAGAGGAAGAGUCCAAAACAAUCGUCUUUGUUCGCUGACUGCGUCGUCGUGCAGUCGUCUUCAGAUUUCAAUCGCCAUUGCUCGGCGUCAAUCUCCGUCCUGGUCAUGGCAACGGUAAGUUCCUACUUUCUUACACCUUGUAUUUAUUUUCCUUGUCCAAUUUGUUGAUGCCAGCCAUCAUAAUGCUAUAUUUAUAUUUACUUGUUUUGUUUAGGAUUGAUUUAUCGUUUGCAAUUAUAUAUUUUUCUCAUGAAAUUUUUGUUUUACAAUUUAGUCUCAAAAAUCAGUGAAGAACUAUUUUUUCCAAGUACCAAAAUCAAAUUUGGCUUCUAAUAGUCAACUUACACGGGAAGAAAAUGCCAACCAAUCAGAAGUACCACUCCAUUCUUCUCAAAGACAAGAAAUUGAUUUAAAUUCUUUAGAAUUUGAUCCAGCGAAAAGGACUCCAAUCUUGAACUAUCAUCCAAAUGAUCGUGAUGUAAUUAGGAGAGCAUACCUCCGACAAGGUCCUUGUCAACCUGAGAAUCAUAUUUUUCCUCAAACAGAUUUUUAUGGAGAUAUGCGUCGUUUUAAUCCUGAAUGGUUUAAAGAGUAUCAUGAUUGGUUGGAAUAUAGUGUAACUAACGAUGCAACAUAUUGUUUGAAUUGUUAUUUGUUUAAAGAUGAUAGCAUUCAUCAAGGUGGAGGUGAAGUAUUUUCUACUGUAGGGUUUAAGAGUUGGAAUAAGAAGAAAAGUUUUAAGCAACAUAUUGGUGGGCCGAAUAGCACUCAUAAUCAGGCAAAAAAGAAAAGUGAAGAUCUAAUGCGACAACAACAGUCUAUUAUAUCUGCAUUUGAGAGACAAUCUGAUCAAGUUAAGCAUGAGUAUUGGCUUCGCUUGUCUGCCUCAAUUGAUGUAGUAAGACUUCUUUUGAAUCAAGGAUUUGCAUUUCGGGGUCAUGAUGAAUCUAAAUCAUCACUUAAUAGAGGUAAUUUUCUUGAAAUUCUCUCAUGGUAUGCGAAACAUUGUGAUAAAAUUUAUGAUUAUGUAUUGGAACGUGCUCCUCAGAAUGACCAAAUGACUUCUCCAAUGAUUCAAAAAGAUAUUGUCACUGCAUGUAAGAUAGAAACCAUCAAAGCUAUUAUCCAGGAAUUAAAUGGUGACUAUUUUUCUUUAUUGGUUGAUGAAUCUUUUGAUGUGUCAUGUAAGGAGCAAAUGGCUAUCGUUUUACGAUAUGUUGAUCGAAUGGGAUUUGUGGUGGAGCGAUUGAUUGAUAUUGUACAUGUUCAAGAUACUAGUGCUUUAUCUUUAAAGGGGGCAAUUGUCAAUGUACUUGCUCAACAUUCAUUGAGUCUAUCCUAUGUGCGCGGACAAUGUUAUGAUGGGGCAAGUAAUAUGCAAGGCGAGAUGAAUGGCCUUAAAAUGUUGAUUAGGCAAGAAAGUAUCUCAGCUCACUCUAUUCAUUGUUUUGCUCAUCAACUUCAAUUAACUCUUGUUGCAGUUUCUAAAAAAUGUAUUCAAGUGGGAGAACUUGUAUUAUUGGUUUCAAAUGUUUUGAAUGUGUUGGGAGCUUCAUUUAAGCGUAUGGAUAAAUUUUGAGAUUCUAAAAAAAAAGAAUUCAAGAAGCAUUAGAUAUGGGUGAACUUACAACCGGUACCGGCUUGCAUCAAGAACUUGGUCUUAUAAGAGCCGGUGAUACUCGUUGGGGAUCUCACUACAAAUCUUUUAGCAAUUUUAUUCUUAUGUUUGGAUCUAUUGUUGAUGUUCUUGAUGCACUUGUUGUUGAUGCAUAUUCUACCGAUGAAAGAGCUAAGGCAACAUGAUAUCUCGAAGUUUGUCAAACAUUUAAGAUUGCUUUUAUGUUGCAUUUGAUGAGAGAUAUCUUAGGAAUCACAGAUGAGCUCAAUAAAUCCUUGCAAAAGAAAGAACAAGAUAUUGCAAAUGCUAUGCUACUGGUUGAAGUAGCAAAGAGAAGGUUGCAAAUGCUAAGAGAUGAUGGAUGGGAUGCACUUAUUAAUAAGGUAUCCACAUUUUGUAUCAAGUAUAACAUUUUGUUACCUAAUUUUGAUGAGCCAUAUGUUAAUUCUGGAAGAUCAAGGCGUAAACCUUCCGAUUAUACGGUCUUACAUCAUUAUCAUGUUGAAGUAUUUUGUAAGAUUAUUGAUUGGCAGCUUCAAGAACUCAAUGAUCGUUUCAAUGAGGUGACUACUGAUUUGCUUCAUGGAGUUGCUUGUUUGAAUCCAGUUGACUCAUUUUCUAGUUUUAACAUCAGAAAAAUAAUGAGAAUGGCUAAGUUAUAUCCUGAUGACUUUGAUGAGUUUAGUAUGAAUGCUCUUGAGAAUCAACUUGCCACUUACAUUAUUGAUGUUCGUGAUAUGGAUGAAAGGUUCUCCAAUCUUAAUGGACUUUGUGAUCUCUCAAGAAAAUUAGUUGAGACAAAGAAGAACCUAAACUUUCCUCUUGUAUUCCGCUUAGUAAAAUUUGCUUUGCUUUUACCAGUUGCCACUGCAUCCGUUGAAAGAGCUUUUUCGGCAAUGAAGUUUAUUAAAAAUGCCUUGCGGAAUCGGAUGAAUGAUGAGCUUUUGAGCGGUUGUCUAGUUCCUUAUGUAGAAAAAGAUGUAUUUAUUAAUAUUUCUAAUGAUACUAUUGUAAAAACAUUUCAAGAGAUGAAACCGCGUCGAGUACGGUUGUAAUAAUGUAAUUGUGUUUUGCUUUUAUUAGUAAAAUUUAUUUUGUUGAAUUUUUUGUGUGCAUACUACUUUAUAUUUUGACACCCCUCAAUUUAAAUCCUGGCUCCGCCACUGAUUACAUGCACAAUUUACUUCUACCUACUAAUAAAAAUAAUAAUCUAAAGAGUUAAAUUUCUGGUAGUCGUCAGAACUAGUGUGAGGAUUUGCGCUUUCCAGUCAUGAAAUCCUUUGGAAUCAUUUUUUAAAGAAAAUCGUGGAUUACUUAUAGGAAAAAGGAAAUUGAGAUACAUUAAUGUUGAUGUGGGUGUUGUUUGAUGUGAUUAAAAAUGUUUCCUGAGAAAAAACAUAUUACCUUCAAAUUUCAAAUAUAAUUGUUAAGUCUUUCUGAUGUUGAAUAUUUUCGGUUUAGUUGAAGCUGGCUAAAAGAGAAAUCAUAUAUUUGCUAACGUAAAUUAAUACUACAAAAGAAUCCCUAGCUAUUUGAUUGGCAAUUGUAAUAUCAAGUAUUUGUAGUGUUUGUUUGACUAAACAAUAAAUAAUAUGUGUGUACUUAGUGCAAAAUGGUUUGUUAGUCACCAAAGUGGUCAAACUAGAGAAAUUAACGUCUACACAUAUAAUAUUAUGAUCAAUUGAUGCAUGUGUUAUGUUUCUAUAGUUUGUUAGUCACCAAAGUGGCCAAACUAAAAUGUAUAAAAUUAUUCACAUGCACAAAAAUUUUAUAUUAUGUGUGCAUUUGUAUUCAUAUAGUUUGUUAGUCACCAAAGUGGUCAAACUAGAGAAAUUAACGUCUACACAUAAUAUUUAUGAUCACUUGAUGCAUUUAUGUUUCUAUAGUUUGUUAGUUACCAAAGUGGUCAAACUAAAAUGUAUAAAAUUAUUCACAUGCACAGAAAAUUAUGAUAGUAUGUGUGCAUUUGUAUUCAUAUAGUUUGUUAGUUCACCAAAAGUGGUCAAACUAGUAUGGUUAAGAAAAUAUGCAUUCAUAAAAUUGUCAUUUAUCUAUGAAGGUUAAUUAAAUGCCUAUAUUGAAAAAUAAAUAGAUAAAUUGACUUUCACUAUUGCUAGAACUUAAGAUUUUACCCAAAGGUGAAUCUAUCAUUCUACGAAUAGUGAAAAUUAUGAGGUAAAUUAAUAUUUUUUAGUCAAACAUAUAUUGUAUAUCCAAAGAUGUCGUAUAUAUUUGAUUAAAAAUAUUCAAUCACCUAUUAAAGAUAAAAAUGGCAUUUAAAUUAUGAUAAUCUGUCGUAGUAUUUACCCAAAGGAGAAUUACGAUAUAUUUUUAUCACUUUACUAAAUUCACAUUAUUUUUUAUUUUGUGAGCACGUAUAUCUAUUUUGCAAUUAUUCCUCUUUAUUCGCAUGCUUUGUCUGUUACUGUGUUCAAUGGAAUGAACUUCUCUAAAUGGCAUGAACAAGUCCAGUUCCACUUAGGUGUGAUCGAUCUUGACUUGGCUCUGCUGAAUGACAAACCUAUUGCCAUUACUGAUAAGAGCAGCGAGGAUGAGAAGUCUUUUCAUAAAUCAUGGGAACGCUCUAACAGAUUAAGCCUUAUGUUCAUGCGAAUGACUGUUGCUAACAACAUUAAGAGUAUUAUUCCACAAACAUAAAGCUCCAGGAAAUACCUGAAGUUUGUGGAAGAACAUUUUCUUUCUGCUGAUAAGUCUCUCGCUGGUACACUAAUGGCUUAACUCACGACCAUGAAGUUUGAUGGGUCGCGCAGUAUGCAGAAUCAUAUCAUUGAGAUGACUAACAUUGCAGCAAGACUUUCAACCUUGGGGAUGAAAGUGGAUGACACCUUCUUGGUUCAGUUUAUUCUGAACUCAUUGCCUCUUGAGUAUGGACCAUUUCAAAUUAACUAUAACACUAUUAAGGAUAAGUGAGAUGUUAGUGAAUUGUCCAGUAUGCUUACUCAAGAGGAGUCAAGACUUGAGAAACAAAGAGGUCAUUCCAUUAACCUCAUGGGUCGAGGAGCUGGUAAAGGACUUAAAGUGAACGCCAACAAGUUUAAGAAAAUGAAAGCACCUGCUAAAGUUCCACAGGAUGCUCAUAAGGAACUCAAGGUUGAUGUGUGUCAUUUCUGUAAAAGGAAGGACACUAUCAGAAAGAUUGCUUGAAACGUAAAGCUUGGUUUGAAAAGAAAGGUACAUUUAGUGCUUUUGUAUGUUUUGAAUCAAAUUUAGUAGAAGUUCCUAAUAAUACUUGGUGGCUUGAUUUUGGUGCAACUAUUCAUGUAUCCACUAUGUUGCAGGGAUUCACUACGAUCCAAACUACAAAUCCAACUAAGGAUUUCUUGUUCAUGGGAAAUCGCAUGAAGGCUCAAAUUGAAGGCAUAGGGACUAAUCAAUUGAUCUUGGAGACUAGACAUCAUUACAGACUCUUUAUGUUCCUUCAGUUUCUAGGAAUUUGAUUUCUCUUUCAAGACUUGAUGUUUUGGAUUUGAUUUUAAGUUUGGACAUUGAUGUUUCAAUUUAUACAAGAAUACUUUUUUUUAUGGUUCUGGUGUUCUUAUUGAUGGUUUAUAUAGAUUGAAACUCGAUAAUAAUUUUUCUGAAUCCCUUCUUACUAUUCAUCAAAAUGUUGGAAUUAAACGAAGUUCACUAAAUGAAAGUUCUGCUUAUUUGUGGCAUAAACGUUUGGUCAUGUAUCCAAAGAAAUAUUAAAAAGAUUAGUAAAUAAUGAUAUUCUUUCGAAUCUAAAUUUUAUUGAUCUUGAUAUAUGUUUGGAUUGCGUUAAAGGAAAGCAAACCAAGCAUACCAAGAAAGGUGCCACAAGGAGCACUCAACUUCUUAAAAUUAUACACACUGAUAUUUACGGACCCUUUGAUGUUCCAUCUUUUGAUGGAGAAAAACAUUUUAACACCUUUAUCGGUGACUUUUCACGUUAUGAAUUUAUCUAUUUGUUGAAAGAAAAAAAAUCUCAUUCAGCGGACGCUCUCAAAGUGUACGUUAAUGAAGUUGAAAGGCAAUUAGAUAGGAAAGUGAAAAUCAUUAGGACAGAUAGAGGUGGUGAAUAUUAUGGAAAGUAUAACAAAUUAGAACAAUGUGCAGGUCCAUUUGCAAAAUUCCUUGAGAAUGGUGAAGUUAGUGGAAGUGUUGACCAACAAAGUGUGGAAAUUAAUGAGGUAAGGGUAAAUAUUUCAUUGCCCAUGAAUGUACCUAUUUCCGCACUAAUCAAAAAUGUUGUUCCUCUUGUUGAAGAAAUUUUUAACAAUGUUGAACAACAUUUGGGUGAAACACUUGAAGAAGGAACUAACUCACAAGUAUCAGAAGCAAAUGAACCACAAAUAGUGCCAUUAAGAAAAUCGGUCAUUUCAGAUGAUUAUGUGAUUUAUUUGCAAGAGUCAGAUUUUGACAUUGGAAUUAAUAAAGAUCCGAUUUCAUUUUCACAGGCCAUAGAAAGCAUGAGUCUCAUAAAUGGAUUGAUGCCAUGAAUGAAGAGUUAAAAUCCAUGGAAUACAACAAAAUCUGGGAUCUCGUUCAAUUACCAGAAAGUUCUAAAAGAAUCGAGUGUAGAUGGGUCUUCAAGACCAAACGCGAUUCAAAUGGUAAUAUUGAAUGAUAUAAAGCUAGACUUGUUGCCAAGGGAUACACUAAAAAAAGGAGGCAUUGAUUAUAAAAAGACCUUUUCACCGGUCUCAAAGAAAGACCCAUUAAGAAUCGUUUUGGCUUUGGUAGCUGAUUUAGAGUUACAUCAAAUGGAUUUGAAAACUGACUUUCUUAAUGGAGACCUCGAGGAGGAUGUUUAUAUGGACCAACCAGAGGGUUUCGAAAUUAAAGGAAAAAGAUCAAAUGGUGUGUAAGCUAAAGAAGGCAAUAUAUGUCUCAAACAAGUCUCACGACAAUGGUAUAUAAAGUUUAAUGAUACCAUAACAUCUUUUGGAUUUAAGGAUAUUACCGUUGAUCCAUGUAUAUACCAAAAGAUCAGUGGGAGUAAGUUUAUAUUUUUAGUCCUGUAUGUUGAUGACAUUUUACUUGCUGCUAAUGAUUUAGGCAUAAUUGCGUGAGAUGAAUGACUUUUCUCUCUAUGAACUUUGAAAUGAAAGAUAUGAGUGAGACAUCCUAUGUGAUAGGGAUAGAAAUAUUAUGUGAUAGAUCACAAGGAUUAUUGGGACUGUCUCAAAAGGGCAAUAUCGAAAGAGUUCUAGAGAGAUUUAACAUGAACAAUUGUUCAGCAGGAAUAGUUCCUAUUCAAAAAGGGACAAAUUUAAUCUCAUGCAAUGCCCAAAAAAUGAUGUAGAAUGAAAAGAAAUGGAAAUAAUUCCUUACUCUUCUAUUGUUGGAAGUUUGAUGUAUGUUCAAACUUGUACAAGACCGGAUAUUAGUUUUGCGGUCGGAAUGCUAGGAACAUAUCAAAGUAAUCCUGGAAUUGAUCACUGAAAACUGCAAAGAAAGUUUAUGGCAUGUUAUGAAGCCACAAUUCAUGCAUUAUGGCUGCGAAACUUCAUUUCAGGACUUGGGGGGUGUCGACACUAUUACCAAGCCACUGAAAAUUUAUUGUGACAAUACUGCAGCAGUAUUCUUCUCCAAGAACGAUAAGUACUCAAAAGGUGCCAAACAUAUGGAAUUAAAGUACUUUACUGUCAAGGAAGAAGUUCAGAAACAAAGAGUGUUACUUGAAAAUAUUAGAACUGAUCUCAUGAUUGCAGAUCCGUUAACAAAGGCUUACAACCUAAAGACAUUUAAAGAACAUGUUCAAAGAAUGGGUCUUGGUUGUACUUAUGAUUGAUACAUUUAUGAUGUUUUAACACUGAGCUCAAUUAUGUGUUUCUGAUAUACAUUAAUGAAUUCUUGUUUCUCAUAAUGGUGUAUACAUUAUUGUUUUGAGAUAUUACAAGAUAAGUCUCUAUGAGACAUUAUUGUGGACCGUAAUGUUAUAUGUUUUUAUAGCUUAUGAACCUAGAAUGAUAAGUUGCUAAUGUAGUAGUAUAUGGAAGGAAGUAUGUAGCUUAAAUUUUAUUUACAACUGCCAUAACUCGCAUUAGUAGGUUGUUAUAUUGAGGUAUGUAUGAUGGACAUUAUAGAAAAGAUUUAUUGUACGCGCAACUAAUGUUUAUGAAAUAUUAAUGUUAUAUGGUCAUUGGGCCAAGUGGGAGAAUGCAAGAAUUAUUAUUAAUUAUUAUUAAUUAUUUCUUACUUAUGGCCCAAGUUUACUUGUAACCCAAGUAAUACCAUAAAUAAUAUUUAAUAAGGAAUAGAUCUCGUCCGUACACUUGAUGGACGUACCAGAUUAAGUCAUAACCUCUAUAAAUUGUUCCUACCUCCACCCAUUAGGGUUAUCACAUAUUCUCUACAACAAUUCCAUCACUGACAGUUGUGGUACCAUAAAGUUAGGGCAAGGAGGUAGAAACCAAUUUACGACUAACGCUUCCGCUUUUCUCUCUGAUAAUGUCUUUCGCAUCAGGUAUGUGCCUCUAACGAUCUCCAUGUAAGAUUAUCGUAUUCAAGAUCCUGAUAUUAUGUAUUAAAGUAUUUAAUCUUACAAGUCACUCAUGGAGUAAGCAUCACAAAAGGCAAGUGUCAAGGUAAAACCAACUUUAUUGUCGCUCUGUUAGAUAUCUUUGACAUAAUUCUUGGGCAAGAGUUCUUCCAGAAAUGUCACACGAUGACCAAUCCUUACCUCCAACGACUCUUACUCAUGGAGUAAGAAGGAUCAUGUAUGGUGCCACUGAUUAAGGUACUAAAGAUAGAAGGACAAGCUCAACUAUCGGCUAUGCAGCUCAUGACGGGCCUUAAGGAAGAGCAGUGAUGCUCAAAGCCACCAUUGCAAGAGUGACUAAACAAAUUGUGCUAAAGAAUUUUUGCCACCACGUAUAGAGAAAGUACUAGAAGAGAAUAAGGAUGUAAUGUCUAAGGAGUUACACAAGGGCAUUGAUCGAGUCAAUAUUCUACUAGUCGCGCAUGUGAGAAGACAAGAUUCAACUGUUCAUACAACAACAAUGUGCCACGGUCGUCACAACAACAGGUGGGGAAGAGUGUCAUGGCCCUCCACCUCAUCACACCACAUAAGCACCACGUGGCAUAAAGUUGUCCAUUUGGAAGCAUAAGUAUGCAAGCUUUUAUGAGAAGAUUCUAGAACGAUAAAGAACUUAUUGGAAAGACUCUAGAAUAUCUACGAAGGAUUCUUGAAAAGCCUUAGAAUAUUCUACGCAUGUAGAGAAUUCUAGAGAAAAAGGUUUAUUUGUAAAUAUGUAGGGACUUAUGUAACAAUUAUUAUUUACAUUUUAGCCCCUAAAUUAGUAGUAUAAAUAGAGGGGCAUCCAUUUGUAAAUCGACCAAGCAAAAGCAAGCAAUCUUCCAAAGCAAUACAAAAGCCUUCUUAUAAACUCUCUUGUGUCUUUCUUCAUUCUCUUAGCGAUCAGGUAUAAAAAGGCUUACUCGAGCUUGCAAGAUCGUGAAAGAUUCGUGAGUGAGUUGUCAAGAGUCGCACGGUGUUCUUAGUUAAAGUCUAAGGCUGUGACACUAUGGCAUAAAAGACUAGGACACACUUCUACUUCAGUCCUUAGUAAACCGUUUUCUACUAAUGUCACUACUAUUAGAAAUAAAAUAGUAGACUGUGUAGUGUGCCCUUGUGCUAAACAGUGUAGAUUACCUUUCCAGUCUAGUAGCAUAAAAAGUAGUAGUUGUUUUGAACUAUUUCAUGUAGAUCUUUGGGGUCCCUACAAGACUGAUACAUAUGAUGGGAACAAAUAUCUCUUGACAUUUGUAGAUGAUUUUUCAAGAUAUACAUGGUUGUUUUUUUUAAAAUGGAAACCUGAUGUUUGUAUAUCCCUUCAAUACUUUAUGAAUUAUACCAAAAAUCAGUUUGGAAAAUUAGUAAAUAAUAAUUAAGACUGAUAAUGGUACUAAGUUCAUCAACACAAUAUGCGAUCAAUUGUUUAAACAAUUAGCAAUUGUUCAUCAGACAACAUGAGUUUACACUCCUCAGCAGAAUGAUAUGGCAGAAAGGAAACAUAGACAUAUUAUUGAAGUGACUAGGGCCAUUAGAUUACAAGCUAAUAUACCUACUAAAUUUUGGGGGCAUUGUGUACUGGCUGUAGCUUAUUUGAUAAGUAGGCUUCCGAAAUCAGCUUUAAAUGGUAAAUCGCCAUUUGCCAAAUUCUAUGAAAAAGGAUCCAUCUGUUACUCAUUUUGAAAGUACUAGGUUGUUUAUGCUUUGCUGAUAUGCCUGAUCAACAUGAUAAGCUAUUAUCUAGGUCUAGUAUAUCUGUCCAUAUGGGUUAUUCUGAAUUACAAAAAGGAUACAUUUUGUAUGAUUUAAUUGAUAAAGUCUUCUUUGUACUAUUCAAUGAAACAGUGUUUCCAUUCUUCAAUGAAAAAGCUACAUCAGUUCCUGUCUUUAAAGACUGAGACUCAUUCAGUUUCGAUUACUCUACUCAAUGGUCUAGCAUUCCUGUUAGUUCACAACAACCUGGUAAAUAUACAAGCACUGAGGAAGGGUCUAGGAUAACAAAUGAUAUAACCAGAGAUCAACACAAUCAUUUGAUAGUUGAUAUGAAUGGUGAACCAUUACAGUUACCUAUACAGCCACCUCCUGAGAACAAUCAACCAGAAAGGAGAUCCACUAGAGGCAGUAAGCCACCUAUUUGGAUGAAAGAAUUUGUAUCUCUCAACAUCCAUCAGGAUUAAAGCUAUGGUCUCCAACAAUACAUGAGCUAUGAUGAAAUAUCAAACAAGUAUAGUACUUAUAUAACUUGUGAACCCAAGACUUUUGAAAAAUAUUACAAGGCAAUAGUCUAAGGAAGGGUUCAAGGACGGUAGAAGAGUCCACGGUCAGUGAACCCAUACUUGAGCCUAAGCCUAGUGAAAAAUAUUCUAAGGCAAGGGUCUAAGGAAGGGUUCAAGGAAGGUGGAAGAGCCCACGGUCAGUGAACCCAUCCUUGAACCCAAGCCCUAUCUAAAAUAUUCUAAGGCAAGGGUUUAAGGAAGGGUUCAAGGACGGUGGAAGAGUUUACGGUCAAUGAACCCAUCCUUGAACCCAAGCCUUGUGUAAAAUAUUCUAAGUCAAGGGUCUAAGGAAGGGUUCAAGGAAGGUGGAAGAGUCCACGGUCAGUGAACCCAUCCUUGAAACCAAGCCUUGCGAAAAAUAUUCUAAGGCAAGGGUCUAAGGAAGGGUUCAAGGACGGUGGAAGAGUCCACGGUUAGUGUACCCAUCCUUGACCCAAGCCUUGUGCAAGGGCAAAGGGGUCUAAGGAAGGGGUUCAAGGAAGGUGGAAGAGUCCACGGUCAGUAAACCCAUCCUUGUAAAAAAUUUAUUCUAAGGUAAUGAUUCAGGACACGUUCAAGGACGGUAGAAUGGUCCACGGACAGUAGAUCCAUCUGUGGAGAUUGAUUUAGAAAAAAAAAACUCGUUAGUUAAGCCUAAAACAAUCCUAGACCCUAUAUAAGUAUUUUAAGCCUAUUUUCAUCCAUGGAUUUCUUCCAUUCAUGGGUUCCCAAAUUCUCCUAUUUUCGAAGUUACAAAUUCCCAAUUGAGUUAGGGUUUUCUUCAAUUGCCAUGGGUUCUCUUCAAUGUUGAUUUAAAUAAUUGAAUUAUGAUCUAUUAUGCAUGAAUUGAUGAAAUACUAUGAUAUUUAUGAUGAUUCUCCACGAAACCAUGUAAAUCCCAUGUUUUCCAAUUAUGAUGAUAUGAUGUGGGUCUUGAACUAUGAAAGAUGAAUUAUGGAAUUACGCAUGUUAUUAUGGAAUGGAUGAGACAUGAAGUAGAUUGCUUUGAGAGUAAAAGCAUAUAUGUUGUUGUUGUGGUUAAUUAUUGUGAAAGGAUUGCUCACAUAACUAACUCAUGCAUGAAUGUGAAAGGUUUUCUCACAUUAAGGAUUCUAAGGUUGAAAGGUCUUCUCGCCUAAAAUGAAUAAAAGAUAAGGAGCAAUUCUAAUGAAACCUAGCUUGGAUUGGUUACUUCAUUGUACCUUUCCAUUGGAUGACAUAUGACAUAGAUUGGAUUGGUAAGAUGACUUGCCCUUCCGUGGAUAAUAAAGACAAGUUAAGAAAAUGACUAUUCCGUGGGAUUAAAGCUUAGCACCGAUAGGAUAUUGAGAUGGAAGUUCUCUCGUUAGUAGAGGUCGGGUUUCUAGAAGCAAUCUCUUUAUCUCAUACCUAAGUGCCCCAUAGGAUGAUUGUCAUAGAUAGACAUUAGCUAGUGGAUCCACAUAAGCUAGAAGUUGAUGGUCUUACCUUGGCAAGUAGUACACCCAUUUUUGGUGUGGGGUAGACACCAGAUUCCGUGUUGAUAGCUCACAUGGUCUUAUAUGUCGGUUAAAGGUAAAUCUCCCACAAUAAUGAACUAAGGUUACUUCAAAAAGAAUCUCACAUGUGACUUAAGAUGAUGUCUAUUUGCAUUGAUCAUGUUUUAUGACUUAUGGUUUCUAUCUCUCAAGAUUUAUGUUUUAGCUUGAUCAUUACUUACUGAUGAAAAUGUCCCUUUUUAGCAUGUUUAAAUGUUUUUUGCAUAACUAUCAUACUUGGUACAUUGUUUUGUACUAACACAUACUCUUGCCUACAUUUCCCUAAAUGUAGGGUCUGACAGUCAGGGUUCUCAGUUUCGUGGCUAGAGGUUGGUUUGAGAGAUUUCAAGCUUUGGUGAGUCCUCAUGCUUCGAGGACGAAUUUUCAUUGUUUCAAUUUUCUUUCUUACUUCAGUUUUGGACAUGAUGUAUGGGCUAGGCCCAAUUUGAUUCUUAUGUACUAGAUGGCUAAUGAGACAAGUGUUUAGACUUCCGCUUUACUUUUAUAAAACUCUUGAACUUGAAAUGUUGCUCUUUACCUCUCUUCAUUCCAUGUCUUAUGUUAUGAAUGCUAAGUGGCUUUGUAUGGGGCCUUUUGGGAUCCUAUACGUCAUGUUACACCUAGGAGGUACCUUGGUUCGUGACAAACUUGGUAAUCUGAGCACAAGGUUUAGAAAGGUCCUAGAAAGUCUCAUAAGCCACAUCGAGUAGACUCUUGUUCAUGAGUGUGAAGCGCGCCACAUUUAUGAAUUAGAGGCUAUAAGAUGAUUAGGAAACUCCACUUCUUUGGAAACAAAAUGAGCAAUAGAGAUAAAAAGAAUAAAAUACAAAAAAUAAAAAUAAUGUGCCUAAUAAAUUUGAACAAAUGAAUAUUGAAAAGGAGAAAUAACAUUUAAAAAGAUGGGAAAAAAUAGGGAAAAGACAUAAAAUCCCCCCUGAACUUGUCCGCAUAACUUACUUUAGCACUUUAACUAUAUGGGUGUUUAAAUAACCCCCUUAACAUCUUUUAAGUGUUUUUUUUUCAACCCUCCCAUCACUAGCCCAGUUGAAGGUUGGGUGUUGUUGAGUCACACGCGUUUAUAUUCGUCCACGUGUAUAUUAACUAAAUUUCUAAUUAAUUACUUAAAUCUCCAUAAUAAUAUUUUUUUUCAUCACUAAUUGUCUUCCCCAAUGUUUGUCACCUUCUCAACAACAACUCUUCUUUUUACAAUGCAAUUUUCUUCAACUUUUCUUCUUCCAUUAUAUAAUAAUUCUCUCUAUGUAAAAAAUAAAAAGAACUUCUCCAAUUUUCUUUCUUUUCGUAAGAAAAUAGGUUUCAAUAUUCCAUUUGUAGACAUCAAUUUCAACAUUAAACCAACAACUCCUACACCCACCAUGAUUAUAUCUAAAAUUGAGCCAAAAACUAAACCCAUCGAUGAAUUUACCCCUCAAUCUACAAAUUAUAAUUCAAAUUUCAAUUGCAAUUCCAAUUCAGUUUUUAGUUACAUCAUACCACCUUCUUCGAAAAUUAAAAAAUUAUUUACAUAAAAAUGUUAAUUUAUCAAUGAAUUGGAUGAAUUUUUGCCAACAAUAUCUUUGAAUUUUUUUUAGUUGAAAUCGGGUUCUUUUUUUGAUAACUCUUUAAACUCAUAGAUCUAAUAAUCUUUUUUGAUGUUGAAAAUGGUGUCAAUGAAUCAAACACCAAAUUUUUUUGUCAAAGAAAAACAGAAAAAAAGAAGCGAUUAAAAACAGAAAAGAAUAAGAAAGAGAAAGAGUCUUGAGAAAAGAAAAGGAAAGGAAGAAGAAGAUGCAAAAAAAAAACUACGGAGAAGAGAAGUUAAUUGAAAAAUAAAAUGUUUAAAAAUUAGUAAAAUAAGUUAUUAAAUAUGUCGUCCAAUAAAAAGAUGACAUGUGUCAGUUUUUUGGUUUUUUUCUGUCCCACGUGCUUAUAGAAAGUUGGUGAUACAAAUUUUGCCACGUCACCCUUUAAGGGGUAAUUAAAUUCACUUCAAAUUAAAUUAGGGGGGUAAACAAACACCCCCAAAAAUGUAGAGCCCAUCUCAGCCUUGCUAUUUGAUUUUUAAAAUGAAGAAAACAAAAAAAAAUCAAGUGUUGCUGCGCGAAAUCGAUCUCAAGACGGCAAGGCAAAUUCUUGAACCCCCUUUACCACUGAACUAGCCUCUUUACAUGUGUUGAGGGGAUUCAUUUUUAUAUAUAUACACAUGAAAACAAAAUUUGACCUUAUAUAUACAGUGUAAUUUUCCGACAAAGCGGGUUCGGGUGAACCCCCUAACCUCCAUGUAGAUCCGCCCCUGCUUGGAGCUUGGGUUUAGGCUUGGAUAACAAUUUUCCUCACAAUUCACCAAUUGGAGUGAAGAUUGAAACUCUAUUGUAACUAUUUAUAUUCUUUCUUCAAUUCCUUGUUUUGUAGUGCUUGAAUUGUUGGUAUAAUGGUUUAAAGAUGAUUUGGAUUUUGAGCUAGAAAUACUCAAUUGUGGGUUGAUUCUUGUAUUGUGUUUUUGCAUAUUAAUUGAAUACUAUCUUGUUUAUGAUAUGGGUCUUUGAUUCUCUAACUGAUUUCAUGCUUAAAUUGACUUUCCAAGGGAUUGAUCAACCCAAGGACUUGCCUAUUUAUCUUGAUCUAGCUUGAGAAAGAGGAUUAAGUGUAGAAAAGAUUGAUUGGCACAAUUUGAGAAUUGGGUUGGCUAUUUCACUAGAGUUCGGGAGAAUCUAGAUCCGGGCCUAACUGUCAUUUUAGGAUUUGAACCAAAGAUAGAAUAAUCCUAGUGUUGCCAUAUUGGAUUGUUUAAUUUUCUAUACUUGCUAAGUUUGAAUGAAUUAGUCAAGAUAUACUUGCUUGUAAUCGAGAGAUGCAUAUUGGUACUUGAGGAUCCAAGGAAUAGUUGACUUGCCCAUGAUUAUCAAGAUAAUGUGUGGUCAUUUACUAUGGAUCAUUUGAGCAUGAAUUAAAUCCUCAUUCCCGAAUCCUUUUGAACCCCUUGCUUGAAAAGGUUGUUUCCCUUGUUCUUCUCUAUCCCCUAUCCUCAAGUGUUACCGAAAAUCCUCAUAUUAUAAUUGUAUCUUUCGUUUUGAUUCAAACUAGUAGCUUGUAAUUCUUUGUUAUUUCAAUCGUCGUUAUAUUGUCCCUUGUGGGAUUCGACCCCGACCUUAUACGUUGGGUUUUUGUUGCUAGCGACCGCCUACUCAUUGACUUGUAUGAUGGAUAGUUGCAUCUUUCAUUUGAAUUCAAACUAGUAGCUUGUAAUAUAUUGUUAUUUCAAUCAUCGUUAUAUUGUUCCUUGUGGGAUUUGACCUCGACCUUAUACGUUGGGUUUUUAUUGCUAAUGACGCCAACUCAUUGUAACACCCUGAAAAUUUCUAAGCUAAGGCCCGAACCAUUCUUCAUUUGCGUAUAAGUUCGUAUCGGGUGAUUGUAAAAUUGUCUUUAGGUGUUCAGGUCUAUUAUUUAGUGUGGAAUGGAUUUUGAUAUGAAUUAAGGACACAAGAAUCCCCUUACAGAUUAAGUUUUGAUAUCAAAUUCUACUUGGGUCAACUUCAAACGAUCAUAUCUCUUAGAUCAUGAAGAUAUAGGUGACCCAUAACCUAUCAAUGGCCCUCGCUAAAGCAGCCAAUCAGCGCGAAAGCGAACCCAUGGAUUUCAUUAAAAGUUGGGAAAGCGACAUUGAAGUCGCUUAUACGGCAUCAAAGACUUUAAAGCCAUACCAAAGAAGUGUAACGGUGAAAUUCUUUUCCUCUUCUGUUUUGUUCAAAGUUUUCUCGAACUCUUUUGCCCUUCAUCUUCAAUGAAAAUCUGGUAUGUCUUUUACUCUCUCAUACUCUUUAGAUGGUAAAAUCGUUAUCGUCCUCUUAUGUUUUUGUUUGAAUGUUCUGGUAUUGUUUGGGUGAGAGAUUUCACAAAGUGGGGGGGGAGGGGUACUAACUUUGCUGAUCUGUCAAAAUUUGUUUGUUAAACUAAGAAUGAAUGAGUUUGGGUUGUAGUAUAACACAUGGGGAAGUCUUGAGUACCUAUUUUGUGUUCAAAUAAGUUGAUAAGUAGUGUGCCCGUCCAAGUGUUUAAUGAAUUGUUUGUGAGAAUUCGACAUUGAUCGGUGAAAGUUUUGUGUUGAAAUGUUGUAGUCUUUGAAUUACUUGUUGAUCACUGUGUAGUCGAAAUCGUAUGAGUUGAUGGGUGCAAUAGUCGGAUGGGUAAGUUGGGGACGACAGGCCGCAAUAGCGAACCUUUAGGCGCUAAAGUAACUCUCACUAAAGCGGCCUCCCCUCGCUUUUGUGAUUCCCUCUAACGCGGCACUAAGCCGCUAAAGCGAUGUUCACUUAAGAGGCCUUUGGUCGCUUUUGCGACAUCAAAAGCUAGUUUCUGCAGGUUUUCCUAAUUGCUGAAAUGUGGCAGUUUGGUCCCGAGAUGAUUUUAAACUAAUUUCUUUGGCUUUUAUCAGUAGCAUUGCAUUGUUUAACACAUCUCUCUUAUGUUUUCAUGCUAUUGUGAUAUUUUCAGGUUUUCAAAAAGUCGAGAAUGGUGCAUCAACGUAUUGAUGAAGUAGAAGUCGACGAAGACUAUGAUAGGACUCGAUUCGUUUCUCUUCAGAGUCAGAACAUCUACUAUGGGACUUAGUCAGAAAGAAGUUGUUCCCCGAGAGAGGGAUUUCUCUUGAAAAGGUCUCCAAGACUCUUUCCAGAUUCUACCAAAGACUAGAGGUCACUGGAUGGAUAUGCUUCGCACUUGAACCUUGCAACGCGAAUGAGCAAUGGGUGAGGGAAUUCUAUGCUAAUCUCAUGGUGACAAAACUGGCCAACCCACUGAUGAAUAUUCGGGGAAAAGUUGUUAACUUUGGGCCAGAAGCAAUAAAUGAAAUCUAUGGGUUACAAAAUCAUGGCUUUGAGAAGUUCAUGGAAAAAGACUACACUCCGGGCAGCUGGUUAGUCUCGAAGUUAUGCCCAAGCAAGAAAGUACCUUGGGCCAACACAAAAUCCGAAAUCAUAUCCACAUAGUUCACAGCUGAAUCGAGGAAUUGGAUAUCGAAUGUUUGUAGCCGAGUCUCUCCGUGCGGGAACACUAGUUGCAUUCCAGUGUUGAGGGCACAGAUAGUAGCUUGCAUUCUUGAUGACAUCCCGUUGAAUGUUGGGAAUCUUAUUGUCAAUUGUAAAGAUAUGACACCUGGAAUAACUCAACCCCAAAAGCUAGCCCUCCAAGUCCAUAUAAGGAAACCAAUUUGCCAUCCCUCUACCGAUGUGGGACUUCUUAACACUCCCCUGCACGCCUAGGCCUCAACUGGAGCGUGAACACUUAUAAAUGGGGGCCCAACAUCGAUGAAUAACAAAUUGGAAUGGGUCUGGCCAUGAUAACAUGUAAAGAUAUGGCACAUGGGCCUAACUCAACCCCAAAAUCUAGCUCAUGAGGUGAGGUUUGUCCAAGUCCAUAUAAGGAGACCAAUUUCCCAUCCCUCUACCGAUGUGGGACUUCUUAGCAUUUUUUUGCUUUUCAGAAAAAUCAACCAAGAUCCAUCAGGAUUCCUUCUAUUAGCUCCAAGUCGACCAGCAUAAAUAGUACUCCCUCCGUCCCAUUUUAUAUGAUGUACUUUGAUUUUGGCACAAACUUUAAGAAAAAUGGAAAAGACUUUUUAAAACUUGUGGUCCAAAAUGAAUGAUAGAAAUUUGUGUGGUUGUAAAUCAUUUCAUUAAGGGUAAAAAAGACUAUUUUAUAGGCAAAUUGUUACUUAAAAUAGAAAUGUGUCAUUCUUUUUGGGACUGACUAAAAAGGAAAGUAAGUCAUAUAAAUUGGGACAGAGGGAGUAGCAUUUUCAGACAUACAAGAGGAUGGACAUGAGAGCUUAACUGACAUUCAACCGAAUCAAUCCUGGUUGAUACAUAUAAAUUCUUUGCAAAAAGUUGCCCAGAAGAUGAAUGGGAAAAUAUGUAGACACCCCCCAUUAUCAUUUCCACUUAAGAUCCCUGAUAAUUUUUACAAUAUGCAAUCCUACCAUCAAACUUUGUUUCUACAACUACAACCAGGUCCAGCUGCAGGACAUCGCACAAGCAAACCUAGCUGCUCUAACUGUGUGCAAUGAUAUGAAUGAAAAUCCCAGCACAUGUAUAAGCAAAACUGGUUGAGCAAUUUAUAGGUGCUACAUCUCUCACAUGACUACCAUAACCAAUAACACUUUUAUAGAGAUAACAUCAAAAAUAAUGUUAAGAAUGAGAUGUCUAACUCUUCCAAAAUCAUCGAGACAAGGCACUUCGAUGAUAAAUCUUGAAGUUCUUGAUUGCUGCCAUCCUUCAACCAGAAGGGGACCUUCAUCUUGGAACCUUCAGAUGAAUACACAGUUAAAGACAUCCAUGAAGAAUUCCUGCGCUAAGUGGCCUUUGGCAUCAAUGGCCCACUUUUGAUCCGGAUCCAGAGGAACUAUCGCAAUCGGAAUCACUUGGGGAUGAACCUGAAUCGCUGCUGGAACUGCUUGAACUAAGAGACCUCCUUGCAUUAUCCAUCUGUCUUCCCGCUUCUGCAUUUGUAGCAAGAGCACUAGUGUUAUUUUUACCAGUAUUACUGUUUAGUGCACCAGCAACCAUAGGAGCAGAAUUCAUAACUGGGGCAGUCCGUGCAGUUCCUCUGGCUUGCAGAGCAAGUUCAUCCUUUCUCUUCUGCUUGCUUAAGUUCUUUUUGUAAUUGGUCACAAACCUUUCAAGCUCCCAGAAGCUUUCCGCAUCAACAUUGUCUAUGUCUACUUCAAUCUCAUCAUCAUGUUGAUAAAAUGUUGAGUUCUUCUUCUUAAUAAUCUGAACAACAGCAUCAAGCUUUUUAAAGGUAAACUCUGAAGAUGUGUGUUGAGUCUAUGUUUUUCUUCAUAGGUCAUAUCCCUUUUAUUUGAUACCCCUCCAAUCCAGAUUAAACUCGGCCUCUAUAAUUGCUCACCUGUCUUCAAAAAUCUUUAACAACUAUUUUGACAUAACAUGAACAUCAUGUCCUUUAGGAUUAUAAAUCAUGGCAUUACGGAAGACAAGUCUCACAUCCUCAGCAAACUCCCUGGGAGAUUUGUACAAAUUUUGAGACAGCCUAGCUUUGAUAGUGCCCAAAUCCAUAGGAUGCUUGAUGAUAGCAUGAUAAUCAUGCAGCCCAAGACCCUCCACAUUCACUGGCUCAUCAAACACCCAUCUAUGCUUGUGCUUCAUUAACCUCUGAAACAGGGUGGUGCAUCUCUUAAACACAUGAUUUCUAUGUUUAUCAAAGUCAAAGUCAACGCCAAAUGGAUACCCCUGCUCCGACUCACCAUUGUGUUUCCUCCCAGCGCCAUUUGGCUUAAUUUUUUAUUGCUUUCCGGAGGCAAUCUAUCCUUCCCAAGUAAGAAUCCGGAAUUAGUGUAAUACUGAUUGGCCUUCGGGGUCCUUUUCUCCUUCUCCACAAAUAUAGCAACUACAUUAUUAUUUUCCACAACUGCAACCCUUGGUCACUAGAAUGGUCUCAAUCAAGGGUGCCUCACCAAACCCACCUCUAAAUUCACUCGCACUAAAGCCCUACUAUUCGUCACAUCAUUAUCGAUAUAUCGUGGUUGACUAUAAGAAUUAACAGCACCAGUAGGAAUAGCAGUAAUCCUACCAAUAUUAUUAUAACAACCAUUAGUAUUUGUAUCAUGUGUGGUCAGCUGAAGGUCCUUAGCUUCAAGCUCUGUAACUGAACUCCUAAUCUGAUCAAGCUCACCCACUAAGUCCCUCAUAAUACCUCUAAUCUCAACUCUUGAUGUCGCUCCCCCUAUAUUAAUCCUAAUUCUAUCUCGAACCCUAGAAAUUACAGGCUUAACUGUUGAAUCCAGCUCAGCAUGCUCUCUAUUUAAUCCAUCUGUAUAACUCGCCAUAGAAGCCUCUUCACCCCGAACUUCCCCACCAUUAUUAAGCUUCACAAUUGUGCUGCCACCAACCUCAGCCACGUCUCCACGUCUCUACCAUCUAAAUCUCCCUGUGAUCCAAGGGUAUCUUCCUUCCCUUGCCCACCAUUUAUCAAGUAUGUAAAGAUAUGGCACCUGGGCCUAACUCAACCCCAAAAGCUAGCUUAUGAGGAGAGGUUUGUCCAAGUCCAUUUAAGGAGACCAAUUUCCCAUCUCUUUACCGAUGUUGACUUCUUAACAUCAAUGAAUUCUAUGAGUUCAAACUCUACGACUGCCUCUCUCUCAUAUUUCCUUCUUUGAUAAUUAAACUGUGCAAGCGGGUUGAAGUUGAGGAGUAUUCAGGCGAUAAUUGGAUAAGGCCCAAAAUCCCAAUUUUUCCUUUAAAGAAGUGAGGUGAAGGGACUGCCACCAAAAGCAAGAAGCAGAAGAUGGAUUCAGGGAAGGCGUUGAGUAUUGAGGCUGGCUCUUCUAGACCAUCGGCGGUGGGACCAUUUGAGUCAUUGGCCGAAGAGUUGAGGGUAGUCCGAGAGUUGGCGACCAAGCUGCCUCAAGGGCCAGGUGAGACAUCUGCGGGACCUAAUUUGUUGUCCCAUAACAGGAGUUUGAUGAUUUCUUGGAGGAUCAAAGGAAGCAAAAAGCUCAUCUAUUGAGGUUGGAGAAGGCGUACACUGAUCUUGCUAAAUCACAUGGUGAGUUAAGUCGCUCCCACAAAAAGUUGAAGAAGAGAGAACAAAAGAGAUGAAAUUUUCACCCGGGUGUGGAAGGGGGUUGAAAGGGUUUUGAAAGAUCCUUAAAGCUAAUGAUCCGCUUUCCUCAUCGAGACCGGAUGAGAGUAAUGAUGUUUCGGCACAGUGGUCUGAGGAUGAUGAUGUUGAUGACAAUGAGGUGACCGAGAGUGAUGAUAGCGAGUGAUGCAGUUCAGGGAGCUCCUCAUAUUCUCUUUAUGUUUUCAUGUUUUACUGUGAGGACACAGUACCAUUCUUAGUUGGGGGUGCUCCCCCUAGGAUUCUUUUGAUGUUUUUGUUCAAGUUAGGAUUGUUAUAAUUGGAUUUGGUUUAUUUGUGUUAUUUUUGAGAUUGAUAUGGUGGAAGCUUAGAACAGCUCAUCCAUGGCAGUUACCUGCAGAUUUAGAGAGGAAGAAAUGAGGAAGAAGGGAAGAGAGAAGAGAGAAUAAUUAGGCAAUAAUUGGUUAGGCUCCCUCACUCUAGCUGAUAUCUGUUAUAACAGAUUCCAUUAACCGCUAGGUUAACUAGGACAGUUGAUCACGCCAGUUGUGCUAGAUUAUGAACCGUUUGAUGCAUGCCUCCAUGUGACUCACACGUGCCUCUACUAACUUCCGCUUCCUCCACGUGUAUUCUACCACUGACCUCUUUCUAGAUAUUUCUCUUGCUACUUUCCUAUACUUAUCAGCUACUUCCCCAACUUCAUAGUUCAAAUCUCUAAUUCCCUUUCUUACCUUCUAUACGUUACAACUUCAUCAGUUGGAUUGGUUAUUUUUCCUUCAUUGUAGAAGGUGUUUCUCAAAUUAAUAGAAAAUUACAAAAUUGUGUCCCAAUUUUUGUUUCUGUCAAUUAGUUUGUUACACAUACUCUUAAGGUUAUCGUACUAUUUUUGUCGAGCUAACAAGUAACAACCCUUCAAUACUGAUAAUAAAACAGAAAGUUACCUUCACGGAGCUAAAGGUAAAGUAAGCAAGCAUGAUAACAACAACAUUAACAUAUCAAGUGUAGUCCAACAAAGUGGGGUUUGUAGUGGCUAGAGUGUAUGAAGACCUUACACCUACCUCAAAGAUAGAAAGGCUGCUUUCGAGAUAAGCAAGCAUGAUAAAUGACAAAGCAAUCCCAACUUUGAAAGUCAAAACUAAUUGAUUAACAUAUGAAGUUCUUAAGGUUAAUCACACUUAACCACAUCAUCUUUUUUCAGAUCAACAUUCAUAACCCUCCUCUGAUAGCAAAAUAUACUCAUUACUCAUUUAUAGCUAAAACAAAAGGUUUAAGUUCAUUCAAGCUGAUUAAAAUUUGAAUUAUACAAACUCUUCUUAGGUUCUACUUCAAGAAAUGCACUUAACCUCUUCAAGAACGCAUAUCAGUAAAGCCCAAUUGACCAAAUUAUGAAGGAUAACAAAAUGGAAACACCUUCUUCACAGCCAAUCUUUGCAAUUUGGGAACAUCCUCAAUUAAUCUAGUGUUUAUUCUUUGAUUAUCCGCACUAAUCCUCACAGAAGACACUUUAUUUUUUUCUUUCUUAGUUGUAUCUGCUUUCAACUACCCCCAAUGCCUUCAAAUGUUCAAAUUUAGAAGUAGGAAAUAAAUCUCUAGAUAUUUUAAGCUUUCUGUGACAAAAAAGGAGUAAAUUGAAGAGCACUGAAAAUCAAAUUUAGAAGUAGGAAAUAAAUCUCUAGAUCUUUUAGGCUUUCUGUGACAAAAAAGAAGUAAAUUGAAGAGCACUGAAAAUUGAAGUGACGUGAAGAGCAACUUCAAUGUCAGAAUUGAUGGCGGUGUAAAGAGCAGCUUCAAAAGAAUCAUCGCAUCGCUUGUCGAUAUUGUACUUCUUGCAAAUGGCGGUGUAAAGAGCAGCUUCAACUCUUUUUUGAACAAAGUAAGAGUUGUCCGUGCUAUAUAUACGCUGGAACGGACGGACGGAGAAAACGGUCAAUUUUUUUAUUUUCUUUUUAACUCGGUGUUCGGAACCCACAUUGGAACUCCGCAAGGCUCAUACGGGGGUGGCGCUCCCAACAGAAUUUUCUCCAUACCCUGGGCUCGAACCAAGACCUCUGGUUAAGGGUGAAGCACUCCCACCAGUGCACCACAACCCAUGUUGGUAGAGCCGUCAAUAUGGGCUAGGCCCGUUGGGCCGGCCUGGCCUAACCCGGGAUUUGAUAAGGCUGGGUUACGAUUUUUGGAGCCUAUUUAAGAAAAGGAUUUUUUAGCCUGGCCUGAAUAAGCCUGCCGAUUUGUGGGGCUUGAGAAAUAUGGAUAGGACAGGCCCGUGGCCAAAUAAAAAAUAAUAUAGAGUAUUAAAAAUAAUAAGAGUCUAAACGUUUAAAGUUUGAAAUAUUACAAUUUAAAUACAAAUUAUGUUUAUAAAAUAUGUAUUACGCAAAAUAAAAAUUCCCUAAAAUUUCUAGGAAUCACUACAUAGGCCGUAGCCUAUGGAUUAUUGACAUAGUUUUUUGUGUUUUAUUAUGAUCAUUGGAAAAUAAUUUGGCUUAUAUUUUUAUUUAGCUAUUUAUGCUUUUACUUGAAAUCAAACUUAAUAAAUAUUAUAAGGAUAAUUUUAUUUGUGGAUUUGAUUACUAACAUCAUGUAAUAUUAUCUUGUCGAUAUUUAUGAUAAUAUUUUGAAAUUAUAAUUUAAUUUAAAAAAUUAUAAAAAAUAUAUUUUUACAUAAAGAAGGUUGGCCCGGCAAUCCUGUAGCCCACGUACUUGUGGGCUGGGCCGACCAUUUUCUGGCUCACACCAAAAAUGGGCUAGCUCGGCCUGACCGAUCAAAUUUCAAAGCCUGUAUGGACUAGCCCGGAUGGGGUGGGCCAGCCCAUAUUGAUAGCUCUACAUGUUGGUGAAAACAGUCAAUUAAAAUGUCCAUCUUACUUCAAAAUUAUCUUUUUUGUCAAUAUUUUGGUUUAAACCUGCCCCUAAUAAUUUAGUUCAAAAAUGUCGUUUUUUGCUAUUUUUGGAUUUAAAAUGUUCUUUUCCUAAUAAACAUAUUAUUUUUUCUAUAUAAAUAUUCUUUAUUUGAUAAAAAUAUUGUAACUCAUCAUUAAUUUUCAUAUAAAAUAUCAUAGUAAUCUAUCAUUAUUUUUCAUUUGAAUAACAAUAAAUUUAUUUUCCUAAUAAAUUAAGAAACUUUUUGUUUCUAAAUAUUUUCGAAUUGAAGAAGGAUACACAUUUGCUAGUAUGAUCAUUGGUUUUAAAGUUCAACAUUAAUGCCAUAAAAUAUAAAAUUUAUUACAUUGCUUCAAAUAAACAAAAUAUCAUCGAUGGAGUUAUUGUUGAUCAUUUUUUAUAUUAACUUUAAAAUCAAUGAAUAUUUAAGAAAUGUUUAUCCUAUUUCAAGAAAGAAAGAAUAAAAAAUAAUAAUAUUUUCUAUUUUAUUAGAAUUUUUUGAAUUAUUAUCUAAAUAAAAAUUAGUAAUGAGGUUACUAUGAUAUAUAUACAUAUAUAUAUAUAUAUAUAUAUUAUCUUAUAUUAAUUAGGAAAAUAAUAUGUUUAAAAGGAAAAAGAAAUAAUAUGUGUAUUCGGAAAAGAGAUAUUUUUUACCCAAAAGUAACAAUAUGUAUAUUUUUGGAUCGAUGAAUUAAUGACAAGGCCGUUUUUAGACCAAAAUAUUGACAACAAGUGUAUUUUUAAAACCAAAUUGUUAAUGUGGGUAUUUUUGUUCAAUUUUGUGUAUUUUAAGAAUAUCUUUUUUAUUCUUUUCCAAUGCAAUACUCCCUCCACCCCAUAAUAGUUGAUCAUCUUACUAAAAAUAAUUAUCUCAUCUUAGUUGUCCACCUCUAAAUUAAAAAAGUAUUAAUUAAAUUUUUCCUUUAUCACCGUUGUAAUUAAGUUUUUUUGCAAGUGUUCACAUUUGUUUGUAAAAUUCUCAAGAAGUUUUGAGGGGUAAAUUAGUAAAAUUAUUUUCUUAUUUAUGAUUUCAUAAUAAGCGUGUAAAAAAAAUGAUCAACUAAUAUGUAAAGGAGAGAGUAAUACAUAAUUAUUCAUAAUUAACGUCCAAACAUAUAAAAUGGCCACAACAACCCAAUAAAGCAAAUCAAGAAAAGGAUUAGCUCCGAACAGGCGGCCCAAACCCAACUUAGACAUAAAGAAACAACAAUAAAAGUGCAAAUAUUGUUCCAAAAGAGAAAUGCUAGAAACGCUACUUUUUGUUCUCUCUCAUCUUCUCCGGUUGUGAAGAAAACUAAAAAAGUUAUGAACGAAAAUUUUUACUUUAUGAGUCGCAUAAUCAACAUUACUUAUGCGAGAUAGUUGAUUUAUUUAAAAAUAAAAGACAAUAUUAAAUAUCUAUAUUAUUCCUAAUUAGAAUGCUUAACUAGAGGACAGUAUAAAAAAACUUUAAAAAACUUAAAGUACGAAAAAAUCUCCAUAUAUAUCAAGGAAAAAGAAGGCAUGCCAGCAGUGUUUAUGCAUUUUAAAAAUAAUGUGAUUUUAAAAUGACGCUAUUUUUUUCAAUCAAAUCGUAUCUAUAUAAUAUAACUUUUUAAAAUAAACCAACUAAAUCGUAUCACUAACACUAUGAGUUAGGAGUUAAAAUUAUAUUUUCCUCUUGAUUGAUGGCAUGGAAAGAAGUUGAAAUAUGCAAAUAUAAAAAUUACUCGUACUUUAAAUUAUACUUAAAACAUUUAAAAUAAUAUACUCUAUUAAAAAGAAUGAAUUAUUUUUUUGUAUAUAGUAGGUAUUAUAAUUUUAAAACGGUGCUGAUAUGUCUUUCCUUAUAUUGUCCUCUAGGCAUCCUAAUUAGGAAUAAUAUAGAUUUUCAAUAUUGUCUUUUUUAUAAUUUAUAUUUAAAUAUAAUCUUGUGGGACCUUUCAAUUCACGUGUCAAUUAAUAAAUUGUAUCGCAUAAGUAGGUGACGAGUUCUUCAAAUUAUCGACAUAUAGUGAUUGAUGUGAAUCGGGACAGUCUUUUUGAAACAAAAAAAUUACACGUGUGAAAUGUUUCAAUUGAAUGAAAUGGCAUAUGCAUUGUUUGCAACAAUUUGUAAAGGUGAUAGAAAACAAAUUGUAAUCACAAAUAAAAUAUGAAAGAAACAUGAAUAUUAUUGAUAAACAUUGUGGGUACAAAUUCGUUCCUCCCUUGAUUCUUCUCUCUCUUAAGAAUAUGAUUUGGACUUGAUCUUCAUAAUUUGAGGGUCGUUAAUGGCUUAUUUCUCGAACGUAUGAGGCAACAUCUUGAUCUCUUAAUGAAUAUCCCAUGAAUUUAUGAAAUUUUGAAGAUGUCUUUUCAAGGGAUUUAUAGUAUAUUUUAUAUAGGCAUGAACUAGGCUUUAGGGUUGAUAGCUUCCAAGAACCGGAAUUGAACAUAUAUUUUAGAAUCCAAAUUGAAAUUGGACACGUCUUGUAGAGUCCCACAAAAUUUCAAUGUCUACAAGUGUCCCCUGCUUUAAGGCUUGUCGUAGAGUAGACUUGAUAAAAUUCAAAGACAAAGCUUGAAGUACGCAUUCUUCCACCUUUGAGGUUUUGUGGCUUCAAAUAUGCAGAUUUAAUUUGUGAGAGAAGAGAUGAAUGAUAGAUUUGGUCCCACUAGGCGUGCCAAUUUGUUUGCAACAAAUUUUAAAGGUGACAAAUAAAUUGCAAUGAAACAUGAAUAUUAUUGAUAAGCAUUGUGGUACAAAUUUGUUCCUCCCUUGAUUCUUCUCUCGAACUAGGAUACUUUGGAUUUAAUCUCUUUAUGAAUAUUCGAUGAUAUUGUGAAAUAUUCGAGAUGUCUUUUCAAGGGAAUAUAGUACUCUAUAUAUAGGCAUGAAAUAGAGUUUAAGGUUAAGUAGCUCUAAGAAUCCUAAGAGGCAUGAAAUAGAGUUUAAGGUUAAGUAGUUCUAAGAAUCCUAAGAGGAAUCGAACACAUCUUGUAGAGUCCCACAAAAUUUCAAUAUCUUCACACAUGUUUUGCUUGCAUUGGAACACAAAUAUCUGAAAAUUGAUGACUACUUUUUGACUUAUCUAACGUUUAAAAUCUAACGAUAACAUUUCAAGUAUCAAUUGACCACACUUUUUGAUAAAAGCAAAUGAAGUAUUUUAUCGAAUGUGCUACUAGAACUUGAGUUGCCAUCAAUAGAUCGAAAAACUCCAGGAAGACCCACCCUCCCCUCCUAGAAAAAGGGGGAAAAUAUUGAGUCCCCAAGUCAUUACUUUAUUGAUCUCAUAAUCAAGAUGAUCCUAAUUACACAUUAUAAAUUUUUUCUUUUAAUUUGUUGGUGAUCUAGUUAUUGUAGAAUUAUAUUCAACCUAUGGGAAGUCACACUUAAUGUUUUCAUAUGUCCAUGAAAAUGUCAUAAUAGGAGGGGCUGGGUUUUAGUUGUCAUGCUAAUAUGAUUGAUUCUCAUUUCUCAUUACCUGAACAAAAUUUGGUACUUUGAUGUUACAAGUAAGCAUAAAAUACAUAUUUAAUAAAUUUUUAUCAUCGAAAGAAAACACAACUUUGUGGUUCCACCUAGUAAUGAAAAUUCCAUAUAAAAUAUCUCGUAAAUUAAAUAGUUGUCUAGUAUAAAGGCAGAAAAGAAAUUAAAAAUAGAGCUCAUCCAUCCACUGAUGCCAAAAUCCUAAUAGUUUAGACCUAAUAGAGAUCGGUAAAUGAGGCCUUUCCAAAAGUGAUUAAAGUUAACUUCAGAUGCCUGCACUACAACCUUGUGUAUGAAAAAGUUAACAAUAGAUAAAUGGACAUCUCCGAGACCAACUCAUGUUGUACAACAGAAAUGCUAAAUGAAUCCACGGAAACAAUAACAAAGAAACAUCGGUUAUCUGUUGUUGGAUUACUUCCUCGAUUUCUUCCUGGAAGAUUUGGAUGAAGCCUUUGAUUGCACUGCAUUCUGAGAGGCUCCUUUUGGAUUAGCUGGCUGGUUUGACUUCGUAUCACUACUGCUCGCUGCCUCUUUAGCCACUGCACCUUGAGAACCUCUAAUUUGAGCUGCUCUCUUAUCCUUUCUCUUUGGUCUGUAACUAGACCUCUCCCUCUUGGGAAGCCACCUCUCUGGAUCAGGUGGAGGUCCUGGAUUAGCUGGGUCAAAGCCCUUUGGAUAUUUUGGCUUUCUCUUCCUCUUUUUCUUCACCUUAUCCUUACACUUCCCUUCGUAUGUUUCAGUGGCACCAGCAUUUGGACCUUUCUCGGCUUGCUUGGCACCAGAAGUUUUCUCCAAAUUGUCGACGUCUAUUGCUUUCAAACCAAGUAGUGGUGUUAACUGCUUCUCAUAAGCUUCUGCUUUCUCAAUGUCAGCAUGGGCUGCAGUCUGGAUUAAUCCAACUAAAGCCUCAAUACUUCCAUGGCUUUUCACUAGCUGUUCAUAAAGGCGUGCUGCCUCCUCUUUCCUUCCAUGCCUGAGCUUGAAAGCAGCAGCCUCCUGCAUGAUGGUAUUGAGCUUAUUGUCUUCAGUCAUGGCAUUUGACCACCACUUGAUUGCGGAAUCAAACACAUCAUCGGCACCAUCAGUAUCUCCAGCCCGUUCCUUGAGAGAGACAAUAGUGGAAACAGUUGCAGGCUUGUGUUGAAUGUCAGGUAUUUUCGCCAAGGAAUCAGCUGCAAUCUGCGGAUGGCCAGCAGCUGCAGCAACCUGAGCCCUUGCAAGCAGGAUAACCUUGGACCUGUCAGGAAACUUAUCUGCAUACUGUCCAAGUAUUUCUUCAGCUUUAGCAGCCUUGUUCUCUCUCACAUGUACAGCAGCUUGAAGAAGUACAGGCAUCAAGCUACCAGGGAACAUCCCAGGUAGAGCGCCAACAAGUUCUCUAGCCUGUAACAAUCCAAUGACAAAAAUAAACAUUGGAAAAAGACUCGGGGAAUAAACAGUAGCAAUUGGAUGUCUAUUAAUGGGUCCCCUUGUUUCUAAUGCAUCAAAUGUUCAAAGGAGAACCAUUACAAACACAUGUAAUCUUACAGAUAAUAUACCUGAUCCAUCUUACUAGAAUGAAGUAGCAGCAGC